rnacentral:lncRNA from 1 species
UUUUUUUUUUUUGGUAGGAUUUUGUGUAUGCGUUUGAGUGGAAAAGAGUACCUAUGUUAUUCUGACACUGAAAACGAUUCUCCAUCCCUCCAAAAGACCGAAAAUUCAAGAAAUCCCAAACAUGCAACGGCUGGUAAGUUGCUUAUAUCCUCUAAUUAUUUUCAUCUUAAAAUCUUUCCAAAUUCACUCGAUUGUUUUUCUUUUUUUGUUGGGGCGGGGGGGGGGGGGGGGUGGGGAAGGUGUGUUUCUCUCCUGUGCAGAUGCAAAUUGAUUGUCAUCGAUCACUUGUAAGAUUUCGUGUCAAUUUUUCCACGGUAAGUAAAUUCAAUUUCCAUAACACUUACUAGUGUUAUAUUAUCAAAUAUUGUUUGUGCUAAUUUGUUAUGUAUAAGGGUCAGUUGCAACAAUGAAGGGAGACAUUUUGGCAGAAAGAUUAAGUUAGCAUUGUCAACUUAUGACCGCAACGAAUUUACUGUCCCACUCCCUAUACCACUCUCUAUCAUAUUUUUUAUUAUAUUAUUUAUUCUCUUUCAUAAAUAUCUUAUGUUAAUUCUUUUUUGUUUUCUCAAAAUCCAACAACUAUUUAUUGAGUAAUACACAAAAUUUAACAACUCAAAAAUAAAAAUACACAAAAAUUGAGAUUUCUUAUGAAUUUUUUGCUGUAUUUUUUAAUUUUCUAUUAUAUAUUAUUUUUUUGAAACUGUUGUAUUUAUUUUUUACUCAAUUAAUAGUUGUUGAAUUUUAAGAAAACAAAAAAGAAUCAAAAUAUGAUAUUUAUAAAAGAGAAAUAGCAAUAUAACAAAAAGUAAAACAGAGAGUGGCACAGAAAGUAGGAAAAAAGAUCCGUUACGGCUUACGACACAGCUUGGGUAGCAAUGGUUCCUUCUUGGGACAUUACAAACAAGCCUUGUUUCCCAUAAUUCUUCGGUUGCAUUAAGGAAAAUAUGCACCAAGAUGGGUCAUGUGGUUUGCAUCUUUGACAUCCAUCACUAGUACUCCAUUUGGAUAGAGCUCUUUUUAGAAAACUCAUCUACCCAAUUAUCUUUUUAUUCCAUAUACAAUUUACUCAAAAAAUUAGCAAUCAUUUUUGAAAAAAAAAACCCAAAAAACAAUUGUCCAACUAGAAUUAACAUGUAUUCUAGCCUUGAGAAUUUUGGGGUUUAACGUCCAUAUGUAUCAUGGCAUUGAGUAGAUCAAUUUUCAUGAUGCCGAACUUAGCUAGGACUAUUGCAAUUAUGAGUAUCAAUUUCACCCUACAAUGUAGGCAAUAUCGCAACUGAUGCUGAAACUAAUACAAUAAAUAUAGACAUUAAAACAAUAACAUAUAAAAACAUGAUAAAUAAUACUAUCAAUCAUUAAAAUUUGUGUCUCAACUCUCACAAUGAAUCCCGUCCAUCCAAAUUCAAAUGGAACCUAUACAAUUCAUCAAUUUCAAGGUGCAAUUGUACUGAGAAUUGUAGAGAACUUAUUAAUCCCCUUAUUGAAUAUGUAUACUACUUUUAGAGAAUAGAGAUUUCCUUUAAUUUGUAAAAGCCAAUAAAACUGUUACUGCAUUCCAUAUUGUGUUCUCGACUUUCGAAGACGUUCAAAAAAUGAAUGUCGUAUUUUGUCCUAUUGCGUUAGAAUUUUCUCUAUGAUCAUAGUCUAUGAGAGGUCAUAUAUAUAUGAUACCCGAGAAUUGACCAAUCCAUUGUCAAACAAAUUGACAAGAAUUCCGAGUGCAUUUGGACUGGCAUUGUUUUCCAAAUAAUGCCCCAUACAAACAUUGCAUGGCCUUGAUUGAAUAGGUACAAAUUCCUUUUCUGAAUAUGAUAAAUAAGAAAAAAUACAUCACAAUCUCCCCAUGGUUUAUGAGAAUUACAGGAAUUUCGAUGUUGCUUUGAUAACGAAUACACCCAAGCCCUUCAUUCAAUUGUUUUGAAUUUUUGGUUAGUGGACUGAACUAGGUAGGAUUAGUGCCAGGUUUAAUAGUAAGACAGGGUAUCUUAAAAUUCAUUAUUCUAUUUGCUAAAGGGAGCUAUGUCUUUAGCACUGAUGUCUCAUCAGAAUAUCUUAAUUUGAUCUUCACCUAUUUUCCUCAGAAACAUGUUUUGAUUUCUUCCGAAAAAAAAAUCUUAAACAAUGUGGCGAUCAGGAAUUGUAGUUCGAAUCAAAUCUCAUCAUUCAAGUAAAGAAGCUGAAAGUCCCCACGGGUAGUGUGACUGAUUCCAUAGUCUGGUAGUUACCAGUAGGUCCCGUGAUCAAUCUCCGUAUGUUAUCUCGCUACGUAUCUUUGAGGCAAGACUCUACAUAGAUUUAAGGGAUUAGUAUAGACGAAAAACUGAAAUACCCCUAAGUGAAAAAAAAAAAAGUAAAGAAGCUGAAAAGAUCCAUUUUAGUUCAGUUUUUCCCAAGAAAUAGGGAUAUUGUACUUAAAGGGUCACCUCAAUGGCUCAAUAUGAGUGCAGCAAUGACACUUCUGAAAUUGGAAAAACCUGGCAGGCUUUGUAUAUUUAUUAUUUAACCAGGACCAUUGAGAUUAACCACUACUUUAGCAAUUGUGUGUUAAGAGGCUUUGAGUAUAUAUAUACAACCAUUUGCCAAUUUUGUUCUUCUAGAUAAAAUUCUAUUUUUUUGGAGUUAUUUUUUUCUCAAUAAUAGAGGAAAUUGAAAAACAAGUUGCAUAUAUAGAUAUGGCUGAAUAAAAGAUUAUAGUUAUUGUAAUUUAAUAACUCUAAACUAUCUUAAUGAAGAGCUAUGCUCUAUUAAGAAUAUCUGCCAAGCAUAGAAUUAUUUUGGCCUUUUCUUUUGUUGGUGGUACCUUGAUUAUUAUUUCAGGUAACAGUUCCUACAAAUAUGCAUUUUUAUCACCCCAUAUAGCGACCAAUCAUGAGCCGCCAUGUAAUUUGAUAUAAUUAUGCGUUAAAAAUCUAAAAAAAAACGAUGAGCUGUUGACACCUCAUUUUUCCUUUAUUUUAAAAUUUGUAUGGGGGAGAGGGUUGGGAAAGAGUUGGACCCACAGUUUUCUUGCACUGUCAUUUAUUGUCGAACACUUUCGAAAUAGAAAAAAAAUUUUCCUUAUGAAAUAGAUAAGCUUUUUUAUUAAAGAAAUGGGUUGGGUUAAAUGGUACGGGAGAGAGAGGAUAAGUAAGAGAUCCUAGGUUCACGACCUCUCACUCACACUAAAAAAAACUAAAAAAAAAAAAAAAAGAAAGAUAAGCUUUUUAUUAUCUCUUUUGUGCUAAGGAAGCCCAAGGGCCCUUUACAAUGGUACCAAUUGAGGGAUAACAACUUCCACAACAUCAUAACUCAAGGGAUUCCUACCUAGGCAGUCUGUUGAUGUAUUAACAUAAUGCUAGCAGUACUUUCAAAUUAAUUAAAGAUAACUACGAAAAAAAUAUGUUUAAACUUUCCAACAAUUUUUUUUUUUUAAAAAAAGAAAGAAUGAUUAUUGAUCUGUUUUUGAAAAACAAAAUGCAUCAUGUCAAUUAUAAAUUGCCUUGAAUUACGCUUAUUUUCUACUCCAUCUCAUUCAAUCCGAAACGUCAAAAAAUAUUAGAAAUGUGCAUAUGUGUGUGUGUGAUAACUGAUAUGCAUAAAAAUAAAAAAGAAUAAGAGAAAAAUUAUGACUAUUGACUUGUUUGGAUUAAGGAAUUUGACGAAGGAUUUAAAGUCCACCCAAAUUGUUCUAGCUGUUUGGAAUACUUAAAAGUCGUUUGAAUUUAUCUAAAUAUAUCUUAAAUACUAAAAUAAUUAAUAAAUUAUAAGUCUAAAUACCUCGUAAAUAAUCUAAACAAUUAAAGAAAUUUGAGAAGGAUUUCAAAUCUUUCGUGAAAUCCUUCGUUCCAAAUGCAACCCAAGAGAAUUUUUUGGGUGGUAGAGACAGCUUAUCAGGGGUGAAGCAAGAGCUCUUCAGCACAGAGAGGCAAAAACCUACAUUUUCUUUUUAGAAUUUAAGGUACUGUGACACUUAAUAUUUUUCCAUGAAUAUUCUAAGAACUUGAUUUUGAAUUUGGCAAGAAGUUGCAUUCAAUUAAAUGUCAAAAUUUGACUGUAGGCAAGAUUGCAGUGUAAAAAAUACUAGGAGUAGUGAUAACAUAUAUACAUCUAGAAAUGCCACUAAACUAAUAAUUUAUCAUAGAAAAUAAAAACCAGCAAAAUUCACGACCAAAAAAAACAUGAUUUGCAUAUGAUGGUGGGAGAGGGAGAAGGCAAGAAUUUGUCAUCCAUAACUUGCAAAAGACCAUUUUAGUUUCUUUUACUGAAUCAAUAAAUAAUGAGAAAACUUUUACAGUUACUGAUCGCAUGUCAGCUUCCUCAGUAAAAAAUUUUAACUCCAUUGGGGUGAUGAUCCUAUCCUGCACUUUUGUCUAAUGAAAUGGGAUCCUUAACUGCUCAUAUUUAGAAGCUUUAGAUAUCUAUUUCCAUACCUUUUAUAACUUCAUGUCAUUAGAAUAUUCAUCGGCUUGGGUAAUUUAUACUUCACCAAGCAACAUUUUUUUUUAUUGAGUUUUUUCAGGUUUAGAUAUUAGUCGGACAUUUUCUCCAGUCACAAUUUCUUUAAAUAUUUGACAAUUUCCUAAUAUGACAAUGAAAAUAAAAACCUUAAAAAGAAAAACUAAAUUCCAAAUUGAAAUUACUUAUCAUUCAUCUAAAUCUACUGGUGUAUAUGAAAAAAUUUCAAAAAUAAUUAUGCCUACAUGUCUUUCAUCCCUUUAAUAUUAUGGACUAGUGUCAAACCGGUAAAAUAUUACUACUACUAGGUACAAAAAUUUUAAUUUCAUUCUUUUCCACUGGCAUCUCUUGUACAGCUUUAUCAAUUUCUUUAUUUUUCAUUUUAAAAAGUUGUAAUGAGGCCUAAAAGGAUUUAAUAGAUUUGUCCAAUCAUUUUACAGAGAAUUGCAAUCUUGAUCCCAAAUGUUUGGCACAGGAGCACUUCUAGUCUUAAAAAUUUGGACGAAAGCAAAUAUAGUGCCAAAUAUUUCAAUUUCUAAUUACAUUUAGUCCUAAUAACUGAUUUUUAGCAACAACCACCAGAAUCUAGUCAUGUGUUGGCAACUAAUUUUAAACAAAAAAAAUUAAAAAUAUAGAUAAAAUAGUGUUGGCCUUAAUCUCUAAAAAAGAUGACUAAUUAUCCAUAUGCUGAUCGCAUGAAUAAUUAGUCUUUAACCUAUAAUGUUUUUUGUCAACCAAAAUUUUGUUUUGUGGGCUAAAGACUAAUAAUACUAACGUAAUUAGCAUGUAAAUAAUUAGUUCAUUUUUUAUACCAUCAUUAAAAAGUAUGCGCAUGUGUUUGGACAGAGUAUUAUUUGAAAUAUUAUUUAGAAUAAUUACUGUAACACUUUUUGUGAUGUAAUGUAUGUAAAAUAAAAAAAUAGUUGGGAAUAUAAAAAUGUGAAUUGGAAAAUGUGUGUAUGAUGCAAGUAAAAUAUUAUGUGAAAUAAUUCAACAAUCCAAACACAGGCAUGGCAUGCCUGAGAGAGCAAUCAGACGAACAAGCAGCAAACUAGUAACCUGAAUCAUAACUGUCUUCGAAACUUGAAAAAAAAAAAAUUACAGUAUAUAGUCCUUUGGUUAACUCAAAACUUGUCGACUCCUAGUUGCUCAAUAGGUACUCUGUUAUUAAGGGGAAGAGAUGAGGUAGUACAUAAACUUAUUGCAGGCAAAGUUGCAUCAAUCAGACAUCUAUAGUAAAUUUAAAGAAUUACCAUGUUUUUGCUUGUUAUCAGGUCAAAGUUACUAGGCCAACAUCUAAUUCAGCUGAAUGGAUUCAUCCCGCAAACAUAUUAACCUACUCAAGAUACUAUAGAGCAGAUAAGACUUAUGAGGAGCAAAUUUCAUUCUUGUAGUUGUAUACCCUGUCUAGGAAAAGGUUGCUCAAUGAUCAGCAAGCAUCCAGUUGCAGAUCAACAUGGAAUCACUUAAAUUUCGGUCAAUGUCUAUACAAUGUACAAAACCUUAAUCCAACCUUCAGCAGACAUAUGCUUCGUGGGAAGACUAAAGAAGGAAUACAAAUAAACGAUGCCAAAACAGAAAAUUAAACAAAUUACUCAUCAUCUUCAUUGCCAGCCAUAUUAUGCAAAUCAACAAGGUCCAUGUAGCACAGUAAAUCUGCUAUGGAUGUAGGUGUCUAAACUAUCAUAGGAAGAAUGUAGACAUAGGAUUGUUAGUACACAAGUACAAUCCACUAACAGCACCUGAGAAGGUGCUUAAGAUCUCUUCGUCUAAGCUUUAUUCUAAUCCUAUGUUCGAGUAGCAACUUCAAGCAUGAGCUUUCGUGGCAUUCAUGUUCCACUUUCUAUUUACAGUCAUGAACAAGAAGGGAUUAUACAAAAGCAAGAAUACUGGGAAAAAGAUAGUAACUUUCAGGGGGAUUGCAUGUUGAUACUGGAUGGAAAAAAUAGGAAGAUAAUUUACGGAAUCAUUCAGGGCAUUUAUAGGUCUUCUUUAUCAAUAUCAUGGCUGUUUAGAGUUUUAAGGAACACCUAAUGUUUGCUGAAACUUAAUAGUAGAAAAGAAGAUUUAGUCUAGAAAUCACUCAUUCCAGAAUCUGUAUUAUCCAAAAAGUAUAAAUUCAAAUAGACAUUAAGAGAACUCCUCAACAUACAAAACAAUAAAUACUUGACUUAUACACCAUCUUAUAUCUUUUUUCCCAUAUCUUCUGAAUCUGGAAAAAAUAAAAAGCUAUACAUUGCAAAAAUAAAGAGAUAAUAAUUGCAUAUGAAUUAAAGAAACUAAUCGUUACACUAAACUAUUCAAGAUUCCAAAGAGUAAUUACCACCAAGCAUCAUCCAGAUGUUGGCUGAAACUAAAGCUUCAGUUAGAGUUUCAAAAGCCUUGGAGUUAGCUUUUUUGUUAAAACCAUCAGUCAUGUCUUAGUCAGAUAUAAUAAAGGUGAAUAUGGCACCAAAAAGUCCUGAAGAGACACAAGUUCUCGAUCUCAUUGUGUUUCACUAGCCUUCACAUGAAAUGAAGCCUUUUAGCAACGCAUGUAAAGAGUAAACACCAUCAAGGUCUCAUCUUUACUUCAGAUUUGGCAAAGAACAGAGAAUAAUUAGGUUACUGGAUUUCUAAUAAGAUGGAAUUGUUAUGCUGGGGAAUAAAUGUGCCUUCUGGCAGGACUUUCCCCAGACUCCAUGUAAAACUGAAAUACAAAAUGCAGAGAAAGUCAACUACUAGAAUGAUUCAAGGCAAAGAGCAGGCUGAACAUUAUGAAGCAAUAACAAAUAACAAUACAUUAUCACUGCAAAAGAGAUUUUCACAUACAGCAACUUAACCAACUGAUCCGUAAAGCAAGCUGGAGAUAAAAUAUAAGCACGAAUAUGAACUUGAUCUGAUAAAUGGUAUUCAAAAUUUUUCAUAUUAACAUACCUAUCUUCUAUUCUAUAUUAUUGGAGUUCAUAAAAAUCCAACAAUCACAGGUGGAUAAAGAGAAUAAAAACAAGACCAGAACAUAUAUCACUAUUAAUAGGAAAGGAAAAAAAAUAGACUUUAAUCUGAAUAAUGUUUUAUUGUCAAAUGCUAGCUAGUUCUACUGAACAGUCAAAUGCAGAAGAUUUAUGCCUUAACAGUCAGUUGAUCACGCCAUGAGAUUUUCUUCUUGCCGAGUCCUUUAGCGUCAAUAAAGUAUUUCCUUGGCAUCUUCUCUGUUCUUGAUGCCUCUCUAACAACUUGUUCACCUAGUCCUCUUCCUCCCAAUGCCGCUUCAUAUCUCUGUAAUAAGAACUAAAGAUCCAUGAGUUCAAAUUACAAACUAAAAGAAGACCGUAUCACCACUUGCCAUCAACAUCUUGUCCACGUUAAUUCAAUUACCAAAGUCAAACUUUACAAAAGAUGGAGAAAUAUUUACCACUGCCGUUUCACAGGUAGCAUGCUUUCUUUCCUCUUCAAGCAUUGCUCUUUCUGUAUCCACAUUUUGCAAGUCAACGAGAUCGCUUCCCAGUUCAGCAGGCGUAUGUUGACAGUUCAACAAAUAUCUCCGCUUUCGUCUCAAAAACCUGAUUGUCAGACAAGUGAAUUAUCAGUACACUCUAAGCUUUACACAUUUUUUCUCCUCUAACAUGAUGCACCUCAACAGAGGUACUUAAAUAGAAGAUGAACGGCACUUUCAAACUUUUAAAAGGCAAAGGAAUUCUUACUUGACUAUAGCGACAAGGUUGUCUCUCUUCUGCUCUGCAGUCUGAAACUUCCUCUUCUUUGAAACAAAUUCCUGUCGAAGAUGGCCCCAACAAAAAAUUAUAUCCUCAUCAUGGAUGUCAAAAAAAAAGUUCCCAAUUGAAUUUCAGGCCAGAAGAACCACCAAAACAAAUUAAACCUUUAAAUUCGAAGUAUAGAACAGCAUUAAUUGAAUUAAAUUUCCUAACAAAGUAGACAGCAAUCCUCAGACAUUUAUAAUUGAAACCGUAUAAAAUCAAUCAAAAUUUUUAGAAUAAACGAACCUUUUGCAGUUGCAAGUAUUCUCUCAAGAGGGCUUGAUGCUUGAGCCUUGCCCGAUUAGCCUCCUCAUCCACACCAUUACAUUCUUGCAAAUUUACGGAAGCCCUUUUCAUCUUCAAGUAUAACAACCAAAACCCACCCGCCAAAUCAAACAAAUAUCUCAAAAACACCACCAGCCCAGAUCAAAAAAAUCAGAUCUUUAUACAAAACAGAGAAAAGGGUUGGCAAUAAUGUUGAAAAAAAUAAGAGGGCUGUUGAGUGGUCGUCAAUAUGAGAAGCCUAAAAGGAACCCCAAAAGGGAAGAGGGGUAUUUGAGAGAAGUUGGAGGGGCAUGUGUGGUUGGAGAAGAUUAGAAGAUGUUUCCUCUUCUCAAUGGGAUAUGUUGCCAUAGUUGUGGACUCGUAGAAAUAAAAGUAAUUUUUAUUCUUUUUCUUUUUUGUUUUGGAUUUUGUCAUGUGUGCAAAAUGUGUAGUUUUUUUCUGCAACAUAAUUUCUAGGCCAGCUGGGCCAUUGGAGAUAGGGAGAGAUAAUUUGUUUGCGUUUGUUUCCUUGGAGAGUUGGGAGAUCAGAUAGAUAGGGGGGUAUCAGGAAUAAGAGAAAGUGGUCUUAGAUACGGUGCAGAAAAGGCAGGUGAUAACUGGCCAUUGUUCGUUUAUGGCUAUGGCCUCAUGGGUGGGAUUGCAGUUUUCUUGAGUCGUAAAAGCAAUGACAUGAUUGAUGGAAGGGGUCUAAGGUGUCUAACACAAAAAAAACUGGAGAACAAGAAGGGUAAAAUAGUAAAUGCAUUGCACUAAGCAAACAUCUAACCUUUUUUUUUUUUCAAAGAUUUUAGAUUAGUGGUAAAAACAAGAACAAAUUUACCAAACACUCUAUCAAAGGAUUCCACUUGGAUGAAUUUUUUUUUUUGGCUGCAUUAAUAUUUACUACAACGUCAAAGUACAAAAAAUUUUUACACCUGUAACAUUAGAUACAUGCCACAUGUACGUUAAAAACAUCUGCAUGUUAAACUGAGAUUAUACGUUAUAUAUUCAAACUUAUUGGUAAACACAAACUAAAUAAGAUGAGUUAGAAUUUUUUUUUCAAAAAAUAUCCAUAGAAAACAUGAAAAUUCAUGAGUGUCAAUGGGUAGAAAAGGUGAAAAUCAUAUAUUAACUACUGAAAUGAUUCAAGCAAUAAAACUUCAUCAAAAGUGCCAGCCCAUUUAAGACAUGGAAGCAGUUAGAGAUGAAGAAAAACCUUUUCAAUGAAAACCAAAAACAGAAAAAAAUUGCCCUUUGUUGUUGUACUCUGAUGUGUUUGUGGUAAUUACAUGUCUAUAUAAGACAGAUAGCAGCUUAUAUCUUAUUAUGGAAAAUUCUAUACAUUACUUUAACAUUGAACUUUGGUACUCUGAUAAAAAAUGGUUUUCAGGAUUAGAAGAAAAUUAUUGAAGAAAAAUUGAAAGCACUUGACCUACUAGGGUAUAGUGGUAAAAUAAGAUAUUAGACUCUAAACCGGGCAAUAAUUGCAGAGCCAAUCAUAGUUCAUAGUUUCUCCUCUAAUUUUGACUUAUGGUCCCCAUUAGGGGUGGGAUCAAAUUAGGGCUGCAAACGAGUCGAGCCGAGUCGAGCUUUGAGCUAAUCGAGCCGAGCCUCGACUAAAUUUUACCAAGCUCGAGCUCGAGCUCGAGCUCGACGAGCCGGCAAUUUUCGAGCUCGAGCUCGACUCGAAUCAAGUCGAGCCGAGCUCGAGUCGAGCUCGAACUCGAGCUCGAGCUCGAAAAAAAUAAAAAAUAAUUAUUUUUUUUUAAAAAUAAAUAAAAUAAUAUUUUUUUCUUAAUAAAUAAUAAAAUAUUAAGGAUAUAUACGUAAUUUUACUAUGAAAAUAAAAAAUAAAAAAAUAUAUAUAUAUAUAUAAUAUACGUAAUUUUAUUAUUAAAUAAAAAUAAAAAUAAAAAAUAUAUAUAUAUACUCAAGCUCGCGAGCCGACUCGCGAGCUAACGAGCUUAAUAUUCUGAGCUCGAGCUCGAGGUCGAAUUUGACUCGAGCCGGCUCGAGCUCGACUCGAACUCGAUAUUAAUUGAGUGUCAGGCUGCACAAUUCAUGUUCUUAAGCAUAAUAAGGGCUCAAUUGAGCAUUAGCUAGUUUAGUUAGCUGAGUAGCUAAACGAUGUCGCUCGAGAGUUGUUAAGUACCACAAACGGUGCCGUUCCACUUAAUCAGACAGUUAUGCAUUAGCUCAGCUGUUAGUUACUGUCAGGUUGUUAGAGUUAGUUAUAUAAGUGGGGCCCACUUUGUAAGGGACACACGGAAAAUAUACUGAUUCUCUGAUAUCUCCAAUUCCCUCUUAUUCUCUCUUUCUCUCUCUCAGUCUAAUUCUUUCUCUGUUCUUCCCCAAUUUCCUGAUUCUACAAUCAAUUAAUCUUGAUUUCCUACACAAUUCCAGAACUAUCCUCGAGGUCGUGACAAAGUGGUAUCAGAGCAAGCGAUCCUUGGAUUCUGUACCAUAGAUAAUGGCGGAAAGCACCAGAUUCCGCACCAUCGAAGAGCAGAUGAGGAAGCAAGAAGCUAAGCUCCAGGAUCUUGCGGAGUCCCUGCAGGCGUCCAAAUCUGAACACCAGCAAGUCAAGAAGGACUUGAAGACGGAACUGGAAGAAAACAACAGGCGCAUGGAGAACUUGUUAUCCGGAAUGGAGCAGAAUUUCCACCAGAUUCUUGAGCAAAAAUUUAGUGAACUGUUACUGAAGAUGACGCCUGGGAAGGAGAAAGUGACCGAAGGAGGUAGCCGGAUGAUAGAUCAGGUGCCGCUCCUACCAACUCCACCAGCUCAUCAGAGGUUAUCAAUGGAUGGCGAGGCUCACAGGACUUUCAGGAAGGAUUGGGGUAAGUUCCAGCUUCCAAAUCCUCCUAAGAUUGAUCUAUACAUGUUUACUGGAGAAAAUCCUAGAGAUUGGUUGCGCAAAUGUAACAAAUACUUUCUGAACUAUCAAGUUCCUGAUGAGCACAGAGUAGAGGUAAUUGAGAUGUAUUUAGAAGGUAAGGCUGACCGUUGGUUCCAAGGAGUUAAAAUGGAGAGGCCUAAGCUUAAUUGGGAAGAAUUUGGAGAACUGCUCUGUUGCAGAUUUAAUGACAGGACUUGUAAAGAUGUAGUGGAGGAAUUUAAUAAACUGCAACAGAUAGGGAAUGUUGAAGAGUACCAGGAGAAGUUUGAGGAGCUGAAGGCCUUAAUGAUGAUGAAAAAUCGAAAUCUGGAUGAGAAAUACUUCAUUUCUAGUUUCAUUAGUGGCUUGAAGGAGGAAAUCAAACCUAUGAUCAAGAUGUUAAAACCUCUGACCCUGACUGAGGCAUUUGAACUAGCUCAGUGGCAAGAAUAUUCUUUGAAGUUGCAGCAUAAGAGUUCUAAAGAGAAUGUCAAACCUCUAGGAGAAAACAGACUGGGGUUGACACGGGGCACCACAACAACUCAGGGAGCUAAUUCAUAUAAGGUUCCCUUCUACAACAACCAUAAGCCUACUAAGUUGGGGAAUUGGCAGGAAGGCACUAAGGAUACUAGGAGACUUUCUGCACAGGAAAUGCAGUUUAGAAGGACGAAUGGGCUAUGCUUUAAGUGUGGGGACAAGUAUGGGGUAGGACAUCAGUGUAAGGUAGGCCAUACAAACUGCAUGAUACUGGAAGAGGAGGAGGAAACUACAUUUGAGGAUGCCCUGGGGGAACAGGAUGAACAAACUGGGAAUCCUGGGCAGACCAUGGAAUUGUCCUUAAAUGCCUUAUCUGAGGCACUAAAGAGGAAAACUAUCACACUUACAGGGGUCCUGAAUGGAGAAGAGGUGUCCAUCUUAGUGGACACUGGGAGUUCUGAUAGUUUUAUAAACAGUGAGCUGGUCAUUGGAAUGGAUCUCAAAUAUCAGUGGGUGGAUCAACCCUUCUCUGUCCUCAUGGGCAAUGGAGAUUGUGUCACCAGCAAUGCAGUAUGCCCAGGUGUGCAAUGGAGUAUUAAUCAACAUCACUUCAGGUUUAAUCUCAAGGCAAUGGAACUAGGGGGAUGGGAUAUCAUUCUGGGGGUAGAUUGGAUGACACACUUCAGUCCCAUUACUUUCGACUUCCAACAACUGAGAAUAUCAUUACACCAUGAAGGAGGGGAAAUUCACCUACAUGGACAAGCAGAUAAUUGUGACUUGGACCUGAUCAGAGGCAAAGACUUGAGGACCUUUAUUGAAUACAAAAGGCAGAUGUGCCUGGCCAUGAAUUUACAGCAGAAUGAAGGGAGCAGAUUAGAUACCACACCACUGGAGGUGCAUCAAUUGCUGCAGGAGUUUGAGGAUGUAUUCCAGGCACCACAAUCACUACCUCCAAGCAGAAGUAUAGAUCACGAGAUAGCCCUUAAACCAGAUGCCCAACCCUUCAAACUCAAACCUUAUAGAUACCCUCAUUGUCACAAGGAGGAAAUAGAGAGACAGGUGACUGAAAUGCUGCAGAAGGGCAUUGUCAAACACAGCAACAGUCCAUUUGCCUCUCCUGUAUUGCUGGUCAAGAAGAAGGAAGGCACCUGGAGAUUCUGUGUGGACUACAGGAAGCUGAAUGAGCUAACUGUCAAGGACAGGUUCCCAAUACCCAAUGUAGAUGAGUUGCUGGACGAAUUAGCAGGUUCUGUAUUCAAAACCAAAUUGGAUUUGACUGCAGGUUAUCACCAGAUCAGGGUCAAACCACAGGACUCUUUCAAAACAGCCUUUCAGACCCAUUGUGGUCACUUUGAAUUUCUGGUAAUGCCUUUUGGUCUUACCAAUGCUCCUGCAACCUUCCAGUCGUUGAUGAAUCAGAUAUUCCAACCUUAUUUGAGAAAAUUUGUCCUGGUCUUCUUUGAUGAUAUAUUAGUAUACAGCUCUACCUUAGAGGAUCACAUCCAGCACCUAAGACUUGUGCUGAAUCUGUUGAGGGAUAACCAGCUGUUUGUGAAGAAGUCCAAGUGUGCAUUUGCUCAGAGGAGGGUAGACUAUCUAGGACAUACUAUUACUGACAAGGGAGUUAGCAUGGAUGACUCCAAGGUUAGUAGCAUUUUAAAUUGGGUCGUACCUCAAAAUGUCAAGGAAUUAAGGGGCUUCCUGGGGCUAACAGGUUACUACAGACGAUUUGUAAAACAUUAUGGCCAGGUGUGCAAACCUCUGACUGAACUGCUCAGGAAAGAUGGGUUCAGGUGGAAUGAAAAAGCACAGGCUGCCUUUGAGCACUUGAAGGAAUUGAUGUGCUCAGCCCCAGUUCUCAUACUUCCAGACUUUACCAAGGCAUUUGUAGUGGAAACAGAUGCCAGUGGGGGUGGUAUUGGAGCUGUUCUGAUGCAGGAAGGACAUCCAAUUGCCUUCCUGAGCAAGGCAUUAUCGCCCAAGAAUUUGGGACUAUCAGUAUACGAAAAGGAACUCCUUGCUCUAGUAAUGGCAGUCACUAAGUGGAGGCAUUAUCUGGUUGGAAAUCAUUUUGUUAUCAGAACUGACCAUCAAUCCUUAAAGUAUUUGCUGGAUCAAAAAUUGAACACUGCUCUCCAGCAUAAGUGGAUGACAAAACUCAUGGGAUUAGACUAUGAGAUACAGUAUAAAAAGGGGGUUGAAAAUAAGGUUGCAGAUGCUUUAUCUAGAAGACAGGAGACUGUUUCAAAUCCUUCCUUCAAGACAUGCCUGGCUAUAUCAGCAGUGAGGCCAGGGUGGAUGGAGGAACUGCAGAAAAGUUAUGAAUUAGAUGAGCAUUGUCAAAACAUCAUGGCUCAACUACUACUGGAUCCCACUUCUCACAAUGGCUAUACUCUGGUGGAUGGAGUGCUACGUUAUCAAGGAAAAAUCUAUGUGGGAGGGGCCAAUAACAUCAGAAACCAGAUCCUUCAGGUGCUUCAUGCCUCAGCACUGGGAGGUCAUUCAGGACAAAAAGGCUGUUGGCAGAGGAUUAAGUCACUGUUUUAUUGGCCAGGGAUGAAACAAGAGGUGAUAGCCUUCGUACGUAGCUGUGAUACCUGUCAAAGGAAUAAAUCUGAGAAUGUUCCAUAUCCUGGUCUGUUGCAACCAAUUCCAGUUCCCACACAGGCAUGGACUCACAUUUCCAUGGAUUUCAUUGAGAAGCUACCCAAGUCACAAGGGUUCGACACCAUUCUGGUGGUGAUUGAUAGGUUCACUAAGUUUGGGCAUUUCGUUCGACUCACUCAUCCAUUCACUGCCAAAGGGGUUGCACAAGUUUUUCUGGACAACAUUUACAGAAUGCAUGGUCUACCUGAAUCCAUCAUCACAGACAGGGAUAAGAUUUUUACCAGUGGAUUCUGGAAGGAGCUAUUUAAGGUGCUAGGGACAGAACUACACUACACUUCUUCUUACCAUCCUCAGUCUGAUGGUCAAAGUGAAAGGCUGAAUCAAUGCGUGGAAAACUACUUGAGAUGUAUGACAGGAGAGAUGCCAUCACAUUGGAGCAAGUGGCUGUCUAUGGCUGAGUGGUGGUACAAUUCCACCUAUCACUCUAGCCUCAAUAUGACACCCUUCGAAGCUUUGUUUGGAUAUAGACCCUUGCCACUGCCACUGGGGCCUUAUUUGGAUUCUGUAGUUCCAGCAGCCUCCAAUAUGAUCCAGGAAAGGAACAGGAUCUCUAACUGCAUAAAGGACAACUUGGCCAAGGCUCAACAAAGGAUGAAGCACUUUUCUGACCAACACAGAACUGAGAGAGAAUUUGCUGUGGGAGAUUGGGUAUUUUUGAAGCUUCAACCCUAUAGACAGCAAACGGUAGCAGUAAGGAAAUGUCUCAAGCUAUCUGCUAAAUAUUUUGGACCUUUUCAGGUGGAGGAAAGAGUUGGUACAGUGGCAUACAGAUUGAAGUUACCAGCAGGUACCAGAUUACACCCUGUGUUUCAUGUGUCACUGCUGAAGAAAAAAAUGGGACCAAUGCAAGGGAGUUCUACCAAGCUACCAGAACUGGACACACAUGAUCAAUGCCCUCUGCAACCAGAAGCCAUAUUGAGCAGGAGGGUUAUUUUGCGCAAUGGGCAGACUAUCAUUCAGUUCCUGAUUAAAUGGGAGCAGCUGGAACCUGAAGAAGCUUCUUGGGAGGAUAAAUCAUUUAUCGAAAGCCAGUUUCCUGCGUUCCAAACUUGAGGACAAGUCUGUUUUCAAGGGGAAGGGAUUGUCAGGCUGCACAAUUCAUGUUCUUAAGCAUAAUAAGGGCUCAAUUGAGCAUUAGCUAGUUUAGUUAGCUGAGUAGCUAAACGAUGUCGCUCGAGAGUUGUUAAGUACCACAAACGGUGCCGUUCCACUUAAUCAGACAGUUAUGCAUUAGCUCAGCUGUUAGUUACUGUCAGGUUGUUAGAGUUAGUUAUAUAAGUGGGGCCCACUUUGUAAGGGACACACGGAAAAUAUACUGAUUCUCUGAUAUCUCCAAUUCCCUCUUAUUCUCUCUUUCUCUCUCUCAGUCUAAUUCUUUCUCUGUUCUUCCCCAAUUUCCUGAUUCUACAAUCAAUUAAUCUUGAUUUCCUACACAAUUCCAGAACUAUCCUCGAGGUCGUGACAUCGAGCUCGACUCGAGCUCGAAUCGAGCGGCUCGCGAGCAGCUCGCGAGCAGCUCGAUUCGUUUGCAGCCCUAGAUCAAAUGAACAAUUAACUACUGGACCCCUAGAUAAGAGGUAGGGAUGGUAAAUUAAAAAUUGUAAAGCAACCCCUGAUUGACCCGUGAAUUACUGAUUAUGAAAUGAUUCCUUGUUAAAAUGCCAAAUCGUGAACAAUUAGGUCAGUUAGGUAGAGCAUACUAGCAUGAAAAAAAAAAUUUAUAAAGGGUAAGAUUGUUAAGAUCUUACUAAUUAUUAAAAAUUGUAAAGCAACCCUUCUUUUCAAAAAAAAAAAAAAAAAUUGUAAAGCAACCCUUGAUUGACCUGUGAAUUACUAAUUAUGAAAUAAUUCCUUAUUUAAAAUGCUAAAUCAUAAACAAUUAGAACCGUAAGGUAGAGCAUAAUAACAUUAAAAAAAAAGAUUAUUAAGGGUAAGAUUGUUAUGUUAACUUUUGUAAUCAACAAGAAGUCAACAACAAUGUUUGUAUUUAAAUGUAAACUAGUUUUGUACUCAUUCGUUGAAUGGGAAUUGUCUAAAAAUAAUAAAUUAUUUAGUGUAGUUCAUAAAAUACAAACUUAUUGUAUAAUCUAUUAUAACCUUUCUUAAAUACAUUGUUAUUAAAAAAUAGUCUUAUAAUAUAUAUUUAAACAUCUAAUUCAGUGAUUAAUAAUUCGAAAUGCAAAAAAAAAAAUCGACAAUAUGUUGACAUUCAAAAACUUGAAAAUAGGGAAGAUCAAAUCUUGGCUGAUCUUCUGUAAACAAAAGAAUGGCCAACCCGUUACCAAAACAUCAAUUUUGGUAUUUAAUAUAAAUGGCUUAAAGGUUAAUGUGAAAAGAAAAGAAGCCGAGUGAAAUAUUAAUAAAAGAUAAUAAUUCAGAAUCAAUCAAGUCACAGGAACAUAGCAACCUUCCAAAUCUGUUCAUGGCUAAUAGAAACCAAAACGAAAACAUAAGAUGUAUUUUGCUAUUAAGUCAAAAACAUAAAAAAUCUAAAUAGUCUGAUGUAUAUUGCAUGACGUGAACUGCUGUAUGACAAUGAACUUGAUGCCUUGCCAUUUAUGUAAUCAAUGACACCUUCUUGUUCUUUAGAAGCUUUCUAUCAAAGUCUAAAAAAAAAAAACAUUGAAAACUGCACAAAAUUUUUUUAAUCCCAGAAACCCAGAAAAUAAAAAAAAUUAAUACGUUGUUGAAGACAAUUAAUAAAUUGUCAAAGGCAAUUAAAAAAUCGUGUGAAAACACAUAGUUUAAAAGGCCACUUCUAAAUCGCUAACCAAAAAGCAAUAUGUGUUCUACUUAAAUUGAAGAGUGAAUCCAUAAAUUGAAAUAACAAAUUAAUUACAAAAACCUUGUCAGAAAUAAAAACCAAACUGUAACUUUUGAAGAGUUAGAAAAUUCAAAUUCAAAUUCAAUGACCUAACUAUGAAAAAGGUGUAGGAAAUUACAAACCACAUACAGCGAGCAUAAACAAAGUCCAAAUGCGAUCCUUGCAUUGAAGGAAAUAAAAACGAAGUUCCAAAUCCGGUCCUUGCAUUGAAAAAAAAAAUUUUCAAAAACAUUGUGGAAAAGUGUAAACAUCUACACUGCUUGAUAAAGUGAUAAGUAAUAGAUCGAUAACCAUAUAUAUGAGUAAAAAUGUAGAGUAUCUUCAAUAGCGAUAAUCUGAUAAAGAUAAUCUAAUAUUUGAAUUGAUAUUUCGAACUUUUGAGUUGAAGAUGAGAGAGAGUUAAAAACAUAAUUCAAAAUUAUUUAUACUAAUCCCCUGGAAAUUUAGGCUUGACGAUUAGGGUUAAGGGAAAAAAAGGUAAGAGAAUGAAAGAGAUAAUUAUGAAAGGAUUAUCUAAAAUUGUAAAGUCAAGAGAAAAAAGAGAGAUAGAACAGCGUAGGUUAUUAGGGGGUUAACUCAUAGAGCGCGUUGCAUCUACUUGCUAUGUCGAUAAGCCACGUAGGAAAGAGAUAAAUUAAAAGGAUAAGGAUGAGAAUAAGACUUUAUUUUAUAUAUAUAUAUAUAUAUAUAUAUGAUUUAUUAGGAAAGAGAAAACAUGAAGGGAUAAGAAUGAGAAUACGACUUUAUAUAUAUAUAUAUAUAUAUAUAUAUAUGAUUUAUUAAGAAUCCUAUUAGGAAACUACCGUCUCGUUAAGCUACGUAGGAAAGAGAAAACAUGAAGGGAUAAGAAUGAGAAUACGACUUUAUUAUAUAUAUAUAUAUAUAUAUAUAAAAUACCCUGGCAAGCUGCAAGUUUAAUACCUAAGAAAAAAUGACAGGGAAGAUAAUAUUUUUAGUGGUUUUUUUUUUGUCUCAGAUAUUAAUAAUAUUGAGGGGAUCAUAUCACAGGUGACAACUAACUUGAAAUUUAAUAGUUCAAUAAGCUUUGACUGAAGACAAGAAUAUACAGUUCAAUGGGCAAAUUCUAUCUUAUAAUAUUUUUUCCUAUUUUUCUCUCCCCAACCUAUCUUAAAUUCUUAAUACCUAAUUUAACUAUAUAAUAUGAAAACAGAGGGACUGUUAGCAAUUCUUUCUUUCCAAGGUAACCUUUUACCAAGUACUAUUUUGCGCAGGAGAAAAUACUCUGUGUAUAGUAGUAGCUGGGCCUGAUUUUAACUUCUGCAAGCCAGAGUUUGAUUAUUUAUGUGACCACUUAGUCUGCAGACAUUUUUCGUACCAAAUUAAGAACUUUUUACUAUUGAUGAGGCAGGUAGAAAAAAUUUAACAUGGUACAGUCAUCCCAUUCAAUAUUCAUUGAUUUUCGCUUGAAAUUAAUCUAAAUUUUUUUCGGGCUAAAUCGAUUUUUUAACUGGUAUUUUACCUUAUAUGUUUCACAUGAAAUAAAAAAAAUGUUACGAUAAAUAGUACAAUAAACAUUUUCCAAAUAAUGUUUCAGGCAAAGGGAGAAAUUUUUUAACCCCAACGCCCAAAAGAGAGAGAGAGAGAGAGAGAGAGAAAUUUCAAAAGCAUGUUUUGUCACAUGGUUUUGGACCAAAGAAAUUUGUUGCUUCUAGCUUCAUGGCUUUUAACAUUUUACAGAAGGAAAAUUUUAUUCUAGUCUGACUAUAGAUGGCAAAUCAAUCCAUUUAAUUAAAUUUACCCAUACCCGCCCAUGAAUAGAUGGGUAUGGGUAUCUUAAGUUUUUGCAUAUGGGUAUAAAUGGGUUACCCAAUAAUACCUAUUUAUUAAAUAGGUACUAUUGGGUAACCCAUCAAACCCAAUUAACCCAUUUAGAAUUGUUUUCCCUCAAAUCUCUUCUCUUCCCCCGCCCUUUUUUUUUCAUAUUUUUCAUUUUUUUAUGAUGUUAACUACUUUUGUUUCAUUAUAAUUAUUAUUUGUUGAUUUUAUUUUCUCUUAAUUUGUUAACUUACUCAUUUUUUAGCAUUAUCAAUUUAUGAUAAGUUUAGCCUCUUUUCCUACCUUUCCAAAAUGAAAUUUUCAAUUUACACAUGAAAAAAAUAUUAGGGGUUCAAAAAUUUUGGAUUAAGUUUAUAUGUUAAUUUUUAUAGUACUUAAUUUAAAUUUUUAUAUUCUUAUUAUUUAAUUAUUAAAUAGUAUGUAAUUUUGCGACAUAGAGUACGGAUAGGAAAAAAAUUGAUAAUUAGGCUUAUUGAACAUUAUAAGUAAAUAUUUAAAACUAAUGAUGGGUGCAAAGAGUGGUAUAAAUUGAUAACUUAGUUUGCAAAAAUGAAUUUAAAUGAGUUUACAAAAAGUUAAAAUAAAUGAAUUAUAAAUGGGUAAUUGGGUUACCCAAUUCAUUUUUUGACUUACCCAUUUAUACCCAUUUAAUUAAAUGGAUAUAAAUGGAUUAAUUCACUUAUACCCAUUACCCAUUUUACCCAACCCAAACCCGCCCAAGUCACCCAUUUUGGCACCUCUAAGUCUGACUAACAAAUGACUGGUACGAUAAACACAAAUUAAAAAAUAGCCCUCCUAAUUUUUAAGAGUUUUCGUAUUUAUAUAUAUUUCUGUAUUUGUAUAUAUCGUUCAGACACAUCGUAUUCAAGACAAAGUUUCAAUCGAAGAUCAAGAAAAUAAUGAAGCAAAUAUGAUUAAGUUUCAAUCCAUGAUCAAGAAAAUACAUAUGAUUGCAACCCAUAGCCCUUGACCGCAUAACCUACUAAAACCAUACAGGAAAACUUGAUCAGACUUUGAUUUGAAGACUGAAACAGUAGUGUUUAUGGAGAUUGGAAUCUGCAGAACACAACUUUCUUAAAACUUUUGUUCUGGAUUUGACGAUUAAGAUACACUUGCAAUGUCCGGGACACCUCAUCCAUGAUUCUGUCUACAAUCUCUACAAUGAGGGAAAUAAUCAAAAAAGUAGUUUUAACUUACAGUUAGCCUACAAUUUGGAAUUGAAUUCUUCUCCUUUUCAGAGUUCCAUUUGCUGUCAAUGCUGAAACAAUUGAUCUACUUCAGUAAAUGGGGGGAGCCAAUUGGGAACCCCAAACAAAGCAGACCUAACUGUACCCUAGGAAGAAUUACAUGGGCAUGCUAAUCCUCACCUACCCCUAUCUGCGUUAAUUGGAAAAGAUUCUAUCAGUCAUGUUAAAUUACAACAUCAAGAAUCAGUUAAUGCAUCAGCUGCCUUUCUUCGAAGAAGAAUGACCCGUCUUCCUCUUGUGACGGCUAAAAUCUGAUACAAAUCGAAAUGUCUGGUUACAGCCUGGCUCAGCACAGACAUAAGGACGAGCACCAGUGUGAACUCUAAUGUGCUCCGUCCUAGCCCAUGCCCACUUAAAUGACAUCUUGCAGCCUUUCCAGGGGCACUUCAGCGGGCGAUCAUCCACGUGAACACGGCGAUGCUGCACCAAGUACUUGUGGGAGAAGAACUUCUUACCACAGCCCUUUACUGGGCAAAUAUUGCGCUUAUGUAAUACAAGCUCCUGCUUUGAACCAAAUCCCAUGGUGCAACCUUCCAUAUCACAUGGAUACUCAGUCUUCUCAUCCUUUACCUUCAUCUUGUUAGAGCCAGCAGGACUCUUCUUUGCCUUCAAGCCAUUUGGCUGUUUCUUUGCUACUGAUUUGGUUUCAAGAGAUUUGGCUCCCUGACCUUUACUAGGCUUUUCAGCUCUUUUCCUCAGCCGUGUGCUAGGCCCACCUUCCUGCUCUUCCUCAGUUUCUAAGUUGAACUGUUUCCUGUUCCUCACAACUUUGUUGCCUUUGUUGCUAGACUCAACAUUCUCUUUCUUCCUUUGCGUGUUCCUCCGGUUGCUUUUGCAUUGAUGUUGAGAAUGGUUGACUGGAGAAUCUUCGGCAGCUUUAUCUCGCUCUUCAACUUUUGCAGAUUUAGCUUUUACAGCCGGCCUAAUUUCUGCUGCAGUUUUUCUCUUUCUCCCAGUCCUGCAAGUUCUAGCAGUUGUUUCACCAGUCUGCACAUGGGUGCUUUCCAAAGGUCUCUCAGGCUUCAAAUCAGCCUUCAUGCAGGAAGGAAUGCUUCUCUCCUGUUCUUCUUCAUCUCUUUCAGCAAGGAAAGGGUGAACCUGAUUGGACAUCCAGACUUUUCCACACCACUUCCCAGCAACAACAGUCUUUUUUGGUUUGCCUGGCCAAUUCCCAAGAGAGUCAUCCUUUGUUGGGCUAUUCACCGGAGAACUUCGGCCAAAUGCAUUGUAUAUCAAAAAGUUGUAUGGCAUUUGCUUAGAGUAGAGAGGAGAGCGACUAAGACUGGCACUGUAAUAGAGAUUAAUGCCUAGUUUUACUGCCCAAUCCCCAUUUCCAUGUAUUGCUUCUUGACUUUCUAAAGCUGCUUGUAUAGUUUCUUCAUCUUCUUUUGAUGCCUGCCUGAAUGAAAUACUACUCCAAACAUAAUGACCCCCCAAUUCUUCUGCCAUCUUUUUCGCUUGAGCCUCUACAUUGGGAUAGUCUGCAUAGAAGUAAUAAUAGUAAGAAGAACAAAAUUUCAGGAAAAGCACACCAAUGAGAUGCUCCUUUUGACUUCCCAAUUUACCACUUUCAUUUAUUACUUUCUUCUGUCCUUUUUUCAGAGUUUUCCAAGAGCAUAGCAUGGCUACCCCUCAUCGCAAAGAGAGAGUUCAAUGUGGCAGACACUAAACGUCAAGGAUUUACUUCCUUUUCUUUUUUAAAGUUGGCGGGAAUUAUUGUGUUAGAGCGGUACUAGAAAAGCAUUUAUAUUCAUCUACAAGACAGAUAUUCACCUGGAUGACAAAGGAGCAAAACAUUAACCCCACCAAUAGACCGAAGCUGCUUUUCUACCUGUACAGCAUGCUGAAGACAGAAUACAUGCAUCCUUGAAGAAUCUUCAUCAGGUCUUCCGGCAAAUGGCAAAGUUUUGUUCUCAAACUCUACUAUGGCAGUGGAUGUUAUAGUCUCAGCCUUGUGGGCUAAUGGGGAAGGAGACGAGGCAUCUUGUUCUUUGACUUGAUGCCUACACCUAUCUGCUAAAUUAUCUAUCUCCAUCGAUGGAAAACUUCGUCUCUUGUACUCAAUAGUCCCAUCCGGAGGUGGAUGUCGUCUACUCUCAGAUGUAGAUUUUGUAGUUCCUUGUUUGUCAGAAGAGCCAAUAAUUUGGAGAGGAACCACAUCUGCACAACUAAACUCUGAACAGGAGAUAACAUUGUUUCUGGAUCCUCCUUCGUGAAGUCCAGCAUCAUGACAAUGCAAUCCACUUUCUGGCGAGCAAUCCUUAGCUUCGUUCUGGCAGGCUUCAGUAUGAUUAUUCGCAUCAACAUCAUCCUCAUCUGAGUCAGAAGAAUUACCAUAUGUCAAAGCCAAUAGACCAAGGGAUGAAGUGUCCUUUUGUGCUUCUGUAUUUGGAAUCAGUCCAACAAUUUCAUCAUCGACUGACUGAUACAGACCACCAGAUUGCACUGGGACAUCAAAGAGUUCAUCUGGGUUCCUUUUGUACAUCCAUCCUGCAAUGGAAUACAUGAAAACUCAUCAGUCACAACUGCUGGACAGAUUUAACCCACGUCUAGACAGAAUUCAAAAAUGGAUAAGUAACAGUUCUAAGUUCACAUUUACAAAUGGACAGACAGUUGAAUGAAUUUGCUGCGACAUCCCAUUCACUAAUUUUGAUUACUUGAUCCACCAAAACAAUUACACUUCAAGAAAUCAAUCUACUCUAGAAUAAAAAUGGGAAGCCAGUGUCAACAUUUUCCUUCAGAGGAGUACCUGAACAAGAAUCUGACUUAGGCGGAACUUCAUCUCCAUUAACAACAGUUAAGACAUCACUGGUUUCUCCCCAGUCCUUAAAUUCGCUCCUAUCAGCUGUUAUCAGGUAAGUUGCAGCUGCAUCUGUUGGUUGAACUAUAGCAACACAAGCAAAGCACAAUAUCCCACAAGUGACGCAUGAAAAGAGCCCCUGCUCUGAUAACCUAUCACCCCGAGAAGCUCUGCCUUUUUCAGUUUCCAUGUUCUUGGACUCAGAAGCUAGAGCUGAAAAUUCAUUACCUCUAACUGAACAAGGAAGCCUCUUAUCAAAACAGGAAGGAGAAACAGUUUCCUUCAUCGAACAGGAUCCUGUCCCUUGCAGGACUCCCCUUUUCCUCUCUUGCACAAUACCUUCAGAAAGUAAGCUUUUUGUUGUUUUCAUCAUGAGGUCUGGACUGCCCAAACUGGGAAACAACCCAGGCUGUACCUGUGACUGCGAACCAGCUUUUGAAUUUGAGCUAAAAGAACUGACAACGGAAUUUUGAGGAAGAAUUACAACUGAAGAUCCCUCAGCCAGCAUAUAAAGUAGAUCAUUGUUCUGCAUCACAUCUUGUACAAAUAGGUCUUUUACCAACAUUUCUCCUUCACCUUUCUUCUUAUCCUUUAGCCGUGAACUCCGUGGUUCCAUGCGAACCCCCCUUGGUACUCUGCCCCAAAAAAAAUUGUUAAAAGCUAUAGAAGCAUCCAGAGUAGGUCCUUUUCUAGAAAUCAUGUUUUACACUUGCAUAAACUAGUUCUGACAGUUCUGUAAGACAAGAUUGAUGUUAUAAGAGGUGAUUUUUUUUUCAAUAGAAGACACGUUUACACUAUCUUCCAUCAAAAAGUUCUGACAUUUCUAAAUCAACUUUUCAUCACAAGAAUCUCCCCCCAAAAAAUUACGUUGCAUACCCAAACUGGCCAGAAAAAAGUUGCAUUCAUACACAACCCCCCCCCCCCCCAAAAAAAAUUUAUUCUUGCACUUUCUGGAACCAGUUCAAUAUCUGAGACUAUCAGUAUGACUAGACAAAUUCAAUAUCCACUUUAUAGGAAAAAUAAAACAAAGGUAAGAUGACUUCGUCCCCAAGGUUGAGGAACAGAAAUUGCAGAUGUAAAUCGCCAUAAAGCAGGAAGAUGGUCUAGACUUCAGAAAAAACUCAGCAAAAAGGAAUGGAAACACGCUAAGAGUAAAGCUAACAGAUUUAAGGCACCAAAGAAGCUCACAUUAUACUGAUAAUUACCAAUAAAAAAUAGAAUGUGCCCCCACUAAAGAGUGAAAUGACAAUUUUCAUUUAUCAGAUAUGCUCCUUCAGUUUCGGCUAAAUCUUGGCAUGUCAUACUUUAAGGAAUACUUCCAUCCAAACACUGGGCAAAUUGUAAUUGAUUAGUUUAUGAUGGAAACCUCAAAGAGUCCAAAACCUCCACAUUCGAACCCCAGACUAAAAUGAGAAGCCACAACCAAAGGAAAGACCAUAGGAGAAACUUUCACAAAGCCAAACUACUAGAUAGCACAAAUUUUUACCCAUUACAAUAGAACAAACCUUGAACAAGAUGAAAGUGCCAGAUCAUAUAACAACUGAAAGUGGGAAACCAUUGGAGGACAAUUAAUUGAAGCCCUACGAAUUGCAGCAUCUUUUGCAACAGUGAGCCAUCCAGGAGUAGCAAUAUUAGCAGCCUCACCACAGUUAAACCCUAUGUUUUAAGAGAUGAAAUGUAUAGGAAUACUUAGACAUUCUACAAUCUUUCCAUCCUUCAAGGGGAGAUAAGGAGAUAAGAGACGAAUUAAAUGAAGAAUUGUAUUACCAUGACUAAACCCUGAGUGAUAGGCCCUUGGAAAAGUAACAACAAAUUCUCCAGCAUUUUGCACCAACCUAAUACAAAACAUGGGCAAAUAAACUGCAAAAACCCAACAGUAAAAGAAGCAACUUGUAGUAGAACUUAUAUUACAAGAGCCUACAAUGGUAGCUAGAUCUUUUUCAAGGCUUUUGCCACAAUAAUGUGUAAUUAAGUAGAAAUUUGCUGUCCCAUGCCAUCAGAAAAUUUGCUUCCAUUAGUUACCUCUAUUUUGGCAUUUCUAUUGAUGUACUUUUUUCCUUUUAAGCGAGUUGCCAGAUACCAAUGAACCUAUAUGUAACUGACAUGAUUUUAUUCCUUUCAGAAGUGGCAGGGUCAAAGUGAAGCUCGAAAGCUAAUGGUCAACUAUUCCACUCUUUAAGGAACCACAGUCCUCAGAGCAUUAAUGUGAAACAAACAUUGUAAUCUGUUGUGAGACUAGAACUCACCUGCAGCAUGGAACACCUGCAUCAAUAAGUACCUCAGGUGACAUGACUGUGGUCUUCUCACCAAGUGUUGAAAACGUAACUGAAAGAAUAUAUCAUAAAACCCUAGUUACUUGAAUAAGAUGUGGAAAAAAGGGGGGAAAUUCUAACACACACGUAUAGCAAUCAAAUUACCAAUUUAACAAGAAAAGUUAUCAGAAACCCAAAAAGACAAGUAAAUACUUCUGUACCAACCACAAAAGUUAGGAACUUUCUGUGAGAAGCCAUCCAAAGUAUAAGAAAAACAGAAAGAAAAGGAAUUUUGUGGAGAUCCAUUUUUGCUGGCCUUCAAUACUUUUUAGCUACACCAAGUGAAAUUAUUCCUAAAAAUUUAGAUGAAGCACUUCACUUAGAGAAUUCACAAGGCAAGUUAGUACAUGUAAGUUGAUGAGUCAUUUUAGGAUCCGUUACAACAUAGCCCCUGAGAUAAAUCAUUUGGCAUAUGGUCUUUCUGUAGCAUUCAAAUAAACAGACCCCUAAACUUCUGUUAAUACUUCCACAUGUUAUAGCUCCCAUUUGAAUAAAUUUUUUAGUCCUCACAUAACAUACAAUCACCACAGUUGAAAUACCAAUCCAACCCAGCCAAUCAUUUACAGGCAAUCAAAACAUCCUCCUCCUUUGUGGAGCUUGUACUCUUUAAAUUCUAGAAAUAGAUGUUAAAUUAGUAUCUGGUGUAAUGAUUUCAUAAAAAAAAAUUAACACUGAAGUAAUCCAUCUUCAACAAUGCAUCCAGCUAAAUAAGAUCAAUCUCAAAUCCAGCAUUUCUGAGUGAACCUUAUCGGCUAACAUAAAUCAGUUCGGACAACCCGAGAAACACCCUCAGACAUCUAUAUGUGCUUGAGCGAGUGUCCUAAUCUGAUGGUUAAGAUUCUUAUUCGAUGGAUCUGUCCAUUUACCAAUUUUACCUAGGCACUAGCAUCCUGCCCUUGUAAGCAACAUGAUGAUGAUUGAUUUGGCACUAAAACUUUAUCACAGCAAUAUUGCUGCAAUCAUAAAUUGUUUCACAAAGAGGACUUCGGGCAACACAAAUUUUACAAAUGGUGGAAGCACAAAUUCAUUAAUUGUGGAAAUUUAUGUUCGAGAAAAUGCCUAGAGAAAAACUUGAAUAUAGUGCCAACCUUGAGCUUCGAAUGGACCUGUAUCGAAUAACAAAAAUGAAAAGAAAGUUUUAUCCUACCUAAUUGGAAUCUACUUCUAUUUUCCUCCAAGAAUUUAAAUUCAAAGGACAUAAACAACAGUAGAAUUACAAACAAAAAGCAAACAUGAAUCAGAAUAAAUAAAACUCAAACACAAAGCAUUGAGAAAUUUGAAUCCUCGAAUGCUCGGAAUUACUAUCAAUCCAGAAGUGCACAUGAACUAUAUCUUCUUUUGCAAUAAAACUUUCUAGCAGUCAUUGUCCUCCAGAUGCACAAAACUUGGACUGGGUUUUGUAUAACUUCCUAGCUUCAAAGUAUGCCCAAUAAGCCUUCUCAUGCCUUCUUUCAACUCCUUCCAUGAGGAGUGUAUUCAAUACGUUUGAUCCAGUCCUUUUACAGAUAGAUCCUUUUGUGCUCUAUGAAGCUUCUCAAAAUCUCUCCCAGAAUUAAAACCGGAAAAAAAAAUAACUCCAUUCCUGGAUACAUAUGCAAACUACUUUAAAGAAACUUCUUUGUGAACUAAAUCAGGUAUUCUAUGAUAACCAAUAAACACCUUGUGAAUUUUCAUUCAAACUGAAUGCUUAGCUUGACAACCACUACUCGAAUCAAUAGACCAGGUACCAAGGAUCAACCAGAAGAUUUCAAUUCAACUUCUACAGUAAGUCUAAAUUCUGUCAAACACUAGGUUAAUUAUCAAAAGAAGAUGGUAAUGAUGGUUGCAACACAAUCAACCCUAUGCCUCACAAUAAACAUUGCGGUUAAGGAGAACAUCACAACAUUGAAUUAAGUUAAUCAACAGAACUGUGGAAUUUUUAACUGCCUUCUGAUGUGUCCACAACUUUGUGAUAGGCUUAGACAACUUUAUCAUUACAUCAUGAGGUCCCAUGAAUUCUGGUUCACAAGUUUGUUCAGGCAUCCACUCAAGUUCUCUUUCAAUCUCAUUCAACUGACACUGCCUCUAAAGCCAUCGCAUGGAGUAGUGUUUUUGGUAUAACAACAACUGACUUGGGGCUGGGCAAAAGGACGCCAUUAUGCUUUAUUCACGACUGGUCUAGGUUUCUAGGUCAAACUACGAGAAAGCCCUGGUUUUACCAUUCCUCAGCUCUAAAGAGCACAACAACAGAAUUAUCAAGUUUAAAAGUGUUGAAUCUUAUCGUUAUGCCAGAGGCGAAAAUAUAGACCAGCCUUACCCCUAAAAAUGCUAUCUAGAUGGACUACUUAUCCUUCUUAAGCUACAAGUAGUAAAAUUAAAUGAAACGUGAUGGAGGCCAAAAUUGUAGAAUAAAAGGUAUUCAAUUCUAAACCAGCCAAGAAGCAAAAAAAUGAUUUAAGAAGGAUAAGUAGUCCAUCUAGGUAGCAUUUUUAGGGGUAAGACUGGUCUAUAUUUUUGUCUCAGGCAUAGCGAUAAUAUUCAACACUUUUAAAUUCUAAAUCGUUUUUACUACAUGUGAUCUGCUACAUUUAUGAAAGCUACCAAGUUACAGCACAACCCCUUAUAGUGAGCAUGUGAACUCUCCUCCACUAAGGACUAAGACCAAACAGUGUCUUGAUUUUUUGUUCUUUUCUCUAGAAGAUGGAACCUAAUAACUAGGUUGAAGCUUGACUGUUUGUAAACAAAAAAGGCACUGUACGUAGCACAGGGGAGAUCCCAUCCGUCUAACCAUUGACAAGAGCAUCCCAGUCCCAAAAGUUUCCGAGACAAACAAGAGUAGACAUUAGCUCUCAGGCCAAUACAGAUAGCACAUGCAUAUAGAACAAUAAUAAAUAUGUAAUAAUUAUAAUCAACAAACUGUACAAUACAGUAAGGAGAGAUUAGAAUUUUCAAAAUCAAGUUCAACAAAAUUUUCAUUCCACACUAUCUAAAGCAUCAAUUUGUCCAUAUUAUGCUUCUAUGCCCAGCAAUAUUACCCACAUUUCACUACAAGCCAUAUUACUUUAUCUUCCCAUCUGUCCAAUAUUUGCAUCAGUAUUAACAAUGAUCACUGAUAUGUUGAGAAGGACAAGCAAAUUAAGGAUUUCAAAAGGCACAACAUUGUGUCCUUUAACAUAAAGCUUGGGCCCAAGACAGAGCAAACUACUAGAUUAUGAGGCUUGUUUAUAAUUAACUAAGAUGGAAGUCAUGAGCUCGAAAUCAAGAUAAUGCAAGAUUUUCUGGCAGCUUAAGUAGGCAUUUUGAAAAUUAUAGCAACACAAAAAUAAGUUCUGAGUUUUCUUUUACAAUCUUUCAACUCUUUUCUUUGCUUCUGCUUUUAAUUAAUACUCGUCCUUCCAUUUUCUUUGCUUAUUUACUCCACCAAUUGUAUGAAGAACUUCACCACUUAGCAAAUGUAAUUUGCCCAAUUGAUCAUGUUUUUAAACAUGCGAUGGGACCCCCAAGUCCAAAAGAUUGGUAUCUGAAAAAUAAAACAUUUCUCAAUAAAAAUUUCGAGAAAAAAGAAACGGCAUAUUUUAUUUUACCACCAAUCUACAGGACGAAACCAAGUGAACAUGCAUUCAGAUCAGCCGUUGAAGCAUGUCCAUCAGUAGAGAGAGAACAAUUGUCCUUUUUGUUGAAAGCAACCACUACCCACACUCGCGCCCACCCACAGACAACACGCAAGAAUGCAUCUGAUGCUCAGCCUCUGCUGCAAUGUCAUGCACUUGAAUGAUACUCACAGAUCAAAAUAUGGCCUUAUCCAUGAAUAUCUGUGAUGAGAAGAAUUAUCUAUUAUCUCCAUUGUUCUCGUUGUCUUUAAGAUAGUGUCCUACGUCAUCAUUAGGGAGCAAAUGUCAUCCAUGAUAGAACAUUGAAAGGUACAAAGAGAUUUUGUCAAUGACCAUUCCCCAUUUGGCUACAUUAUCUGUCCUUUCUACUCUACUCUUUCUAGAAGUUAGAGCGAUAAGUUACAAGUAUCCAUGUCUUCAUUCUAUUUUGUAAAAUCAUGAAUUGAAGUUAUCUUUGGGUUCCUCUUACAAGAUAGUUAAGUCAUCAUGCAAACAUAAGUUUUUAUUUGAAGUCAGAAUGCCUCUAAUGCCAAAAUAUGGUUCCUAGAUGUCUAUAUUAGCUUAAUGGUUGAGUUAUUGGGCUCUCAUCCUAAAAGAAAUGAUGUUCUUUAAUCCACACAUUUAACGGGAUCUAUGCACCGCGGCUCCCAAUAAAAGCUUCACUAAUUCCAAAAGCUACAACAGUGUGACAGCAAAGCACCAAUUCCUGCAAAAGAAUUAUUCCAGAGAUUCCAAUUGUACCUAAUCUUACCUUAGCACCCAUUUCACUGUACUCAAACUAUUUUUCAUCAUACACACAGCUCAAACUUAUUCUUUCACAGAUGAGUUAUAAGAUGCUUUAUUUUUUAACCAAAUAGUAGCAUCAAGAAAAAAACUCAACCAGCCAUGUCCAGCUUCUAUAUGUACCUAUAACGAUAGCCACUUAAUUUAAGUAAAAGAAUUAUUCACACUGAUCCUUCUUAUUGAUCCACAGUCCAAACCUCAGAAUAGCACUUGUCAAUCCCAUUUUGUCUCAAACUCUAGACAGGGAAUCUCUAUUACAAGCAAUAUCUUUGGAAAGAAGUAGUUUAAAAACUCAUGCAUGAAAUUAUCAACAGCCUUGCAAAUUUAAGAAAGCUACAGCGUCCAACAUCGAAAAACAGAGCACGCUAUUCGGGCCAGGGGAACCACUUAUUUGUAAAAGAUCUCAACACUGCAGAAUGAAAGUAAUAAACCACAAUGGACGUGAAGAUAACACAUUCUAAAGCCAUCUAAUAAAUGCAGCAACAACACAAGGAAACAGGGGAACCAAUUAGAAAACAUAUAUGAACAGUCAAAUAAGCUAUGGAUGGGCAAUCGAUAAUUCCAACUUUUCUCAGGUUCAUUUCCUAACAGAAGCCAAAGUUCUCGAGUUUAUACAAACUUUACUUCCUCAAUAAAGAACAGAGUGUAGAUGAAACAUAAAAGAACAAAGAAGCCAAUUUCAACAGAAUAACUACUUGAAUGUACUUCUACAGCUCUAAAUAGAAAACUGACCAAGAGGAUUGAUCUCUCCCCCAUAGCCAUGCACCCUGAUCACCUCUUCGAACGCUGCAGCCGCAUCCCAAGGCACACCAUACCAUGUCUUCCCUGCACCCGUAUGCAGGUAAUUCAAGCUAUGCAAGUCAUGAUCCUCCACAUGCCAAGCAAACCAACUAAACAUCAUGGCAACAUACACCAUAGGCGAAGUCACACCGGGUAUUUCCUCCUUCAUAAAGGUCAACAGAGACCCUUUAGCCCUAGAAACGCCUCUCAUAUUCCACUCAGUGUCCCCAACUGUCACAUUAGCAUUAACAUUACUCCCCUCGCCUCCCCCCUCCUUUCCACCCCUUCUCGGGGCAAAUGCCGAGCCAGGCAUAUCAUUUGCAUACUCUACUGAAAAGGGCUUAUCCACAAUGGCUUUCCAGUAAAGAGUUUCAAUCUCUAAUGGAGUCAAACAUUUCUUCCUACUCUUUUUCAAGUAAUUCCUUUCAAAUGCUUUUGCCUUAGCCUCAAAUACUUCCAGGGUAUAGUUCUCCCCACUCUGCCACACCGGUUUCUGAACAGGGCGCUGUUUUCUUGGGCAGAAUCCGAUCUGCUGCUGCCUAGUGGUAAAUGUAGGAGAACCAGACCGGGCCACGAGUGAUUUGUUAAGGUUAGAAACGGCAGUUUUCUUGUGAGGUGCUGGAACAGGGGGAACAAUUUUGCAAAUCCCAUAUUGGGAAGCUUCUUUUUCAAUCUUGAAAAUGUAAGCAAUUGGAUCUUGAAAUUCAGCUAGGGUUGGGUGAUAUUCUGGAGCUACAGGUAGGGUUUUAAGCCAAGAAAAUACUUCAAUAUUUCCACUGGCAACUGGGGUUGAAGAAGCUUCUGAAGCCAUUGAAUUAAAUUAACUAAACUAACCAAAUGGCAAAAUGGGAUUUUGUCAACAGCUCAAAAAAUGGAUAAAAAUGCAAUCUUUUUCACACAAAAUUACACCAAAAAUGGGGAAUCUUUACAUUUUUGGUGUAAAUUUGUGCAGUUGCAUGGCUGAAAUAUGUUAGAGAUCUGUCUUGGGGUUCAAAGGGGUAGUAGCAUUUUUGGUUGAGGGGUUUAUUCUAGAGAGAAAGAGAAAGAAAGAAGGCCAGAAAGAAGGGCAGAGAGCAGCUGUUGAGAUUCUCUAUUCUCUCAUUUUUCUAUUAGGAUUUGAUAUCAAAUAUAAAUUCAGUGCCAGCAAGAGAAAGAGGGUGACCUACUGACCUAUUCCUUUCCUCUUUUUUUUUCCUUUUUUCUUAAAAAAUCUUUUUGUGGGGGUUUUUUUUGGGGGUGGGGGGUUUGAUUUAUUUUGUGCUCUGUUUUUUAUGGGGAACAGGGAAUGAGAGAACAGGGGAGGGGCUGAGUGAGUAAGAGGCAGAACAGAGGAUGAAAAGGUGAAAAUGAGAGUGUACAGUGUGUGAGAGAGAGUGGAGUGAAAACAUGUGAUGUGAGUGGGGUUUUAUUAGGGGUUGGGGGGUUAGGAGGGGUGGUGAAAAUGACAGGAGAGUGUUUUUUGGGUUUAUUUACUGUUCUGCCACAAGAUUUUGUUUUUAUUUGCUGGUUGGACGAUGGAGAUAGUGGCAAUGGGUGGUGGAGUCAAGUGAAAUUGUGGGGUUGUUCUUUUCUUUCUUUCUUUUUUCAUUUUUACUAUAGGGUGAUGUUCUUUGAAAACUGAAUAAGUCUGAAAUAUUCUUUGAGUAUAUUACAGUUAAUCACAUGUUAAAUGUUGCCUAAAAAAACUAGUCCCAUAGUAAAGGUUAGUUGGAGUUUAACUCCUCUAAGAAAUUCACCCCCACUACUCAAGCACCAUUUGUUGUGUAGCUCUUUCUAUUUCUUCUUUGUUCUUUUGUACCAGUUGUGUAGGUGAAAAAACCUAAAAUUUCUUGCAAAUUUAGUCUAAAUUGAUUCUUUUUUUUUUAAAUUGAUUGUAUUAUUGAUCAUAAGUUUUAGUUGUGUCCAUGCACAAUAUAAAUAUCCAACUAACUUUAAACAUGCAUUGAAAAUUAUGGAAUGUUUGUUGUAUAUUUGGUUAAGUUGAUCAAUUUACAUAUUAGCUUUGUAAUGCGUUAUUGCAACUUUUUUCCAAGAAAAGAAACGCGAUAUAUUACCUUGCUGUGAAGAAUAAAUUGUCAUAUUUGAUCUUUAAAAUUAAUUCUUUUCCAUUUUGAGUGUUAUUUAAGGAGAACACUAUUCUUUUUAGGAAACAUAUAACGAUUUGAUCACGCUGUUAUGAUUAGUCAUAAGAAGAAUUAGAAAUCUUCGCUCUUUUGUUCUUCAAGAAUCAGAAAAAAGACAUUUUCUUUAUAACAAAACAUUUUGAUUUAAACCCUUUGGUGCUUAUGUUCCUCCAUACCAUUUUCUUUGCAUGAUUGCUAUUACCAGUCCCAUAGGAUAUAUCCCAUUAAAUUAGACCCAUUUUGCAUUCAUCAAAAGUACAAAAUUGAUCAGAAAUUUUCGAACAAAUCUGUUAUGUAAAAUCUAUAAUUUCUCCUCUUCUUCUAUCCAUCACAAUUUCAUAUGAUAGCCUUCCACCAAAUCGAUUACUAAACCACAAUUUUGGACUUCUCGUAAACAAGAAAAAUUCAGACAAAUUGCUGCAAACAUGGAUAUAGAAUCAGAACUGAGUGAAAUGUUUUCCUUUUUGCCAGGUUUUCAACAUCCAAAGGGGAAGAGAAGUCUAUAAUUGUACCCCUAUAAAAAACUUUAGUGGAGGAAAAGGUAAUUUAACCUUUAUUUUGGCCGUUCAGACUACAACAAGAGUUUUUUUUCAGGUCAAGGACAAUAUCUAUCCCUGGAAACUGGAAUUUACUGCCGGAGGCAUAGCCAAUCAUAAGAAGAUGCCCCAAUGUGUGGCCCACACUAAUUGAAUGGCCCCACCAAAGCAGUAGCCCAUGCAAGAGCUAAGUCCACUUUGGAUGAUGCCCCCCCGAGUCCAGUUCACCCCUUUGACAACAGUCUUCAGUCUUCACCGAAGUUGACCACAUCUUGGGUAACAUUUUGCAGUAAAUUUAAAGUCUUCCUGCGAAGGUCAAAGGAUUAGCAAUUAGUACCAAUCAGCACUUUACCAACGUAAUUGUGGGAUCUCGAGUGCUUAGACUUCAGAUAAAGCUGCAAACGAAUCGAGCCGCUCGCGAGCAGUUUGAAUCUGAAUUCGAGCUGACCAAGUCGAAUUCAAACUCAAAUUCGAAGUCAAAUUCAAGUUAAAAAAUACUAAGUUCGUUAGUUUGCGAGUCGACUUGAGUUCGAUUAUAUAUAUAUAUAUUAUUUUAAUAGUAAAAUUAUAUAUAUAUUUCUAAUAUUUUAUUAUUUAUUAAGAAAAAUUAUUAUCUUAUUUAUUUUUUAAAAAUAAAAUAAUUCUUGUUUUAUUUUUUUAAGUUCAAACUUAGAUAUUUUGAUCUCAUUGAACUUGAGUUCAAAUUCGAGAUUCGUAAAAUUAUGUUGUGACUCGACUCGAAUAAAUUGAAACUCGAUUCGAUUCGACUCAUUUACACUCUCAACUUCAAGUUGCCAAGAAGCAUCCCUGUUGCCCUUCCCCUCUUCUUAUAGCUAAGAAAUCCAAGUAAUUAGUAAUUUAGAUGUGACAUGAUGGGAUUGAUGGGACAAAAUAUAUUUGAUGUGACCUUUAUCAAGUUUAUCUAACAUCCGUCAUCCGAUGAGAAUAUGUCAGCUCACCCUGUAAAGAUAGGUCGGUUUAAGUAGGUAACUCGAAUACCAACGAAUUAUACCAUCUUACCACUAUGAAUACUCUCUCCUUCAACCUUCUGGCGGUAAUUGAAUCUGUUCCAAACCUAUUAAUUGCUCACUUCCGAACUUCUCAUCUUCUACUUCGAUUGCUAAUUGAAUUACACCAGGGGUGAUGCCCCGCUCUGCGACCUCGUUUUGUUGCUGGCAGGGUGACCUUCAGGAGACGUUUGCACUAGCACAGGAAAGUCCGAUGCGUGCCUGCACAGUAUGAAUCAUCUAGUUUUACACGUUGAUAUAAACUUCAUGCAAGAGUUGGCUAUGAUAUGCCAAGAAAAUUAUGAAAUGUUAAUUAGAAAAGUUUUUGUCAUAGGAAAAAUGAUUCAAUUACACCCGCGAUAAGACUUGUACUGCUUAAUCGCGUGUUACUUAAAUUUCAAAACCUAUGCCAUAAAAUUUUUUAUACGAGGUUUGAAUGUAAAACAUAGGGAUUAGAAUGAGAAAAUAGAUAUUAAUUCGAUUCUGAUUAAAAUAUACAUAACUUUCAAGCCUUGAUCAAGUCCAACUUUAGAAUUAACACGUUGCAAAGUUUUUCAUAUAAUUGGAUAUUUGAAUUUUAUGAAGUAUAGUGAAAAACAACAAACCUUAAUAAUGGAACUCUCAAAAAUCAAGGUAAAUUAGACAGUAUUAGUGGUUUAAUGCUGAUUUAUUACGCUUAUGCAAGUUGUCCCAUUUCUUAGAGAUAGAGGUGGAUUUCGUGUUGUGUUUCUUCAUGAAAAAACUUAAUAUUUAAAUUUAAAGAUUAAUCUUUUCUAUACAGUCAAUGUAUCAUAUCAUUUGAUUUUGAAUUUGAACAUUAAAUUUUGCAUAUGUAGCAUGAAUCAAGAUAGAUACAUCAUUUGAUUUUGAAUUUGAACAUUAAGUUAUGCAUAUAUAGUACGAAUUGAGACCUACGACUGUAUAUACUGUCAGUAUAUAAACUUAUCUGACAUUUUAGUCAAUGAUCUCGCAUAGCAAACAAAAGUUUUUGCUUUUACUCCAAAAUUUACCUACUGUAGCAACCUUUGUAUGUUAGAUUCCUAGCUUGUACGGCAUGAAAUGCUGUCUAUUAGUUUUUUUCUUAUUUCAACUGUUAUUCUUUAUAGUAAAUCUUAUACGCACUGAUAAUAUAUAUACUAUCACUAUUAGAUUUAUAACAAAUGUGCAAAAGUUAAAUUUCAAAUUCAAAUGUUGCUCAGUUAUCGCUCAUUCAACGCUAACCGUCAGUGUAAAAAAGAUUAAUCAUAUUCUUUAAUUAAGCAACUAGGAGCCUAAAUUAUAAUCUUGAAAGGGACAAGAUUAGAAAGUUUUUGAAGCACCAUUUCGUUAUAGAUCAAAAAAUAAGAAGAAAUACCAAAACUCUUACAGCUUAAUGGAUUGGAGAACUGUUCAAAAGAAGCAUCAAAUAAGAGAGAACCCUCUAUUCUGAAUCGUAUUGGAAGACUUGAUGCUGGUUUUGCUCCAUGCACAUGCAUGCACAGUACUAAGCCACUAAGCAUUUUAAUCAACGAUGAUGUCUUUAACAUUUGAACUCGAAAGAGUGUGGUAAAUUGGCUAAAGCACUCGUACAAAUUCAGGUUAACGAGACAACUAGACUGCAGAUUUAAAGUCUUUUCCUCUCUUUGAAACACGACGAAAAACAUGCACGCAGGAACAAGUCAUUGGAAAGGUUUCCACCUAUCUACAAAGAAUGAUGCCACUACAAAGUGUCCACACAGGAGCUAUUAGUAGCAUCAAGAAUUUCCUACCAUCUUCAACACUAGCUAUAACUUAAGUCUCGGACUCACAACUCUUGGCAGAAAGUUCCAGGGAUAGUGGGCAGUGGUCACUUCCGUAAAACCCUGCAAGAAACAGUUCUUUGUUAGUACAGAUGCCAACGAGUACCUGUAAGCACCCAAUCCUUCCACCUCUCCAUAAGGAGGUUGAACAAAAAUAAGCCCAACAAGAAUGCUGCCUGCACACACACACACAAUACAUAUAUAUAUAUAUGUAUGUACAUAUAUAUAUAUGAGAGAGAGAGAGAGAGAGAGAGAGCAGAUGUUUGACUUCAUUGGAGUUGGUAAAACAUGACAUGCUAGAAAGCUAUAAGACUAAUUUCAGCAAACUAAAUCUUUGCUUGUUUCCAGCAGGGGGAUGGCUGAAUGCAUCCGUUUUCUUCAGUUUGACAGAAGACAAAUUUCACAGGUAUAAUCACAGCCAAGAUGACUGAAUUCCUAAUUUAACUAUAAUAGCAAACAACACUGACUGAAAUGUGUAAUGAGCUACAACACCAGUUGCUCACAUCCACCACAAGGAGUUGCAGAACACCACAAACACUCCCCGGCACUCCCCCGCCCCCCCCCCCCCCCCCCCUCUUUCCAAAAAAAAAAAAAAAAGCCCAAUGAUUUUUUACAAUAGAAAUGAAAAGCAUGCAACAAAUUGAGAUGCUGUAAAAAGAAUAGGUAUAAUAACCUCCUAACCUCAUAUUUGAGAGAUCUUUUACGAGGACAAAUUGAGAAAGCUCGAAAAGUGUUCCAUCUAAGAAAGAAACGGGACUCUAAAUCCAUCUCUAAUCGCAACAGGACAUUAUCCCAAAAAAAAAAUACUGAUACACUGUGUCAGGAUACUACAAGUCACCAAGCUGAAGUAAAGAGAAAAUGAGUUAGCAUCAAAUACCAUCUAAUUCAAUUCCUUGCCCAUGCAUCUCACAUGAGACGAUUCUAUCCUUAAGUUUCUCUGAAACAAUGAAAUAGUCAAUUCUCAUCCUUUUUCCACGGUACCUGCAAGAAAUGAGGACAUAACCCAAGGCAUAAAUAUCAACAUAUUACUUUAGUGACGGUCAAAAUGAUGCAUUCUCUAGAAAAUCAGUUUUUCAAGAACAACUGCAAGAAUAAUGGAUUACUGGAUAGCAGCAUAUCUCACUUUCCAACAGGGUUCCCUGACCAUGAAAAGCCACGCUCCAUGUCCUUCUCCUUAUGCAAGUACCUGUAGGCAUCUACUAGCUUUCCCCUAGAACCACGCAAUUUUACCGAAUCAAUGAAUUCUGAGCAUGAAAUACUCUCAUAAAGUGAUAAAAAAAUGUGUGUCAAAGACCAUGUAAGUUUAUUCACCCAAUUAACUAACACCACUUAAAACUUGCCUCAGAAAAAGGGGAAAAAAAAAAAGGUUUCCCAAAUGGAAUGGCACAUGUAGUUUCCCAAACCUGGGGAAACUAGGGUAUUUUUUCCCAAUAAAUUGGUCUAAUAGAAAUGCAAUUAUCUCCAGUUCUUGUUCUCAAAGCAAUUAGGCUGCGUUCUACAGGAACAUCUACCUUCAUCUUACGACCCCAGACAAAAAGAAAAGGACUACCAGAUCAUUCAUGAGAAAACUAUGGCUAAAUUUCCAACCAUGGAACAACUUAAAAAUCCAAGACAUGAAAUAAUGAGAUUAUAUACCAGACCUGGACCCUUACACUGCAGUUCUUUAGCACCUUGGAAAGCAGACUAAAUUUUCAAUUGUGUGUCAACAUGUUUUGGAGUUCGCCACUCAGGAAAAUGAAUGCCAUAGAUGAGUUUACACUUCAACUUGGACAGAAAUUUCAAACAGAAGAGAAUCAAUUCCAGCAAAGACAAGUGGUAAUGAAGUAAAAGAGGCAACAAAUGGUUAGAAUUGUAUCACCAACUAAUUAUUCAACACUAGGAAUCCAUACAACUAGUUCUAAUGGAAGAAAACAAAGACAAAGUCUUGGACUUCUUGGGAACUUGUAACACAAAUUGAAUAACUGGUAAAUAACAUUGACUUAUGAAAACAACUAAUAUUUGUCUAGCUUGGUGCCAUCUUUUUACAUUUUUAAUGACUGGAAUACUGCAUGAGUUGAGAGUCCUAUAGAAAAAUGUUUAUCACAAGAUUUGCUUACUCUUUCAAUAUAGCACCAAAUCGCUUCCUUUCAGACAGUGUAAAUCCAGGCUGCCCAGAAUCCUGUGCCAUAAUUCAGAAAGUCAUAGAGGUAGUCACAGUUGCUGGCGUUGUAAAGAACAUCUAAAAUUUUAUUCAGUUUUACUUUUAUGAACAUAUCAACAAAGUAUUGAGCUUAUAUGUGUCUACUAAGAGAUAUGAGAGAUUAAAAAGAAAUAUGACUAAACAUCACGGAAAUGGUUCAACAACUUAAGAAACCAGUAAUAGAUGUCAUGAGCCACAUAUUUGGCCAGCUGGCAUCCUUUAUCACUUCCAAUCACCUAUCUAGAUUAAGGGUCUCCCAUGUACACUUGCUGUGAGAGGCAGUCUAAAGGACACAAAGAUUGAUCUUAAAUAAUUUUAGUUGGGUCUUGUUAUUUAAUCGUCCUGAUCUCCAGAAACAUGUCUAUUUAAAUGCUGUAAGAGAUAAAACAAUAAAAUUCCACUACUACUUUUUUUUUUUAUCAUGCUGACUCAAAUACAUUUUGAUUUGUUGUUCUCUACUACACAUUGGCCUAAAUGCAUUCUAAUUAGUUAGGCAGUCAUUUAACUCAAUCAGACAAAUGAAAUACUGGAUGCAUAGAUAAUUGUCCAAAUUGUGAUGAUAGUCGAAGUUACACACUGCUGAUAAAUGAAUUGAUACUUACCUUAAAAAGAAUACUAUGUGAGAGUUAUUACUUUUUAGUAUAUCUGUAUGUGGUGAAGUUACAGAUGGAACAAUUAUCAGAAUUAAUUUCAAAUAAAAUGAUAGAGGUACUUAUUGUAAGAAUAGAUAUACGUAUACGUAUGGUUUCUUAUCAUAUUUGUGCAUGUGUGAACCAGAGAUGAUGAUGUAGUUUUAAAGUGUAAAAAGCCCCUAAGGUAAUCACCUCUUUGUUUGGGGGGACAUAACCAUUAAGCUUUGCUGUGCUGAAAAAUUCUGGAUGGCUCACAUCUAUAUCCUCAUGACUGUGAGAUGACAAAUGAAAAGAAGACCAUUAUCCAAAAAGAUUCAUACAAAGUCAAAAGUAGUUGGCCAGUAAAAUGGAUAUGCUAUUCCACAGGAAAUAUUACUAUUCCAUGGGAUAUGAAAAGAUGCCUAUCAUAAAAAUUGGGCUUGCAUUCUAGGGUUCAUGUAAAGCAAAUUUGCUUCAAUGAUAGACAAUGAAUGUAUUGCACCUUAGUCAGAUUCAACCAGAUGUAGAAAUUGACGCUGAAUUUCAAUAUUAUUACCUAUUACUGUAGGAGUCUCCUCAUGAGACACAAAAAUGUGACACCUUCAGUUCACGUGUCCUUAUGGAAAGACAGAACAAAUCAGAUAUAUUAACUCCCUGUAUACUGUUUGUUUUUAGUAGCUUCAAAACACCUGCAGUUGUGGAGCAUCAUUGAUCCUAAUAACUACAGAUUCUGAUCAAGAAGGUUCACUAAGAUUUGCACACAAAAUAGACAUUUGCAGGUGAUUUAUUAAGGUCUCAUAUGCACAUCAGACAUUUCUGGGUGGUUAUUAUUUGAGGAGUGAUAGUGAGAGCCAGAAAAACCUGCCUUUUGUUUCAAAAUAAUAAGGGUGUGGAUAAGUAGACAAGGUAUCAGAAACCACUCGUAAAAUUAACAUGCUUGAAACAUCACAAGUAAAAUGUGCUCCAUGACUUCAGUCUCAAACAAAGCUAGCAUUUAGCACCAGCACAUCCUAUAGUAAUCCUAAAACUGCUAUCUGGAUUGUGAUCAAUUCAUCCUCCACAUUAUGCUUCUAUAAGUCCCUACAACAGGCUUAUAGCAAGAAAAAUUGCAUAAAAUGAUUUAUUUACAUAACUAAAGGGGUACACUGAAGAAUAUUUUUCUUCGCAAGAACAUAAGUUAAAAAAAAAAGCAACCUCAACAUGAAGCAAUUACUCUCACAAUCCAACGGCCAAACUUUCCAGCAAAAAAGUCAAUAUAAUAUUUUCAACGGGGAACUUGCUAAUGAUUAUAUACUUAAAAAAGGGCAGGAAUUAAAAUAAUGGAACAAUGUACCAAAUGAAAACAAAGGAUAUAGAGCACUGGUGAUUCUUUGUCAUAUGUUUCUUUUGUAAUCCCAUUAAGUACCAGUUUAAAGAUUUUAGCAAGCAAAAGGCAGGUACCUGACAUUGAGGUCACCGCACCAGAUAAGAGGUUUGUCUGAGUUUUGCAAAACAAACUCUAGCAUCCUCUUAUCCCAUUUUCUUCUCCUCUGAAAAGAAGUUUCCUCAUCUUUCCAACCAUUGUUCGGCACAUAGGUAUUAAGAAACCGGAAUGACUCAAAUUCAGCCAAAAUUACCCGACCUUCUGGUUCAUGCUUUGAACCUAGCAAUAAAGAAAAAUGUAAAUUCCCUUUGCUUCUUGUCGCAUGUUCAAUAUAGUAAAUUACUAAAGCAAACAGCAAAUCCUGUAGAAUAUCAGAUUACUGAAAUUUCACAAAAUUUUUUCUAUAGAGUAAAAAAGUCCCGAGUAAUCUUUCCUUGGCACAUCAGGCAAUUCCAUAUUGUCAAACUUUCAAUAAAAGCUACAGUAUUAUAAAUAAAAUUUUGAGAAAGUUAAUGAAUAGAAGCCCAAGGCAGGUGGUCUAGAAGCAAUUUUUUUCCCUAGGUUGGUUAGCCAGAAAAAAGUAGUUAAGAUUUCCUACCAGAGCCACCCACAUCAGUCAGCAGAAGCCCAUUAAAGAUUAUUGAUGGUGAACUGGAAUGUUUGGUAACAAAAUACCAAACAUUAGGGAACAGGUUUUAAGUGCAGGAGGUAAGGUUUCAAUAAUUGAAAACUGAUACGAAUGGACUUGCAUUAAUAAAUUACUUCAAUGACAAAUUCAGCCACAUCCUAAUAGCAGCUGGAAAGCAUUCCAGGCAUUGGUAAGUGGGGAUGAGUUUAAAUUAAUGAAAACAUCCCAGGUUGGCAAGAGUUAAAAUUUGACAAUUAAUCAUCUGAAUAUCCCACAAAGUUUUUGUAACCAAUACAAAAUCGAAGAAACAAAACAACUCAGACCUAAGGUAUCAGGAAUAUAUAUACAUAUAAAAGUAAGAAUUCUUCCCUAUUAGCCAAUACAAGGAUAUAUCAUCUACAUAUGCAUAAAGGUUGAGACUUGGACAGCCAGGAGUCAGAGGUACUCGUGUUAACCUCGAACUUCAACUAAACUAUCCCUUACCCCUUUAUCUUUUAAAUAGAGAAAGAUACAGAUCGUAAGAAGUGACUGAUACUGAAAUUGCAGGAAUUUCAAAGAAUGCCAAGUGUAGAGUAAAGCAAAAACUCUGAAUGGCAAGCCAAAACUUUAUCCACCAGAAUAAUAUCAAGAAAGGGAAAAAUUUACAAGACAAAACAAGGAUGUUUUGGAAUGCUUUUGUUAAUGUUCGUUCUUCAAUUGCAACAGGUUAAGAAUGGUAAGCCUAACUGAUUUUAACACUAGAAGAAAAUAAUUCCACUUAAACAGAUUUGACAUGAAAUGACUGGUCAAAGUUUUGACAAAACCAAAAAAUUUAAGCACAGAAUCAGAAAAUUCAAAUGCAAAUACUCUACAGCAGUUUGUUAACAUUUUAUUCAUAAAGAGUGGGGCUUACUUCUAUUAAAACUACUCAAAGAUGAAAGGCAAUGGAAUCUACAAAAAUCAAGUAGAUUUUUGAAAAAGCAUACCUAGUUCAUCUUCAAAAAAUAAUUUGAAAAAUUGAAAUGAGUAAUUUUUAAAUUGGUUUACUCAACCACAAACCAAGAAAAAAACCUGAUCAUUUUGGUACAAAAACUUACCAAAACCAACUUAAGAUUUCUUGAAUGUAGUGGCUGCGUGGAUUCAGAGGUUAGAAUCAUGUAAUUUGCAUCACUUCCACAUAGGUAAAAGUUCCUCAAUAAGAAGAAAAAGAUAGAUCAAUAUGCCACUAUACCUGUUCGAUCAAGUGAGAAAGAGACCUUCUGUGGUUUGAAGCACUUUUUAAUAAGUAAUGCAGUACCAGCAUACUUAAAAUCUGAAAGAGACCACCAAACUGCAUAAUUUCGAAAAGGUGGACUUGAUAGGGCACGCAUCAUAACCUACAAAAUCACAGACCAACAGAGACUUGAUUUGAUAAUACUGUAAAUAGACAAUUUCAUCUUGCAGACUAACUGGAACAGGGUCAUUAUUGUUAAUCAUAUCACUGUCAGAUCUCAGAGAAUUUAGCAGAAAAUCAGACAUUUAGCCACUCUGCUGAUGCCAGGGACGCCACUUGUCUGUCCGUCAAAAGAAUAAGUUCCAGUGUAUCAGAUCACAAACUCUUUUGCAAAUGGUAAACAUCACAAGUUGGUAAGAUAUAGUCAUGAUACAUCACUUGAGAUCCUCAGAGAGUUCCUAAUAUGAGAACAAAAUGUAAAGCAAUUGAAUCCAACUCCAUUUCUUUAAGAUCCCUUAUCUUGGUCAAGUUUUGGAACCUGAACUUAUCCACAAAAGUUCAGUUCUUAAGCACUAAAGGUAACAAAAACUCUAGCAUAACCACAUAGUAUGUCAGAAUGUCGUGUUAAGGAUUUUGAUCAAUCUUCUUUAUCUAAUAUUUUCAUGGAACCUAAUAACAAUAGUUGAAAUUGAUUUAACUUCAGACAAGAUUGGAGCUUAACCUCAAAUUCAUAUUGUCCAACUCCACUUCAGGAAAACUUUUCAUCCCGAGCACUACAUGCUGUAUAUGGUUACAUUGUGGGAAAUAAUGCAAGCAUAAUGGUAUCAACUGAACACUGCACCUGCUUUUCUUCACGUGAAGAGCUUGUGUCAUCUUUCAACUCUCUAGGAUUUUUAGGUGUUCCCUUGGAGCCGGCUGCAGGCAUCCUUACUUCCUAUUAUCACCAUGACAAUGAAAACUUUUACUAAGUCCCAGAGUGACUAACUCCACAUCAGAUAAUAAUGAUGUGUCAAAGAUGGAAUGUGAUAGAGAGACAAAUACUGAUGAACCAUGUACAGAGAUCCAUAAGAGAAGAUAAAAAGGGUCCAGCAUAAAUUUAGGAAAAAUAUAUGAGGAGUCAGGGUGUGCUUCUGUCCAUCAGAAUUUGAAUAUGCAUAACCAAGAUGAUAGACUUCACUAAUCCUUAAACAUCAUCCUUGACAACUCAUGGUUGAUCCAAAGGUAGCAAUAAGAAAUGGAAAUAAAUAACAAUGUGGAUCGACUGUUAUCAAACAAGCAGCACAAUUCACUUGAUUAAGGAACAAUUUUGCAAGACGACCGUCUGUUAGCCUGAAAAUAUAAACAGUCAAUACACUCAAAUGCUCCCCAGGUUGUGAAACGCAUUAACAAUUACGUGACCAUCUAACAUCCCUAACUCCUCCGCCCCCCUUCCCAGCCAAACCCAAAAAAAAAAAAGAAAAGAAAAAGAACGAAACAAGAAUCAACCUUUGCACUUAAUAAUCUGCCAAAAUUAAGAAAAGACAAGGUACUCGACCAUGCUUGCUCAGUAAAAAACAAUAAGAACUCAUCAAGCAUAUUGACAUCAAUUAACAACAAAUUAUUGCGGUCAUAUUAACAGUGUAACUUGUUUUUCUUUUUUUUUUUUUCCUUUUUUUACCAGAAAAUAUCUAUUAAAACCCAUUUCACAUACCUAAAAUAACAGACCAAAAAAUUAAAACCUCUCUUCCAUGAACACAUGCAUAAGCCAAAAAAAUCAAAGCUUCAGUUCCAAAUGCACAAGAAAUUCCUCCACUAUUCAUUUAGCACAAAAUUCAGGUACAAACUAAUGAUUCUGAAGGAAACCAAAAAAUUUGGCAACAGCUAAAAAAUAGAGAAAAAGCAGCAGGUCACCUGUAUGGCGAUGAUAUCAGGGUCAAGAUUCUCCACGAAUUUACUGAACUCAGGCCAGUCAUUCUUCGCUCUCAAAAGAAAGCUAUUAGCAUUCCACGUCAAGAACUUUAAAGGCUCCUUAUUGUCGCCAUUCUCUGAAGAGAUUUCUGCAGUUUCUUCACCAUCAUUAACUGAGGAAAAAGGGGAAGAAGCAGAGACAUUGGCUUUCUUGGAAGAGCCAUCUUUUUCCACUGGUUUAAAAAAUCUCUUCAUCUCUGAAAAGGGUCGAAUUCUCUACUCAAAAACUCGAAUCCUAGCUGUUUUUUGGUCCUUUUUAAGGAGUUCUACACUAUAUGACGAGCAGAGACUGGACUGUACAAACGUAUACGAUUAUGUUAGUACUUUUUUGGUAGUGAAUAGUGGUACCGUACUAUAUUGGGGCGAAUGGGGGAAAGGAUACAACUUUGGGUAAUACAAAUAUUGCCCCUGGAAUUGUCUUCUAUUGUGCAUAUUGUCCCCUGAAAGUUUUUUUUUUUAUAACUUUGAAGAGCUAAAUAACUUCUUACAAAGAAACUAAAUAUAGGUGAGAAACCUUCAUUACAUCAAAAUUCAACAAACUUCUAAUCCUAUCAGUGGGAUAGACGACUGUUAAAUCCCUAGAUUUUGGCUUAAGUUUGCUCUAGUUGAAUUUGUGUGGACAUAUUUCAUUGAAAUUAAUCGCAUUUUAUAUACUAUUAUCAUUGGAUAAAUUUAGAAAUGAUAAUAUAGGCUCGAAUGCUUAUGGUUUGAAUAUCCAAUGAAUAUCUAUGAAUACCUUUCUUAAUAUCUAGUUUUAAAUUAAAUUUUUAAAAAAUAAUAUAUGAAUUCAAUGGUAAUAUAAAUACAACCUAAUUACCAUUUUUAAAACACAAAAUCAACAUUCAAUAAUUGUUAGGUAAAAUAAUUAUGAAUUAAUAGAAAGGAUGAAAUAUCAUCAAGUAAUUCUAUUUGUUUGAAAGGAAAAAAUGCAUUUUUAUUCCCAAUGUUUAAGGUGUUAAUCAAUUUCGUCCAUAAAGUUUCAUACAAAACACAUUUCAUCAUCAUAAUUUUGUAAUUUUGACCAAAUUUGUCCCUAAAGUUCAUAUAGAACACAUUUCAUCCUCAUAGUUUUAUAAUUCCUACCAAUUAAGGACAAUUAAAGGAUUGUUAAUCAAUUUAGACAUAAUAUCAUCACAUGUCCCAUUAAUAAUUGUAUUAUUAAUACUUAAUUCAAUUAUUGAUUAAAUUAUAGAAAUAACAAUAAUUGUUUUUUGGAUAGGAGACUAUCUCUUUUUUUUUUUCCUUUAAAUUGUGAUAUGUUAUAUUUGAGACUAAAUAAAUAGAUUGAAAGAUAAAUAGAUAAUUGAAAAACAUAGAUAUAAUGCAACAAAACAAAAUUUUGCAAAUAAAUGACAAUCCAAACCAUUCAUUCUUUUACAUUAAUAUUUUUCUCCAAUUAGUUAUAAUGGGUUUGUUUGAUAUUUUUCUUCAAUUGGCUAUAUUGGGAUUGUUUCUUUCCCACUGAUUUCAUUUUCUUUGGAUCUUUUUGUUCGAUUGUGAUUAAGAAGAGAGUAAUGGUAGUUAAAAAUUUCUUAGUUUUUUUUUGUACUAAAAUGAGAAAGUGAAUUAAGAAAAGAUUUUUUAAAUUUUUUGUUGAUCCAUUGUUGUCUUUUUACUAAUGGGCAUGUUGUGAUCAAGUGGCGCUAUCCCAUUUAAAUUGCCUGACAAUCUACCAACUGUCCUCGAUUAGCCAAAUUUAGGAAACGAUGAGGAUGAAAUGUGUUUGCAUAAAACUUGAAGGAUGAAAUUAAUCAAAAUUAUAAAAUUAUAAGGAUGAAAUAUGCUUUACAUGGAACUUUAAGGAUGAAAUUGAUUAACACCUUAAAUAUUAGGGAUAAAAAGUGUAUUUUCCCUUGUUUGAAAUUUGUCUAUACUUAAAGUUUUAUAUGCUUAAACCUUAUUUACCCUAAUUUUUUUUUAAUUUAAAAGUUUGUACAAAUUACUUUGAACUUGACAUGUCACGGACCUCUAGAUAGAGAGGGGUGCCAUGGAGAACACAAUUUUGGAAUCUUUUUUAUACCUAAAUUAAUUAUUGAAAGAUGUUUUAAAAAAACUAGUAAUUUUAAGUUGAUUUGAAAUUUUUUAUAAGUAAUACAAUAUUAUAAAACGUAAAACAAUCUGGGUUUGGGGGCAUAUGUAGAAUAGAAACUAGUAACCGUAGAAGAAAUUAUUUGCACUUUGGGGGCCUAAAUAACAGUUUGGUCAGACAUGGGGAGCUAAAUUGAUAAUAUCCCCAUGUCCCCAAUUUUCUGGCAUUCCCUGUCAUUAACUUGCUGCCUUAAACCCUAACUUCUAAAACCCCUUCCCAACGGACAACUACCCACCCCCUUCUUUCUCGCCGGUGGCCUCCGCCCCUGCCCUUCCACCGCAGCUCAGCCUCGCCCACCACCGGACAUUGCUACUGAACUUCAACUUCUUCCAUAAUCGACUCUAGGAAGCAAUCAGCACUAAGCUCUUCAUAGCAAAGCUGAAGAAUUCAUCUUUAUUCUAGUUGUCUAGUGAGUGCAAUUCUUAUUCUUUGACAAUUUUUAUGCAUUUACACAUUCGAAUGUGUCUAAAUAUUUCUUUUUCGCAAUUCAGAACGUAAAUUGGGAGCCAAAAUGGCACCUUUAUUAAUAAUAAAUAGUAGUAAUGAGAAAUGGCGGCAGCAACCCUCUUCAGUUCAUGGCAUUUUCUGUUAUAUAUUAUUCAAUGGUGUAUUUUUAUAUUAAUUUCGUGCUUUUGUAAAAUUGGGCUGGGUAAAAUAAGUUGGUUGGGGCUUUGCUGGAUGAGAAAAUUCGUGUUUCAUUUAUAUAUUGAGUUGCGUUUUUGGAUAUAUCAUACACUCCUGACUUGUUUCUUUCAUUGCACAAGAUCGAGCUUUUAGGUCUCCUAGAUUUAUACAAUGAAUCUGUGGGAUUGGUUUUUUCAUUUUUUUUCACAUGUAAGCGAUUUGAGAAUGUAGUAUUUUAGUCGAUUUUAAGGUUUAGUUAUACAAAUACUUGAUUAUCUGCUUCUUAUUUGUCUGCAUGUCAGUGUCUUUUUUGGUUUCCGGGCUAAAUUUACACCUAGCCAGUAAUGAAUUAAGUUCCAUUUUCAUGGUAUGAUAUGUUUCCUGGGUAAUUUGCACAGUGAAAGAUGGAGCAGAGAUUAGCUAAUACGUGGCGGAUGACGGUGAAUGAGAAGAAAUUCAUUGAGACUGCCUUGCAUUCUGACCUUAGAAUAGAUGGUCGACGGCCAUUCGAUUAUAGAGAGCUUACGGUCAAGUUUGGUAGGUGAGAAUCAUUUAAAAAAGUGCAAUAUUAAGAUUGAAUGGGUGCCUUUUGCUCAUUACUGCACAUCAUCCUGCAUAAUUCAUAGAAUAUGAACUCAUGGUGUUCUAUUUCUCUCUAAGAAUUGGAUUCAGCUGUUAGAACCAGUUGAUAUUCCCACUUCUCACCCCCUACAUUAAAGUCAUGCAACUUCUAUUGGUCCUUGAAAUUUUUAUCUCCUCUCGAACCAUCGUGCUGGCUUUAGAUUGUUUCUGGUUUUAGCUAUUUACCUUAUUUAGUGGUUUGGAGACAUCAGAAGGUGAAGCAAAAGACACAGGAUAAAUGAAAUGAGUGGGAGAAGUAUCAUGACUUCCUUUAACUUCGCUCUUCCCUUUUAUUUGUGCUGUACUCAAAGCUUUUCUGAGGAUGAUCGUGGAAUAAUUAAAAUUGAAGUCACACUAUAUAACCAUUUAAUCGAUUGAGUUCCAAAAGUAUAAUGGUUACGUCUUCCAAAGAAAACUAGAGUCCUUUUGUGUUCCAUAAUACACCUGAGUGUUUUAUAUUUGCUAUGAGUAACAAUUAUGAAAUGACCAAGCUUUGAUCCAGACACUAUUCCAACGCGUGCGUCCUUCUUUGUAUUCUCUUUUCUGAGAAAAGAUGAUUGAUGUAUUAGCCUUGAGGUCAAGCUAAAUAUGCAGAAAAUGAAAGGAAAGGUGGUGAUACGUAGUAUUAGGACUUCCAACAAUUUUCCUAUCAGUAUUGUUUUUCCUGUUGAUUGUAUAGUAAAUUGUGCCAAUUUUCUGCAUUUCAGUUGGACUAUAGAAGUAUUAUAAGUAAAGAUGCAUUUCCAGUUUUCAUAAUCUGUUUACCCGAUUUGGUUAGUUUGUAUGGUAUUCUACUACUUUUAGCAUUUGAUUGUGUAAUAAUUACAACACCUGAUGCCAUGAUAGAAUUAUAGGUUCUUUUAUGUUCAAUGAUCGACUUAUUUCCAUAUUUAAAUGACAUUUUUUUCUAGGGCAUAAUGGUUUACAGAUAUAUAAAAUUUGGAGUUUUUGAGGUAUUCUUACAAGUUUUUAAAACCUUAUGCAUAUAAGUUUUGUGUUUUAUCUACUAUGUGUCGCAUAUACUUGCCCUAACUUUUAAUAGAAUGUGUGAGAACAGAUUGUUUUGACUCUGAAGUUUACCAAGUGCAGAGAAGAUGGCUCAUCAGAGGUGCAGCUGGGCCUGACACAUGUCAUGGGAUUCGUGAGUUCCCAACUGGUGCAGCCUUAUCGAGAUAGGCCGAAUGAAGGAACCCUUUCAGUCUACACAGAGUUUUCGCCCAUGGCUGACCCUUCUUUUGAGGCGGGUCGUCCUACAGAAUCUGCUGUAGAAUUGGGGCGUGUGAUAGACCGUGGAUUAAGGUGAAAUCUCCUUUCCUUUAAUUGUCUAGUAUCUCAAGGAGACUUGGUUCACUGAGAAUUAAUGAUCUUUUUUGGCUAGGAAGUAUCUGCUAAACAGGUUUGUAGAAGCAUUGUGAUAUUGACUUGUAAAUUGUGGAAUAUAAUUCAUCUCAUGACUUGACAGUGGUGGAGAAACCAAUUUUACCUCAAUUAAGGAAAACUGUUAGAGAAUAAAUCAUCUCUAAUCAUAUGCGUCAGCAAAUAUCAGAUACCAAAUGUUUUCUUGGUUUUCUAAUACCUGUAUCGAGCCUUGGUUUUCAUUUUUCCAAUCUGUAAAUCUUAAUGACAUAAGUUGUAUUCACCUUGCAAUUGAAUGAGCAUUUCAAGUGAUAUUGAAAUUAUAGAAAUAUUGAGACUUUUGAAAUCUACUCCCCUUUCGAGUUCUUAAAUGUCUUUAUUAUAUGGAUCAGAGCAUUGUGCAAAUUUAAUAUUUGAUCUGGAUUUCUUUAUACUCAAUUUAGUUUGAACGACAUUGCAGAGAGAGCAGGGCUGUAGAUACAGAAUCACUGUGUGUUGUUUCUGGGAAGUUUGUGUGGUCAAUUCGUAUCGAUCUGCACAUUUUAGACAAUGGAGGGUAAGCUGUAAAGAUAUGCUAUUCCUGUAUGACAAAAUAGUCCAUCUCUUUCUAUUGGGAUUUCAUUGGUCAUUCAUAACUUUUGGGUUUUCCUUUCCUGUGCAACAGAAAUCUUGUUGAUGCUGCCAACAUUGCUGCUUUAGCUGCUCUCUUGACAUUCCGGAGACCUGAAUGUUCACUAGGAGGAGAAGAUGGUCAGGAAGUCAUAGUACAUCCACCCGAGGUACAGCUAUUUUUUUCUUCCUUAAUCUCCAAUCUCCUUCUGAUGUGAUUGAAUUGGAUAAUUAGCUAACAAGUGAAGUUUGUACUCUAUCCCAGAAAGACUGUACCAUGCUAUAAUUAUUUUGACCUUAUGUGGUAUUAUCAUGGAAAGUGGAAGUCUUGUUUGUGGUAGAGAUUAAACAUUUUUUAUGCUUUUGUUGGAGAUGAAGUUCAGGCUUGGCCUUGCUUUAUUAUUAUUAUUAUUAUUUAUUCCCCUUCUUCCCCCCUGUUUUUAGACACUGCAUGAUGUUGGUUUGCAAAUGAUGCAGAUUAAGAAGUCUUGUACCUUUCAAUUUCUUUGCACUAUUCAUAUUCAAAGUGAAAACAGUAUCAAUUUAGUCUGUCAAAAAAGUUUGCAAAUGCACCGUUAGAUUUCUAUUCCUUUUAAAUUUUCUCAGAUAUCUAUUGCUCAAAAAAGCUUUAUACCUUCAAAUUGGUACAAAAUGAGUUUUUCCUUGCUGUGUUUAUAUUUCUUAUGAAUGCACUUCCUAUAUUUGCUUUCUAUAUUUUACUAGCAAUUCGUUUGUAGGUUUGUUGGCUAUGCUAUAAUGUCUUGGUCAUGCAUCCAACUAGCAUGCUAAUGUUGAGUUGCCUUUUCUGUGCUACUUUGCUUUUCUUUCUGUCACUGAUUCAGCUGGUCGAGUGUUGGAGAUGUAAACCGAUUUGCACCAACUAUCAUCUUGUCACAAAAUGCUCUACUGCUGGAAUAAAGAUGCCAUAUUAUCUUCUAACUGUUGUACCAUGGUGUCUCAUUGUGUCUCUUUGAACGGUUUAAUUGUGAUGUGCUUAUAUUCAUGUCUACCACAUUUGGUCUGCAUGUUUACCAUUUGAUGUUUGUUCAGAUGCCAUUAUUUUUCCUGUGUUGUUCUGGGAAGUUGAGUGGCUUGACCAACCUUCUUGGGGAUGUUGGUUUCUUUGCCACUUUUCUUUUUUCUUCUGAUCAAUCAUUGUGUAUUUGUGUUUUCUAGCAGCGAUCAUCCUUUAUUUGCUAACAUAGACUAAAGUUUUUGGUGAUUACAUUGAAUGGUUGCUAUGCUCUGGACAAAAUAAUAAGUUCUUAUUGUUGUGUGCAUGUGCACUUUGCUUCAAUAUAGAGCAUGGUACACUUUGUACCAGUGAAGCUAUAUGAUGGAACCUGUCAGAACUUCAUAUGUAUAUUGACAUCUUCUAGGAUUGAACUGGUUUAUCCCUUCAUUGUUUUCUCUUUCUUGUUGUUCGAGUUUAUGCAUGGAUUCAUAUUUAGAAGCCUAUAUUUUGCCUGACGUGCUUGUACCCAAUUUCACAUGGCGAAUCACUCAUCCUUCUGAGGGAAAGUGAAAGCAGGAGAGCAGCUUAGCUCGUGGCCUGGUCUGCCUGCCAUUAGUUGCUAGUGCUUUGUAGAUAGUUACUUUAGGUUUUUGUUGAUGCUACACAAAAAUAUGGUGUCUCUCUAUUAUUGAAUCUGUUCUCCACCCCCAGGCCCUUCCCCCUUCCCCCCCCUCCAACAAAAAAAAAGGUAUGCGCACAUGCUUGGAUCCUAAUAUUGUUCUAUUGUUGCUAAAAUUAUGAAUUUAACUCAGCAGCCAUUUGCUUAAGAAUCUGUUGGAAAGAUUAAUUGGAAAGCUUUCUGAUUUAGUUCUUUAACCUGCUGAAAUACAUAAGAAUGGCAGUUGCUUUAUAAGAUCCAUGAGGUACUUGUAAUCAGAAAUCCAAUGCAGUCAAAAUGCAAUCUGGGGUAGUGGUGUCCAUUUUUCAUGUCCUUUACUUUUCUCUCUGCUUUUAUGCUAUCAAGGAAUGCUGAUUUGGUUUCAAUGGGUGAAAAGAUGUAUGCCUUGCAAAUUUUGACAUGUAGACUGUACUGCAGCUGCAUUUCUGAGCAUUUUCUAAUCUAUUUGACUGCUUAGAAGGAUAGAAGAAGUUGGAUAAACAAGCUAUCUUCAUUGAAUCCCUUAUUCUGUUACUGUUUGUAAUGCGAUUUUGCAUUUUAUAUUUCUGGUCUUUCUUUUUCAAAAAUAUAUUGUCCGGGUGACUGGAAAUCAAAAGCUUUCAUAGUUAGAAAUUUAGGAAAAAUGUGCUAGAGCAAGGCUCAUACAUUACUUUCAAAAUGAGCUCCUUAUUUCUUGUGCCUAGAGAUUAAACUUCUGUUGUUUGAAAUAGUAUUAUUCUCUGUUUGACAGGUAAGGGAGCCACUUCCUUUGAUUAUACAUCAUCUACCUGUUGCAGUAACCUUUGCAUUCAUCGGCGAUGAAAAUAUGGUGGUAGGAAAAAUGAAUACCUUAUUGGUUUUAUAAAUGUUUUCCUUUUUAAUGAUUCCAUUUUCCUAUAAAGUUCAUCUCUUGCUAAUACAUCAGAUGCUGCUAGGUAAUAGACCCCACACAUUUUGAAGAGGGUAUUAUGGGAGGAAGAUUGACUGCUACGCUUAAUGCUAAUGGGGAUUUAUGUGCAAUACAAAAGGCUGGGGGCGAUGGUGUUAUGCAGAGUGUCAUCAUGCAGUGCUUGCGCAUUGCUUCGGUGAAGGCAGCGGAUAUUACAGCAAAGAUAAGGAAAGCUGUAAGAUAGUCUUUUCCAAAUUGUCUUGACCAUGAAAUUAUACGACUGUUGUCUAUAGAUACUUAUACAACUUUUGCAAGGGCUGUUGGCUUAUUUUUCUGGUAAUUGUUAUCUGCUGUUUUCCAGUCCCCUUUUUCUCCUUGUUGCUAUUAAUUCUACUUCCAACUUUAACAGGAAAGAGGCACUUAGUUGCCUAUAUGGUUGGCUUUGUUUGAAGCUGUUAUAAUAUGAGGAUUUGAUGUUAUGAGCAGUGGAGAAAUUUUAACCACAUGCGUCUGCUUGUCCGCCUCAUUCCUUUCUUUAUGUCCUUUCUCUCUCUCUCUCUCUCUCCCUUUUGUUACUCAGCUGACUGCAACAAGUGUGUUAUCAUAUGAUGGUUUAGGCUUUGAUCAUGUUGUAGAAAUUUCUUCAUUUCUCUCCUUGCUUAACACUUUCUCAGCUGUUGGUUUUCUUUUUUUCCCCCUGUUUUUGUCCUUGCAGCCAUUAUGUUAAAUUCCCAUUUUAUUUGUAAUAUAGUAUUUGAUACCCUUCUGUGAUUGGGAAUUUAUAUCACCACUUUCUGAAGCAUCUUUUUGCUAAUAUUUUUUUAUUCUUUGUGUAUUACGUGGCUUUGGGUGUAUAUAGUUGUAGUCGACCAUGGUGCAUUAUUUCUUUUUGCUAGAUAUGUCCCUAAAUUGUUUGGUAGCUAUGGAUUAUUGUGAUUAUGACCUGUGCCUUUUGAGUAUGAGAAGGUGCUUUUCUUGCAACCUAAUUUUGACUUCCUCUGCAGGUUGACUCAUAUAACACGGAAAGAGCACUAAGCAAGAUCAGGCGGCAGCCUGCUAGUGUGGCUGUACAAGUUACUGAACCUAAUCAGAUAGAAGUUAAGGAGCUCAUAAGCAAACAUAAGGAGAAAUUGAUGUUGAAAUCAGAAGAGGGUGGUGCAAGUCACAGUGAUGACAUGGAAAUUGAAGCCCAAUCAUCUGAACAAGAUAAAAGUAGAAGGAGAGAUAGCACCUCAAAGAGUUUUGUCGGUGGUCCCUUGAGUUGGUAAACAGUUAACCAUCCACACUUCAUAAUUUCUGUACCUUGGUUUCGUUAGGAAAUCAUCUCUUAAAGUACUUUCUAGACAUCACUUGAACUUGCAAAUGAAUGUAGAGUGGGAUACAUUGACAUCCACAUGUAAGCUAUGGUUUUAGUAUGGUUACUCUUGUAUCAAGUUUGAUUGUGAGUGCAGGCAUUAUCAAUCAGGCCAUGUUGUGGCUGCAAAAACCAUGUUGUUCCCGGAGGCAAUUUUUUGUAAAUAUCGGAAUGAUCUGGAGAAUUCUUGCUGUUUUAAAAAUUAUUUCCUAUUCUUGAUAUUGACCUUAAAUUUUUUGCCUUGAGACAUGUUUUCUCAUUCAUACUUCAAAUGUUUCAUUGCAGGCUAAAGCUGUGUGUCUGUAUGUACAGAAGCGUCUGCUCGACUUCUCUAACAAUUGGUUUCUUCUUUUUGAUUCCUGCAGGGAUCCCUACUCAAAAGGUGUAGAUUUUGAGGAAUUGCAAGCCUCUAUUGCUUCACGUGGUAUUUGGAUCUUUUCUUAGUACUGAUUGAACUCUUUUAUUGGUGGAUGAGUACCCCUAAUCAUUGUGUCAUAACAAGUCUCAGCACAUCAAAAGCUGCAAAAUAGGGGAGUUUGAUGUGCAUUAUACGACUAGACAGAUAAAUUGCACCAAAAGAUCUCAUGAAACCUUCAAAAUCUGCAGGAACCUUUAUAGUUCUGCAGAAGUAUGUAUUUGUCACUUAGCCACCUUCUUUUUUGUCGACUAGGACUAAUUCAGCAUUUAACAUGAUACUCUACUGCUGUGACUAAUCAAGAUCAUCAUAAAAUUUACUUGAUCUUCAACACAUGGACAGAAAGGAAUACUUAAAUCCUUGUGAGAAAGCAAUAGCCUUCCUACUGAGAAAGCAGAAGAAAGUCCUAAUAUUAUGCCACUGUACGCAUACUAAAAUUCAUUUCAUAUGACUACACUUGGAAUGGUUAACAUCAUUAGCAAAAUUUGAGCUGAGCAUCUGCCAUUUCAAUUCACAAUGAAAUUCCAUUCCUUUGUUUUGUUAGAUCUGUUAAUGGCUUUCUUCUCUUGAACUGAACACCGAACCUACCAAACUACCACAAAGAACCUAUUGUCAGGGCCUGAUAAUCUUCACAGUACAGGCACAAGUUUUUCAACUCGGCCACUAUCAUAUUGUUUCAAAAAUUGAAUUAAAGGGAGAAAAAAAAAUGGGGUUAAGGAAGAGAUCAAUUGAGAUAUAGAAUCUCCACAUACUUCUCGUGUUGAGGUUGUAAGAAGUGGAGAAGCUUCUGUAUUGUAACUGAACUGAGGUUAAGGAAAUUGCUUGUUUUUGAUAGACUGCAUGCAAUGGUGCUUCAGGAUCCUGAAGCUGUGUUGCAUUUUGGUGUUCCUUAUGCUUAACAGCUAAAUGGUUGAGACUGUUAUAUUAAUGUAGCUUAUCUGAUGCACAGUGAAGGUGGCACCUGUAGAGAAGCUAGAGAAAUCAAGAUCUGAUGAGCCAUACAAAGGAGAAUCACCUAAAUUACUUGCUGACAGCAGUACCUCCCUUUUGUCAGAUGAAAAGGCUGCAACUGGACUACAAAUAGAAAAAGAGAAGACUUUGAAAGAUGCUGUGAAGCCUAAGCACAAGAGAAAAAAGAAGGCAUCAACGAACACAGAUGCAAGUUAGCUUCAUCUAGAUUAUGAACGCUUAUAGAAAGGAAUAUCAGCAGCUUGAACAAUUGUUUUCUGCUACUUCUCGAAGUCAUUGGAGGAACAACAUGACUUUCAGCUGUCAGUAUGAAAAUGGAUACUCAAAGAUACUGCGUGAUGCUCCUGGUUGGUCGAAUGUAAUUGAAGCACCAAGGAGUUGUCCAUUCUGCCAAUUCUCGCACAUGGCUUUAGCUUUGUACUCCAACUCGGAUGUUCAUUUAACCAAGUUGGUGGACUUGUUGUAAAGAUCUCCAAUGAUUCUGCAGCUGGAGUUGCUGGGUGACAUAUUUUGCUCAACAGUUUACUAAUCCUUGUGGCAUUGUAGAUGAUGUUGGGAAACAAAGGUCAAACAUUAAUCCUUGUUCUUGGUUCCUCUCUGUCUAGAUUGAUAUGAGUAGAAUUUGUAGCCAGAGAGCAGAAAAGCAUGAAUUUUGUAUUCUUUUGAAGUGAUGACUAUCAUUUUCUUUGUUGGCUAUAUUAGUAUCGCAUGCUUGGUUCAUUUCCUGAUUGCUAGUGCUGUUUCUUGCUGUUGCUUCUCGUGACCAAGGUGAAUUUUCUUUUUGAUUCGAUGUAAUGCAUAAAUGUGUCUGUACAAUUGCUGGACAUCUAAUUUCAGUAUUAAUUUGGUUGCGAAAUUGCAAUCAAACUUAGAUCAGGACUAGAGUUUUCUAGAGUUUUUUCCUUUUGUUUUUAUUCUUUUUUAAGAAAUAAGAUAACUUUUUUAUCCCUCAUCUUCUUGUUUCCCAAUGUUAAAAAAAAACCAAGUUAUUUGAUAAUGUUCUGAACAAUUACCAAUUGUUCAAGCAUAAUUGGGAACUUUUCUUCCAAUUUUCUUCGAAGGUAUUUUUUUGAAAUUUGCUUUUGCAACCUUUGAAGUUUUGCAAGAUGGGCUUCUGAAAAUCUAUAGAAGAUAAUACGUUUAGAGCUUUGAAGAAAAAUAAAAAUCUACCAAAAUGAGAAAAUUAAACUUUUUUUUUAAUCAUCUUUGGAUACGAAGAGGAAAAAUGCAUAAAAACUUUGUCCCUGAAAUAGGGAACCCAAGAAACUCUUUUAAGAAUACAACACCCUACAUGUGUGGCUAAGCUUCCUUGGCAGUGGCCUAAGAAAACCGUUAUGUUCCAACCAACCAACCAACCAAAGGGAAUCUAAAAAGUUCCGUACAAAGAAGAACAAGACUCAAGAUUUCAAUGGCGGCAACUGCUACAAUCUCUCAUUCUUCCUCAAUCACUCUCUACUCUAACAGCCAACUUAACACAUCUUCAGUCUUGAAGAACACAUGCUUGUCAUCUACAUCACUAGUCUAUUCUUCUUCAAGUACAAUAAGCAUUAAUAGUUGUAACACAAAAAUUUGUGGUGGUGUUACUUUGAAAAGCAGAAAUGGAAGAGGUGGGAUUAGAGGUGGGCGGUUGGUUUGCUUGGCUGCUUCAUCUUCAUCUGCACCUUCAGUUAAUCUUCCCAAAGCACUGAUGUUUGAUUGUGAUGGGGUGCUUGUUGACACAGAGAAAGAUGGCCACAGGAUUUCUUUCAAUGACACCUUUGCUGAAGUAAAAUUCCCUUUUCUCUCCUUUCGUGUAUAGAUAUUCAGUAUGAUAUUAUACUUUUUUUUUUUUAAAGUUACAAAUGGUAACCAUUCACUCAGAUGUUCAGUUUUUUUUUUUUUUUGGGUCAAGUCCUAUAUAAGAACUUUUCUUGAUUUUUUUUUUCUUUUCUGAAUUUAAGAUAUCUGAUGUUAAACUUAAGUGACUUUGGGCAAAUUCUAUCUUGGGGGAUUCUCAAUCUGUUUACUUUGAAUGAACAGAAAGAAUUAGGUGUAACCUGGGAUGUGGACUUGUACGGUGAAUUGCUCAAAAUUGGGGGUGGAAAAGAAAGGUAAGAUAAUUAUCUUUUUUGGCUCAAUUUAUGAGUGACUCUAGUGUAUAUUUGCUGAAUGGACUGAAUUUUGGAUUAGAAUCUUUUUUGGGUUGAUUGUGUUUUAUUAGGAUGACUGCCUAUUUUAACAAAGUGGGUUGGCCAGAAAAGGCACCAAAGAGUGAAGAAGAAAGAAAAGAAUUCAUAGCCUCACUUCAUAAGCGAAAAACAGAGUUGUUCAUGGCACUUAUUGAGAAAAAAAUGCUACCUCUUCGGCCUGGUGUAGCGAAGUAAGUCACUAUUAUUUGAUUGUCCUUUUGUCAUUCCAUUUGCACCUUUAUACGCAAUGUUUUCAUAGCAGCUUGGAAGUGGUCUGAUGGGUUCAGCAAGAUACUGAGUUCCUUUGUGCACUUUGAAAACUUGUAAUUUACAAAAAACAUGAAUGUCUUAGUGCACGUACUGAAAGUGAAUAGUGGGGUAAAUUAAGCUUCUCAAUCCUGGAAUCCAAUCAUUAGCUUAAAUCAAGAAAUGCGAUCUAUAUUUGAUCAUAAUGUACUAGCAGCUGCAAUGACAUUUGAUCUCUUUGAAUGUUAAGUCAAGCUAGACAGAUAAGGAAGAAAUGACGUAUCAUAUCUUGGACAUGAUCUUCUGCAUUAGAAUUUCUUCUUUACAUUCAUAAUUACGUUAUGAUCAAAUUGUGAAUAUGGAAAAGUCCUCCGCAUGGUUUCCCUGGAUUCUCUACCAUUGGCGUGUGUUCAAUUAGUUUAACAGUCUUGUGAAAAGCUAACAACAAAAUGCAGCUUACUCCAUCUAGAUAUAUCAAAUUCAGAGCAUGGAAAUGCUGUUGAUAAUACGGUUGUUCUUACAACUUUAUUUGGAAGAUUAUGUUGACUUCAAGAAACAAUUUGAAGGUGAAGAAUGGCUAGGCGAACAUUUUUAUUCUGGUUCUUAGUCAAACAUGGAUAAAGAGAUAAUUGUAUUUUUAGCAUUGAUGAGGUGAUUAUGCUUUGUUAGAUAACUUGUCUGAAGAACUUAAGGCCAUUAGGCCAGAUUUCAGGAUUCCGGUAGUCAUAGAAGUAGUGGUUAGACAGUAGUUAGAGGAUCAAUGUACAUAUACUAAGAGACAAAUUUGGCAGAAGCAGGAGGCUCUUAAUUGAAGCGGCAGGGUGUAGAGGCCAAGUAGAGGAGUGCCUACGAUGCGUACAUGCGAGAGUUUUAGAAGGGGAAAGAACUCUAAUAAAAUUAGUGGUUUUUUAGUUGCAUUUAUGGUUCUACUCACCGACACUUUUGGCAGAAAAAAUGGUAUCAGUUUCUUACUUCUGAUUUCAUGAGGAUAAAUGAAACAUAUGUUUGGCUAUGCAGGUUGCGUGAAAAUUCAUAGAAUAGGAGGUAAUUAACUUGUUAUUCCCGGAGAGAGUUGCAGAUCUUAUACACAAGGAACUGGUUUUUGACUAACUCCAUUAGGGAAAAGUUCAUUAGUUUGUUGAAAGUAGUUUCUAUCUGGAGUACCCGUUGUUGUUCCAUGUCACGGAUAUGAGAAUAACAUGACUACUGAUUUGGGCCUUCGAUGCCCAGUCUACAAUCACCAUCCCCCCUGCUAGAAUUUCACUAUUUAAUUUUUUACAGGUUGAUUGAUCAGGCUUUGGACAAUGGAGUCAAAGUUGCUGUCUGCAGCACAUCUAAUGAGAAGGCGGUAAGCUUCAUCAGGUCUCAGAGUUUGAUUAAUGUUGGAUGUUCUUCCAAUUUUGAGAACUUUACGUUAUAAGAUAUAGGUUUAUGCUUGUUUGUUUAAACAAAAAAAAAACACUUAAAGUGUCUUUCUACCUUUAUGUUUUACUUUUAUGUGUCUUCAGGACCCGUCUCUUGGACAACUUAUGUUAAAUUAAAAGAUAAAAAACCUAGCACUUUAAUUUGAUCAAUUAUGUUCAUGAUUCAUGCUUCUUUUUUUAUCCCUAUUGAUUAUCAGUAUAGUUCUCUUGAUUGCUCUGAAUAUUUUGGAAGUUAAAAGUCUGUAAUUCUGCUUAAGGUUGUUGAGCUUGCUCAUUGAAACACUACUAUGUUUAUGCUACUAUAUAAGGGAGCGAUGGAAAGUAGACCACGUGUACAUGUUGAUUAAACAUUGAAAUGAAAUUAUGUGAUUUCAUGUCACUGCUAUAGUUUCUUUGUUGUUAGGACCCAAGCGUUGAUGAAACAUUGAAAUGAAAUUAUGUGAUUUCAGGUCACUGCUAUAGUUUCAUUCUUGUUAGGACCCAAGUGUUGAUGAAACAUUGAAAUGAAAUUAUGUGAUUUCAGGUCACUGCUAUAAUUUCAUUCUUGGUAGGACCCAAGCGAGCAGAGCAAAUCCAGAUAUAUGCCGGAGAUGUUGUUCCGCGCAAGAAACCUGAUCCAGUGAUUUACUGUUCCUUUUGCUCUUACUUUCUACUAAGAUGGCUGGUGAUGAAUUAAAAAUUCCUUAUACUUCUUUACAAAAAGCCUUAAAAAUCUGGAAGUGGAGCAGUUAUAGCUACAAAGCAGCUGCUUGGAUUUUCUCAAGUGAAGCGAAAAGAAUGAUAAACCUUUGUUUUGCUUCCUGCAAGCAUGACACUAAGAUUUUCCUGAGAAAAUAUUAAACCAUAUGGCGCUUUGAUGAUCACGAUUGCAAUUUGAUUUUCUAGAGAACAAUGAGGAUAAAGAUGUUAAUAUUGGUGCUCUGUUGUUCUUUCUUUUCAGGCCAUUUAUCUGUUAGCUUCCAGCACUCUGGGUGUUGACCCUUCAAGGUAUUGCAUAUGCAAUAGAGUAUGAUGGCAAGGAUGACCUAGCUGAAUGUGAAGAUUCUGAGAUUCAAACAAGUUGAACAAAGCUUAAAUGUGCUUUUAAUUGGUGACAGGCUUUACUUUUAAUUGUCGGAACGAUGACUUGCUUCUCAUUGUUUACAGUUGCGUUGUGAUAGAAGACAGUGCCAUAGGUCUUGCUGCUGCAAAAGCUGCUGGGAUGAAGUGUAUUGUAACAAAGAGCGGGUAAGUCUGAUAUCUUAUGAACAACAAAUAGCUCGUCAUAGGAUUGAAAAUCUCUCUUUUGGCAGUUAAGGGCAAGAGAACAUUACCAUGUAUAUAUCAGUAGCUUGAUGUUGAUCUCAAUAUGAAUGCAUUUGCCGGAGCGCCUAUUACACCAAUGCACCCUUAUAGAACAAAUUUCAAUGUUUACGCUGCUAAUAAUUUAUUGUUAGUUCAGAAAUAAACGAAAUUUUCAACUCUCAAGGUUAAUGCUUUGAGAGUGUAAGCCAUGGGAAGAGAAGGGUUGUCAUUUAUCCCAAGCAAUAGAAGGAAAGAACAGAAAGAAAAAGUUUCUCAAAACAAUAUGACUUAUUUGCAAUGCAAGAAGGAAAUAGGUAGUAAAGUCCUUACAGUCUAGGACAAAUAAAAAAAUAAUGGCUUUGGUCUAUCUUAUUGUCCUGUUGUGUAAGUACUUAUUAAGCCCGUGAGGCAGUCUGGCUAACGCUUGAAGAAAGCAUCAAGAGACUGGUUUUUACUUGUAUCUUUCAAGUGCUCUAAGGUAAUGAUCUUAGACCCUGCAGCAGCGGUCCCAAAAUUACUUGCUGUUUUAUUUGGGAAGGUCGUUUUAUUUAAGUUAUCAGCUAUAAAAUAUGAUGCAUGAUCUUGUAAGGCAAUUUUGCUCCUAUCUGGUUUUUAUCUAGGAGCAACACUUGAUUACCUAUCAACUCGCCUAUCAAUGUGAUCAGUCUCAAACUUUAUAACUUCAUAACAAUGGACAGGCAGAAUCAUAUUAUUAGUAUCUUUGAAGUCUCAGUGAUCUAACUUUUCAUGGCAUGAAUGAUCCUGAGUUGGUCGUUUCUUCAUUCUUUGAUCUGAUAAACGAAUAUCAAUAAUUUGAUCAAUCUUUCCUUUGUGCAGGUACACAGCUGAGGAGGAUUUCUUAAAUGCUGAUGCAGUUUUUGAUUGCAUUGGAGAUCCUCCAGAAGAAAGAUUUGACUUAUCAUUUUGUGGAAGCCUUCUGGAGAAACAAUAUGUUAGUUAGAAUCAUUUUGUUAAAUGAGAUCAACUUCAGCAUACCACCAUUGUAUGUUAUAUAACUUCCCUGGACAAAUCCAGCUGGAAUCCAGAAAUUCAACUGAGUCUUCCUUGAAAUUUUCUAAAACUUUCACAAUUAAGAACUAAUGAUCUUGAGUCCAAAAUCCAAAUUAGAAAUGGGAAUAAACUGUUGUAAGUCCUUAAAGGCAUCAACAUUUUUCACCAAAACCAUUCAUGAUCACCAUAGUUUGAAAUGGCAGAUUGACCUCAUUUAACAAAUGUUAUCUUUAAUGUUUUACUUAUCAUCCUAUGAUGAAUAGAAUGGAAUGAAUUGGACCAAGAAAAGGAUUAAUCUCUUUCAAUUCUGACUCCACUGUAAAGAUGUAGAUAAUUUCAUUCCACAGAUGCUAAACUUAAGCGUCCUAGGAUUGUACCUCUAAAUUAUGGUUAUUUCUUCUAAUGCAGCAAAUGCUGUUUUUGGAGGUGUUCGAAAAAAUUUUACUAUAAUGGCUCAUGUGAAAAACUUUUACUGUAGAUGGUUAAGUGUUUUCUGGAAUUUUUUUGGAAGGCAUUUUUGAGAAUUACUUUGGAAUAUUUUUUGGAUUAGAAAUUUUUUGAAAUAUUUUUUAAAAAUGGAACACCGCCCACCACCACCCUCGAUCACCACAAUGAGGGUGGGUACCCGUGAGAAAAGAAUGAUGCAGGAUUGAGGCGGGGCCAGGUCCCAUCCCUCGCCCUGCUCUCCGCCUAUAUUUUGAGAUAUAAUAUAUAUAUAUAUAUAUAUAUAUAUAUAUAUAUAUAUAUAUAUAUAUAUAUAUAUAUAAUAAUAUGUGUAUGUUUUUAUAUGUAUAACAUGAAAUAAAUGCUAUGUUAUUGUUAUUAUAUAAACAUAUUGUAUGAAAUAAGUAACAUAUUAUGUUGUUAUGAUACAAUAAUGUAAUAUAUUUUGAUUAAAAACUUCAAAAGAAUGAUUAAAACUAUUAUUAGAUUUAUAUAAAUUAAAAAGUUAAAUAAUAAUAAUAAUAAUAAUAAUAAUAAUAAUAAUAAUAAUAAUAAUAAUAAUAAUAAUAAUAAUAAUAAUAAUAAUAAUAAUAAUAAUAAUAAUAAUAAUAAUAAUAAUAAUAAUAAUAAUAAAAUAAUAAUAAUAAUAUAAUAAUAAUAAUAAUAAUAAUAAUAAUAAUAAUAAUAAUAAUAAUAAUAAUAAUAAUAAUAAUAAUAAUAAUAAUAAUAAUAAUAAAUAAUAAUAAUAAUAAUAAUAAUAAUAAUAAUAAUAAUAAUAAUAAUAAUAAUAAUAAUAAUAAUAAUAAUAAUAAUAAUAAUAAUAAUAUAAUAAUAAUAAUAAUAAUAAUAAUAUAAUAAUAAUAAUAAUAAUAAUAAUAAUAAUAAUAAUAAUAAUAAUAAUAAUAAUAAUAAUAAUAAUAAUAAUAAUAAUAAUAAUAAUAAUAAUAAUAAUAAUAAUAAUAAUAAUAAUAAUAAUAAUAAUAAUAAUAAUAAUAAUAAUAAUAAUAAUAAUAAUAAUAAUAAUAAUAAUAAUAAUAAUAAUAAUAAUAAUAAUAAUAAUAAUAAUAAUAAUAAUAAUAAUAAUAAUAAUAAUAAUAAUAAUAAUAAUAAUAAUAAUAAUAAUAAUAAUAGGGCGAUUCAGGGCACCCGUGGGUGUAGUGGGGUAAGACGGGGGUUAGGGCGAUUCAGGGCACCCGUGGGUGUAGUGGGGUAAGACGGGGGUUGGGGGAGUGGGGGACAAAGCAAGUGGGUGCACGCGUCCGAAAACCGUCGGUUGACAGUUUGAAAUUUUUGUAGUGGGUGGAAGAAGAAAAUAUGGUAGAAUUUGUUUUGUUAAAUUUUUAAAAUUUUUGUGUAAGUUGUAUUUGAGAUUGUGUCUGCUUUUGGAGUUUUAUUGUAAACUCCACAAACAAACUUAUAUAUAUAUAUAUAUAUAUAUAUAAAUAUGUUUUAUUUAAAGAAAAAAAAUGGCAAUCCAUUGAGAGUCAAAACUUUUAGCUGUGGCAAUUUCCCUAUUUGAAGACCAUGUAAGUCCAUUUUAAAAUGACAUGAUUUUUUUUUACUCAACUUGUUUUUUAUUUUUAUUUUUACCAAAGUACCUUGAUAUGCAUUAAAGAUUGUCCUAACUCUGGAAUAUAUUUGCCCAAAAAAAAAGAAAGAAUUAAACUAAUGACUAAUGUUUAAGGCUGAGGCGCAUUAAUACUGAACUCGGCAAGCUCAAAAUCUGUCUAGUUGUGUCUAGAAAUUUUGGACAUCAACAAUGUGAAUCUCAACUUGUCUCGAUUAUUGCCAAGAUAUUUGAGAAAAAAAUGCAAAAUGAAUCUGAAACAAAAGUUUCAGUGACUAUACGUUUGAGACAAAUUGUACUUAACAAAAGUUUGGACAGUGGGUCAUUGAAUUCUGAAGUUAUCUGAAUGUGCAUGAUGGGCCAACAAAUACCACCAUUUUCUAAUUUUUACAGAAUUUUUUGAAGUCUAGCCGUUCCAACAGCACGUGGGUCUUUUAGAAUGUACAUUACAAUCAGAUGGAUAAAUUCACUUAAGCAUGGUGGUAGAUUUAUUUAGGUGUGGCGUUACAGUAGCACUUCCAUGGAUUGACUGUCAUUAUCUUACAGGCUGGAUACUUAUCAUAAUAUCUGUAUCACAGUAGCUUGAAUACAAGUUUAAGAAAAAAGCUUCACAACUCCAUCCGAUUUUUCAUAUCAGUCUACUUAAGCCAUUUUAUCAGGAAUCGCACGAUUGGUCAAAGAACUUGUCAAUGAAGACACCUGCGGGCAUGAGAGACGAGUACGACAAAGUUGCCGAGGAGAUUGUGGCCAAUCAUACUAUCUGACACAAGAAUCGCGCACUAUCAAAGGAGUACUUGGUGCGAUGGUGUGGGCUACCGAAGUCCGAGAUCAGUUGGGAGCUGGCCGAGAAGCUGUGGCAACUUGAGGAGCUCAUAUAGGCGUAUGAAACUAGUUAAGACAUUAGGCACGAUGCCUCGUUCAAGUGGGGGAGGAUGACAUGGAUCGCACACAAACCACGCGCACCCGCCUCGAGCUGGCCAGACAAGGAGGUUUUGCCAAACAAUAUUAGGAGUGUGUAGAGAGACUUAAAGAUGUCCGGAAUGUUUUAGGCCCUUCGAGGGUCUUGUGGAAUAGCCUAGAACUUGUACAUAAGAGUUUUAUAUUAUAUAGAAGAUUCUAGAAACUAAAUGUAGAAAGACUUAGUACAGAAUUUUCUAGAAACUUGUAUAGUUUUUUUGGCUUGCCUAUGAAUAGGCUAAGUCCCAUUAUUUGUAAAGCAUCUUGUACAAGUGUUUUCAAGAGUAACACGAGUUUUCCUUAGCCUCCAACACUUCUCCUAUUUGCUCACUAUUUUUAGCUUCCGCAUAAUUUCGUGCACUUAGAGGUUAGAUUGAACUAGCGAGGCGUUCAUAGCUCAAGAUUUGAACAACAGCUAGUGCCGCACGGUGCGAGUGCUUAUAGCAUUUUUCUUAAACUUGUAUUCAAGCUACUGUGAUAAGGAUAUUGUGAUAAGUAUCCAACCUGUGAGAUAAUGAUAGUUAAUCAAUACAAGGAAAAGUCAUAACACAUGAAUACAUCAAUAAGUUAUGAUAGUUUUGAUACAUCUCAAUACCGAGGAAAAGUCAAGCCAAACCAAAAACAACUAAAACAAUUGAACGCUCCAGCCAAGCAAAAAAAAAAAAAAAAACUAAGACAAUUGAACUCCUUCAUCUACUGAAGCCAAUGUUUUAAAACUCGGACCGGUGAGUGACCCGGUUGAGUUGUCGGUUCCGAUUUUUCCCAGUUCAACUGACCAGGUCAACGAUUCAAUAUUUUUAUAUUUAUUUUUUAAAAUUACAAAUUCUAAGAAAUAGUCUCUGUCACCAUCAAUGACCCCAUCUGUAGUAGUAAUACGAUCUACGGUGACAAGUGUAUAACAUCAACAUCCCAAAUUUAUCCUUAUGAUUUACAAAGAAUAAUCACAUUAAACAAUUUUGUAGAAAUCAGCCAUUAAUUGUCCUCUUCACCAAAACCAAAAAAAAAAAAAGAAUUUAAGUACAUAGAAAUAAAUUUCAAAUUUUUUGAGGAGAGGUUUCAAACUCCCCAAAACACAAACGAAGAAAUAAGAAAAGAGCGAAAAAAACCAAUAUCUAAUUGAGAAUUGCCUUUGAUCGAAGUUGGAGGUGCAUCUCCACCACCACCACAUUGAACACCACCAGAUCUUGUGAGAUUGGUCUUGGAACGCAACAGUGAUUGACAAAAAACUUUGAUUUUUGAUACCUAAGCAUAUAGUGUAGAUCUUCUUUUAAGUAUCUUUUGCCGUUAAUGAUAAUGUAGCUAAUUUUCUUCUUGAUCUUGUUCAAGAAGACAGAGAAAAAUUUUGAUGUUGGAUUCUACAGUUUUUGCCUUGAAUGACGUGAAUGAAACCAAGAUGAGAGAUUGCGGUUUAAAAGAUGAAGAUAUAAUUUUUGGACUUAUCCUAGAUGCUUUAGACUUCAAUAAGAUAAAGAUAAGGUUGUGGAAUUUGGAUGAUGCUGGAAGCCUGGUAACGGAGGAGUGGUAUUCUCAAUUAUGUUGGUGGACGUUUGGUGUGGAAGAGUAAAUCGAGAAGCAAAUGUAUUAAUUAUUUAGUAAAGUGGGCCAUAUUGAUAAGAAAACUUAAAACCAGACUUUUACGUUUCAACAAGGUUUUACCGAUUUAACGGUUUUGACCGGUUCUUUAACAUCCUCCGGGUUUAGCAUACAACCAAACAACCAGUAUUGGCAGUUCACGGUCGAACCGGUUCGACCGGCCGGUCCAGUCCGGUCUUAAAAAACACUGACUGAAGCUGCUUCUCUUUCCCUUCCUUCUCCUUGGACCAAUGUUUUUAAACUCGGACCAGCCAGUGAACCGGAGAGGGGCCCGGUUCACAGUUCGACCGGUCCGACUGGUCGGACACCGGCCAGUUCAAUGGUUCACUGUUUUUUUUUUUUUUUGCAACUUUAAUGAUAAGUACUUCAUAGGUCUUCACUCUACAGUUUACACUGGAACUUGAUGGCUAAUGUACAAUCUAACAUGGUUAUUAAUAAUUUAAGUCCCUAAAAUACAUUCAUCAAUAUAACUUAAAACUAAAUUUAAGUUGAAAUAAUAAUAAAUUUUUUAAAAAUUAUACAUGAAACCUGAAAUGAUAAAUAUAACUAAAAUAUCAUAAUUCACCGCAAGUUUUCAUAAAUUCAUUACAAACAUAAAUAUAUAUAGCUCAAAUGUUCACCAAUUAUCACAAACAAAAACACAUAAAUAAAUAAAAUAAAUGUUGACAUUCUUUCACAAUUCUAAAAAAGUCCAUAAAAGAGUUCAAUUCAUAUUCAAGGCAAACAAUUUGAAUAACAAACUUCCAUCAUUGGCAUGACAAGGCAACAACACCCUCUUCACAAUUUCUUCAAUUUAACCUGAAAAAGUUAAAAAGUUUAUUACAAAAAAUAUAUAUCUAAUUGGUGAAACUGAAAAAAAAAGCCCAAAAAUUUUGAAAAACAAAGAUACAACCAAACACAAAAAAAAUCAAGUGCUACGGUUGCAUACGAUUUCCUUAUUUUGCAUAUGGUUGCAUAGUAUGAAUCAUAAAUCAUAAAUUAGUUGCAUAUGGUUAUCGUCACAAACAACAUCAAUGGAACAAAAAAGGGCAUUCCAAAGAUUAAUUCCAGAAAAAUACAAAAUUAAAAAACCAAACAUGUCUAAUUUUAUUAAUUUGAUACUUCAUCCAAAAAAUAACUUCACCAAACAUGACUACAAAAUAAUUUAUAACUCAUAGUUUCAUCCUUAACUAAUCAAACAAAAAAUAAAACAUCAAUUAGGGAUAAGGAAAAUGAUGAAAAUUGGGGAAAAAAAGAAGAAAAUAUGACAAAACCCACUAAAGAUAAUAUAGAAAACAAAAAUCAAGAAAAGACAAAAAUUAAACUUACCAAGAUGGAAAAGCUCUGGAGUCUCGUCUAAAGAUAAUAGUGUGAUGAUCUUGUCGUGGAUAUUUGGAUGUGGAAGGAUUAUGAAGAAAAAAUAAAAAAAAAUCAAUAGAUUAACUAGAGAAGCCGAGGAACGGAGGAAGUCAGGAAGUGAAGCCAAGGAGAAAUGUGCCGCUGCACUUUGCUAGCUUGCUAUGUGUUUUCUUAAUGCUAGGGUUUUUUUUAUUUAAUCUGAUUUUAUUUUUUGGUUAAGUUAAAUAAAAUUCUACACAACUAGAGCAUGUCCCUCGGUUGUAUAUUAGUGGUAAGCAUACCUUAAUGCGGUCAUGGAGACCCGAGUUCGAAUCCUACCAGCCUCCAUUCUUGUUAUUGUUUUGAAUUUGAGGUCAUAUUGUUUGCAAAUUUAAGAACCGCCGGUUUACGGUUCAUACGGGUUUUAACGGUUCGUCCGGUUCGUACGGUUUCUAGCGGUUCUUCAUUAGCUUCCGGGUUUGAUGCUGGACCGGACCGGACCGGUGAUGCUACCGGUUCGCAGUCGAACCGGCCGAUCCGGUCCGGUUCUGAAAACAUUGCCUUGGACUGUUCUUUCCCUUCAUCUUCCUUUUCCCUUUUUUUUUUUACUAGUUGCAUGCAAAAGGCAGGUUUCAAAGAGCAUCGUCCCAGAUCAUUGCCCAGCUUCGAUUUAACAUAGUUCCAAGUCACUUUAUCACAAAAAUCACCCAUGUCGCGACCAAUAUUUACCAACUUGUAAGCCAGCAUAUUGUGUUCUCGAUGUACGAGACGCAACACAAUUUCGUCCUUCUCUUUGCCAUAAACACACAUUCUUGCAAGAGGCUGAAAGUGGACUAGGUUCAACGCGAUGAGGCCACUGCACGUAUUGCUUACCUCCAAGCAAUCUAUGCAAAUGAUGAGGCCUCCAUAAUGCCAGUAUUCUUCAUUCUUAGACACGUGCAUCGCGACGAUAGCUACAACCUUCAUUUCUUCGACUCCUGACUUUGGUUUAUUUUUAUCAAAGAUUGGUAUGCGAAAGCAAUAUACAGAAUCUAAUCUACUCAAAGGGUAGUAGAUUAGGAGUCCAUCUCCAACUAUACCAAUAUAACGUUGUCUUGGCACUUGUGGAUCCUUCUUUCAUUCAAAACAAACCAAAGAAGCAUCCAUGUAUACAGUUGGGAACUCAUACCCUAUGCCAAGCGGAUUAGGCAAUCGAGUGAUUGGCAGAUGUUUGGUCUCCUUCACCAGCCCAUCAUCCUUAGCCACUAUCUUGAAUCCCUUCGAUCUCAUGUAGACAAGCAGGUGGGGCUAUUGUUUGGAAAGGGUGAUCAUAAAAAGGGUCAUGUACUGCUUCUUCGUGAUAUACAUAAGGCCCACCUUUAAAGGAUGACAUGCAAUUAUGCAAGGAAGUCUUCCACCAAUGUGUGAAAUUCGUCACAAUUUGAACCAACUUGCCAUACUUCUACAAUCAAAUACUAAAAAUCAAACUUUAAACUUUAAACCCAAACAUAAACAAAAACAACAAACAUGUUCUGAAUUAGAUUUUGAGAGGAAAGAAUUACGAAGAAUCUGUAAGAAAAAAGGGAAGAAAGAGAGGGAGAAUAAUAAAGGAAGAAAGGAAUUUUAUUUAUCAACAAUCAGCAAUAAUUCCUAGCAACAGUGAUUUGACCUCUUUAAACAAAGAUACAGUCUUGUCAUGCUAAUAAUUGUCAUGCUAGUAAUUGCCUUACUAGACUAAUCAACCCAAUUGUAACUUAGAAGACAAAGAUACAGCAUUGUCAUGCUAAUAACUGCCUUACCAGACCCAAUUGUAACUUAGAAGAUACAACACUGAUAAUUGUAACUAACUUUAGGCAUGCAGACUUAAUAUUGUAACUUCUACUGAUAAUUGUAACCUAUGUUUUUUGAUUCAGACCAGGUAUCGAUUCAACUGAACUCGAGGGUCAGGGAUCAAUGGGUUUGAUUGGAUUCAACCGGAGGUCGAAUUGGAUGACGUCAUAAACACAUAUUAAUGAUAUAUAAUUAAAAUAAUAUAUAAAAAUUCCCUUUAAAUUGGUGGUUUACAACUUUAUAUACAUAUUUGAUGAGUUUGGAUUUAAUCCAAAAGAAAUGCAAUUAAAAAUUAUAGGUAAAUUUGUAGUUUAAAAAAUAUAAUGGAUGAAUUUUGUACUUCUUAAAAUAAUAUAGGGUCAAAAUGAAAUUUUUAGUUUAUCCUGGGACCUUUUCUUCCUCCUAUUCACCAUAACUCUUUUCUUGUCCUUUAUCCCCACAAUAACUCUUUUCCUCCCAUUCCUUCUUCUUCCGCUCCAGUAAUAUUCUUCCUAUUUCUUUGUCUGUUCCUCAAGUCUCCACGCUGCCUGCAACCACUUCAUUUAUCUUGUUAUCUUCCUUUCAUUGCCAAUCCUACGGCUAUUUCAUUUUUUCGUUUUCUUGAUUUUUUUUACCUUUGCAAAUUUGAUUUUGUUAGUUUUUUCUUGUCAAACUCAGAAAAUAUCAAACUUUUCAUCUUUUUAUUUUCUAAUUUCUCUUUUCUUUAUGUUUCUCCUUUCUGCAAUUUUCUUUGUCUUUUUUUUUUCAUUUAUUGACAUGAGAUCUAUGAGAUCUUAUUUAAAAAUUAAUUAUAAGGGCUGGUUUUGAUUGAGUCCAUGCCAGCUAAUGAUAUGUGGGAAGAACUGGAAGAAAGCUAUGUUGCUGAGAAUUGAACUCACAGGCGGGUAAAAAAAGCUUAGAAGAAAAGGAAAAAUGGAAAAGCCCGAUUUCAGAGGUUGUACCGGUUCCCAGUUGAACCCCAAUUUUGACCGAGUUUUGGCCAAUCGAGUUUUAAAGACAACUUGGACCGAAUGCCUGCCCGAUUCUCGAUUCAAUCGGUCCAACCGAUUAGUUCGAUCCGAAUUUAAAAACAUGGAUUGUAACUAACAACCACUGAUGUUGUUGUGGCAUGUAGAUUUAUUCAAUCAUUCUAUUUACAAUUGCUAGCAAUUAAUUGCAAGUCGUAACAAAACACAUUGUUUCCUUUGCAACGCCUCGCCUAUCCCUGCGAUGUGCAUAGCCCAUAGCCACUACACGGACAACAACCAUUAGGUUCGACAAAAACCAUUUGAUUAGACCAUUAGACUUUAGACCAUUGCACUUGACAAACCAAAUUAUAAGGAUAAAGAUAAUAUGGUAAAGGACAAAGACUUACCUUUGUAAAAGGUAAUAUCAGAUCCCUACCCUCGCACUAUCAAAAAAUGUAAUUCAAAAUAUUAGGAUACUUCAGCAUACAUAAUUUAGUCGUUAGAUUGGCAAUAUACAAAUUAUAAGGAUCAUUAUAACUCACCCCAUUGCUUUCAGAUUUGGAGAAUGAGGCGAACUUAAUAUUUCAAGGGCUAUCAAUUUCUAGAAAACACAAAAACAUAGAAAAUUAACUUCUCUAGGAGGCAUGGAAGCACUAACACUAAAGUGACAAGAAAAAUCAAGAAAAAGAACACAUAAAAGAACAGAAGCACAAUCAUAUGCCUUCCAAAUAUAUAAACCACAUGUCAAUCCAAACAAUUUAAAAAGUCGCACAACUUAAUCCAAACAAAUUAAGGAAAAAAACUAAAUAAUCACCUUAGUAGGACCAUUAAUUGAACGCGGAACGCUGGGCUUUGCUGGACUUGUGCAAUACUACAAUUCCAAACAUCAUAAAUACGCUCGUUACACAUACAUCUAAAUAAUAUAUAAGCAAAAGUAAACAAAAGGCUUUACAGCCUUUACAAGAUUCAAAACUCCAAAUCACACUAGAACUCACUUAAUUAAACAUUAACUACUAAGAAUUAACCCUAAUUCGAUCCUACUAACCCCUAACACGGCUCACUGUGGUCAACAUGGCCCUUAGCCAUUUAUUUAACCAAAUCAAUGACUCAAGUGACUUAAUCAAACGCUGGAAAUAACUUCACGAUUUGCAAUAAUGGGAACAAACAGCAUCACUAAAACAAACUUCAGUUUUAACUUAAGAAAAUGAUUAAGUGACAUCAAACUUUCUCCAAACAACUUGAAUGGCUUCGUUGCUAGCUAGAUUCUGUAUCAUUCCCCUCCUCUUGAAAGCAAUUUGCCCACAAAUCGAUACACGAAUUGUUACAAGAGGAGUUACAUGCCAUCGGGUCAACCUUGUGAUGAUCACAAUAAAAAAUUUCAUCCAACGCAAAAACCAUCACUUGCAAAGAUUGAAAGGACAUCUUUUCGCACCUUGAAUCCCACGAACCAGCCUCAAUGCAUGCUCAACCAAAUCUGGUUUAACACAGGAAAAUAAACAACAAGUGACGGUAUGUGUAAAAGGAUCUGAAAACUUAUCACUUGUAUCCAAAAGAUAAGGAUUUUCAAAGUGGUGCGAGGUAUAUCCCAUGAAGCCGAACUCCUCAUGCUCGAAUAAACUUGCAAGAUACAAAAACUGAUUUGGUGAAGUUGAACCAUUACAAGGACCAACUACAAGUCAAAGAUAGUAGUUGUAAUGAUCAUUGAAGAACUCGCUCCUUAAACGAACUCUUGGUACACAAUCAGCUCCAAUGUCUACACAAGCAAGGCACCAAAGAUUAGCAAUCAGCUCAGAAAAAAAUAAAAAAUAAGAAAAAUAGUUUAAUUAAAAAAAUGAAGCAACUUAUGAAUUUAAAAGACAUAUGGGUAUGCACGUUAAUAUGAUUAUGCGUGUGCUUAAAAAGAUAAAAAGAAGAGAAAAACUAAUAUUAGAAUUUAAGUGCCGUUACAUGCCCAACAGUGUCUAACAGGCUUCUAGUACCGAUGGCCUUCCUAAAAGUGCAAAAGGCUAUUAGAAAUGUGUAAGCACAAAUUUUGUUGCCUAAAAUAAAAGACAAGAAAACUUGCACAAAUAUCAAAUUUAUUAAAUUAAAUAAUAAGUAGGCUACAAUCUCUGAAAAUUCUUGAAUCAAAGAAAUUAAUCCCCUGAUUCUUUUCUUCGAAUAGCUUCAAUUGAAGGGCCGAAAAGACUUGUUCUCCAAUCGAAAGGGUGUUUCCUACAAUUUCGGCGUAGAAAACGAUUGAUUUGAUGAUGGCGUCAAACACUUGGAACUUCGAGUCUUCAACACCGAUAGCAGGAGGAUUUGUUUGACUUGAUUUGGGCUUGGAUUUGAGGAAGAAAGCUCUUGAGGGAAUUUGACAGAGUUUCUCCGAAUGUUAGGGAUUUUUCUAUAUCUUUGCCUUGAGGGAAGACCUCUAUUUAUAGCCAAAAUAUGUAGGCUAGGUCUUCAAGAAAACCCUCAGAAUCUUCCUGCAUUUUGGAUCACUUGUUACCCAAGAAAUCCAUUUAACUUGGGCUUAAAUAUUGGGCCAACCCAGAUAGUCCAUUGUGAAUUAAUAAAUCAAUUAAUUCACUUCAACUUAAAUGGGCAUUACAAUUUUAACUUGAUUUAAUAGCCCAUAUAAUACUGGCCCAAUUUGCAAGUUCAAAACAUAAUGAACUUUUAUCAUUUAAUUUAAUUUAAUCAAGAUCAAUUUAAUUUAAAUAAAUCUUGACUAAAUAAAUUAAAUAAAUUUUCUUUGUCUACAAAAUGAUAUUUGUCUUUAAAAUAAAUUGUGUAAUAUGUUAUUUUUGAAAUCCAUUUCAUAAUUCAUAAAGUUCGGGGAAUAAUAAAAUUUUAUUGAAAGAUUUCAAAUAAUUUUUUUUUUGGAGAAAUAAAAUAAGAACAAAAGUUUAAUAUAUAAUAUAAGAAGGAUUAGCUACUACACGUGCUGUGGGCUAAUGAUGAUUACACUUUGCUUGCACACAUGAGGUCUUCCGUUUGAUCCACCAUUCCAACAUCUUCUAAAAAUUUUUUCCACAACAACAUGCUAGACUUGAGUUCCUUACAAAAUCGGCUAAUUCAUCAGGUUGACCGGUUGAACCACUGAUUCAUUGACAAGUCAACGGAUCUAUUACUUAAACGAUUCAAUUAAAAUCCUAGCUCAACUCAAUAAUCUAUUGACCGAUUGAACCGUCGGAUCAGGUCGGUUUAAUAACUAUGGUUAGUGGUUAUCCUAUGUUGCAUUAUGCAUUUAUUUACAAUUUAUCAAGGGUAGAACUUCUCUAUGGUUUCUGAACUAGGUGGUUAUGUUAGCAAGUUCGUAAAAAAAAUCUGCCACUUAGACUUCCAAAACAAAUUGAGCACAACUCUUGCAGCAGCUGCCAAUGCUUGCAAUAACGCCUCAUUCUCUUCCUUUUCCCCUCUUUUCCUACUUUAUCUUUGCUUAAGGUUGUUGAGCUUGCUCAUUGAAACACUACUAUGUUUAUGCUACUAUAUAAGGGAGCGAUGGAAAGUAGACCACGUGUACAUGUUGAUUAAACAUUUAUGUGAUUUCAUGUCACUGCUAUAGUUUCUUUCUUGUUAGGACCCAAGCGUUGAUGAAACAUUGAAAUGAAAUUAUGUGAUUUCAGGUCACUGCUAUAGUUUCAUUCUUGUUAGGACCCAAGCGUUGAUGAAACAUUGAAAUGAAAUUAUGUGAUUUCAGGUCACUGCUAUAGUUUCAUUCUUGUUAGGACCCAAGCGAGCAGAGCAAAUCCAGAUAUAUGCCGGAGAUGUUGUUCCGCGCAAGAAACCUGAUCCAGUGAUUUGCUGUUCCUUUUGCUCUUACUUUCUACUAAGAUGGCUGGUGAUGAAUUAAAAAUUCCUUAUACUUCUUUACAAAAAGCCUUAAAAAUUUGGAAGUGGGGCAGUUAUAGCUACAAAGCAGCUGCUUGGAUUUUCUCAAGUGAAGUGAAAAGAAUGAUAUACCUUUGUUUUGCUUCCUGCAAGCAUGACACUAAGAUUUUCCUGAGAAAAUAUUAAACCAUAUGGCGCUUUGAUGAUCACGAUUGCAAUUUGAUUUUCUGGAGAACAAUGAGGAUAAAGAUGUUAAUAUUGGUGCUCUGUUGUUCUUUCUUUUCAGGCCAUUUAUCUGUUAGCUUCCAGCACUCUGGGUGUUGACCCUUCAAGGUAUUGCAUAUGCAAUAGAGUAUGAUGGCAUGGAUGACCUAGCUGAAUGUGAAGAUCCUGAGAUUCAAACUUGUUGAACAAAGCUUAAAUGUGCUUUUAAUUGGUGACGGGCUUUACUUUUAAUUGUCGGAACGAUGACUUGCUUCUCAUUGUUUACAGUUGCGUUGUGAUAGAAGACAGUGCCAUAGGUCUUGCUGCUGCAAAAGCUGCUGGGAUGAAGUGUAUUGUAACAAAGAGCGGGUAAGUCUGAUAUCUUAUGAACAACAAAUAGCUCGUCAUAGGAUUGAAAAUCUCUCUUUUGGCAGUUAAGGGCAAGAGAACAUUGCCAUGUAUAUAUCAGUAGCUUGAUGUUGAUCUCAAUAUGAAUGCAUUUGCCGGAGCGCCUAUUACACCAAUGCACCCUUAUAGAAGAAAUUUCAAUGUUUACGCUGCUAAUAAUUUAUUGUUUGUUCAGAAAUAAACGAAAUUUUCAACUCUCAAGGUUAAUGCUUUGAGAAUGUAAGCCAUGGGAAGAGAAGGGUUGUCAUUUAUCCCAAGCAAUAGAAGGAAAGAACAGAAAGAAAAAGUUUCUCAAAACAAUAUGACUUAUUUGCAAUGCAAGAAGGAAAUAGGUAGUAAAGUCCUUACAGUCUAGGACAAAUAAAAAAAUAAUGGCUUUGGUCUAUCUUAUUUCCUGUUGUAUAAGUACUUAUUAAGCCCGUGAGGCGGUCUGGCUAACGCUUGAAGAAAGCAUCAAGAGACUGGUUUUUACUUGUAUCUUUCAAGUGCUCUAAGGUAAUGAUCUUAGACCCCUGCAGCAGCAGUCCCAAAAUUACUUGCUGUUUUAUUUGGGAAGGUCGUUUUAUUUAAGUUGUCAGCUAUAAAAUAUGAUGCAUGAUCUUGUAAGGCAAUUUUGCUCCUAUCUGGUUUUUAUCUAGGAGCAACACUUGAUUACCUAUCAACUCGCCUAUCAAUGUGAUCAGUCUCAAACUUUAUAACUUCACAACAAUGGACAGGCAGAAUCAUAUUAUUAGUAUCUUUGAAGUCUCAGUGAUCUAACUUUUCAUGGCAUGAAUGAUCCUGAGUUGGUCGUUUCUUCAUUCUUUGAUCUGAUAAACGAAUAUCAAUAAUUUGAUCAAUCUUUCCUUUGUGCAGGUACACAGCUGAGGAGGAUUUCUUAAAUGCUGAUGCAGUUUUUGAUUGCAUUGGAGAUCCUCCAGAAGAAAGAUUUGACUUAUCAUUUUGUGGAAGCCUUCUGGAGAAACAAUAUGUUAGUUAGAAUCAUUUUGUUAAAUGAGAUCAACUUCAGCAUACCACCAUUGUAUGUUAUAUAACUUCCCUGGACAAAUCCAGCUGGAAUCCAGAAAUUCAACUGAGUCUUCCUUGAAAUUUUCUAAAACUUUCACAAUUAAGAACUAGUGAUCUUGACUCCAAAAUCCAAAUUAGAAAUGGGAAUAAACUGUUGCAAGUCCUUAAAGGCAUCAACAUUUUUCACCAAAACCAUUCAUGAUCACCAUAGUCUGAAAUGGCAGAUUGACAUCAUUUAACAAAUGUUAUCUUUAAUGUUUUACUUAUCAUCCUAUGAUGAAUAGAAUGGAAUGAAUUGGACCAAGAAAAAGAUUAAUCUCUUUCAAUUCUGACUCCACUGUAAAGAUGUAGAUAAUUUCAUUCCACAGAUGCUAAACUUAAGCGUCCUAGGAUUGUACCUCUAAAUUAUGGUUAUUUCUUCUAAUGCAGCAAAUGCUAUUUUUGGAGGUGUUUGUGAAAAAUUUUACUAUAACGGCUCAUGUGAAAAACUUUUACUGUAGAUGGUUAAGUGUUUUUUGGAAUUUUUUUUGAAGGUAUUUUUGAGAAUUACUUUGGAAUAUUUUUCGGAUUAGAAAUUUUUGAGAUAUUUUUUAAAAAAGGAACACCGCCUACCACCACCCUUGAUCACCACAAUGAGGGUGGGUACCUGUGAGAAAAGAAUGAUGCAGGAUUGGGGUGGGGCCAGGUCCCAUCCCUCGCCCUGCUCUCCGCCUAUAUUUUGAUAUAUAUAUAUAUAUAUGUAUAUAAUAUGUGUAUGUUUUUAUAUGUGUAAUAUGAAGUAAAUACUAUGUUAUUGUUAUUAUAUAAACAUAUUGUAUGAAAUAAGUAACAUAUUAUGUUGUUAUGAUACAAUAAUGUAAUAUUUUGAUUAAAAACUUCAAAAUAAUUAUUAAUAAAACUAUUAUUAUAUUUAUAUAAAUUAAAAAGUUAAAUCAAAUAAUAAUAAUAAUGAGAGUAGGGCGAUUCAAGGCACCCGUGGGUGUAGUGGGGCAGGGCGGGGGUUGGGGGACAAAGCAAGUGGGUGCACGGCUGCACGCAUCUGAAAACCGUCUGUUGACAUUUAAUGAUGGCAGUGGGUGGAAGAAGAAAAUAUGGUAGAAUUUAUUUUGUUAAAUUUUUAAAAUUUUUGUAAGUUGUAUUUGAGAUUGUGUCUGCUUUGGAGUUUUAUUGUGAACUCUACAAACAAACUUAUAUAUAUAUAUAUAUAUAUAUAUAUGUUUUAGUUAAAGAAAAAAAAUGGCAAUCCAUUCAGAGUCAAAACUUUUAGCUGUGGCAAUUUCCCUAUUUGAAGACCAUGUAAGUCCAUUUUAAAAUGAUAUGAUUUUUUUUUACUCAACUUGUUUUUUAUUUUUAUUUUUACCAAAGUACCUUGAUAUGCACAAAAGAUUGUCCUAACUCUGGAAUAUAUUUGCCCAAACAAAAAGAGAAAGAAUUAAACUAAUGACUAACGAUUAAGGAUGAGGCGCAUUAAUAAUGAACUCGGCAAGCUCAAAAUCCAUCUAAUUGUGUCUAGAAAUUUUGGACAUUGAAGAGGUGAUUUUUGGCGGGUAAUUAGUCCAGCCGAAAUCAGCUCUCUUGUUAAGGUGGUGAGGUGAACUCGCUUAUCUCACAUCGGGUGGAAUGAAGUGAGGUUGCACGGUCAAAGUGGAUGGCGGGGCUUUUCCCCUGGGAUCACUCCGACGAUCAAGUUAGUAUGAGAACGAGAAUAAUAAGAGUAUGAGUGAGUGAACAGUAUGCUUACUUGCGGGAGGUAUGCGAGGGGUAUUUAUAGGUCAGGAGGGAAUGCUAGGACGGAGGGCUGAUGCUGGUGGGACCCACUCUCUGGCAUUACGGCUCUGUCCCCUGUCAGGAGGCCUGACCCUAACACUGCAGCCUUCUGGGUAUGAUGACGGCGAGUAUUGUGCAGGUGCCAUUAAGUGCCUCCAGUGCUUUUCAGAUAAAGCACUGGUCCUGAGUGGUGUCAGGUGGCUUGACAUCAUCAGCGUGCAACUGAGGUGAAGGUGUCGAGGUCACCUACACGGUAGACUCGGGAUCCGGCCGAGUUCAGGGGUUAUGCCCAAGACAGAUGAGCUCUAAGGAGGGACGAGGUGAGUUCACCCCGGACACGCGGGCGGCCGAGGUAAGCAUCAUCAAUAAACCCCCCAAGUCUCAGGAGCUCCGGGCCAGGGAGGUACCGAGGCUUCCUCGUGCCGAGGUCAUGAAGAGUCGGGGUCCCGAAACUGCUCCGGAAGAUGCGGGGACGUGACACGUGGGCGAGUCAAUUGACAGGACGUGGGGGACAGUUGACACGCAACCGUCACGUCGUGAAGUAGUGGAACGUUUCGCGCUGAUGGGGUGUCAGUCGAAAGGACGGGUCAUUAAUGAAGAGAGAGAGAGGUGUGGCGUUUUGAAUUCGAAGGUGGCUGCCUCUUCGCAUUCUUGCCGCCUCUUCGAUUUUCCUCGGACCCUUAUAAAUAGGGGGUCUUUUUCACCGGAUGGCCCAUCACUUUCUUUCUCUGCCAGCGACUUGCAAAAUUUUACGAGUGUUGCCGAGGUCAGUCUAUUAGCCGAGAUCACAGCCGAGGUCAUCAACUUCGUCCAGUUCCGUAGACAAUAGUAAGUAUCCCUUUUUCUUUCUUAUCUCGUCUUUCACUCAUGGCCAAAACAGCUAAGACCCACAAAGAAACCGUGACACCGAGCUACCAGACCGAGGUGAGGCCGGAUCCUGAGGAAGAAGCGACGACGUCCAACUCUGAUGGGUCGACGCCGAGUUCUGAAGAAGGAUCAACCGAGGUGAGAGCCGACGAGGCGGGCUCGGAGCUGGAGUCAUCCGAGAUGAGCAAGGGUGGCUCCGAGGUGGUCUAUAAUGAGAAACUCGGCGUUGAGGUACCACGCGACGAAGGCGUGGAGGAGCCAGUAGCUCCAAUAGAUGCAGCCAACAUCGACUUCGGCAAGAUGCUGAAGUUCAGAAGUCGAAUAGGACGAGACAGGGCCGGAAAGGUGUUAAGUAAGUACCCUAACACCUUUUCGGCCGCAUUAUGUGAUUAGACCGCCCGGGCCGGAUGACUCAGCCAAGAAGCCCCCCAUGGGCAUGGUGGCCAUCUACGUCCAACAGCUAGAGGCCGGGCUGAGGAUGCCGACGUCGAGGUUCCUCAGGGAUUUGCUUCGUCACUUCCGCGUGAGGAUCACCCAACUCAUCCCGAACGCGGUCCGCAUUAUCAUAGGGUUCGAGAUGCUGUGCCGACAUCAGGAGGUGACUCCCUCUGUCGACCUCUUCCGCCGAUGUUAUACCCUCAAGGCGCACGGUACGGAUAAAGGAUGAUUUUAUGUUUGCAAUCGGAACAAUGCCAUCCCGAAGUUGGUGAUUGGUGCUCCCAACUCGAUCAAGAAUUGGAAGCGUGACUUCUUCUUUGUAUCCGGAGUGGACUUCCCCAGAGGUUUUUGGUGGAGGCCAAUUAAAGCGAAGGCCGACCCCUCCGUAGGGGAUGCCGAGGAGGAGGCCUUCCAGAAGUUGAUGGGGUCGGGACUUCGGCUGUUCAGUCUAAACUACCCCGAAGCCGUGCUAGUUGAUGGGGGAAUUAGCCGAGCUUUGCUCCAUCCUGACAAGACUCCCUUCACUUCCACUAAACUUGAGAUACCUUGUAAUUUUCUUUCAUAGCUUUGCUUUCACUUCAACUAAGGCAUAUGAUAAUAUUUGUUUCCUGUGCAGUGACUAAGCUAUCUGACAUCGUCGUAUCGGGCUCGUCCGAAGUGGCCAAGAGGCAGAAGAGGAAGAGCACCGAUGAGACAUCAGCACUUCCGCCGCAGAAGAAGAAGUCCCAAGGACAGACUGCCAAGACCUCGGCGGCUAAAAGCACUCCCACCAAGGUUGGCCAGAGCAGCUUGGCCACCGCGGCUACUAGGUCCACCUCGUCUGUGCCAGAGGGGGUGCCCCUUGGAGUCGUCACGGCACUCCCCCCUCCUCAUGGCCGAGGCAAGCAGUUGAAACCCCCGAUAAAUGCAGUCUCGGGGACCUCGCUAUGGAAUCGUUUCCAUAGCCCCCCGGUGUUUCCCGAGGAGGAGAAGACGCACCCCGGUGAGCAUUGGUGUCCGAACUGGAAAAUUUCGGUCAACGACAGGUGCCAGCAUUCUCGGGUUGCCCAAGAGCUAGUAAUGCACUCCCCCUUACCAAGGGAUUUGGAGUUUAUGAAGAAGCUGUCCCCGGCUGAGAUGGUCCAAAGCCUCAUGGUGUCCACAGCUUCCACCUCGGCCUUUGUUGGCGAGAUGACACACUGGUACUGUACUCUGGUCGAGGAGCAGGAUACCGGCAAGUUGCAGAAUCAGAUCUCCAAGUUGGAGAAAAAACUGGCGGUGUCCGAGUCUGAGAAGGUCGAGCUUGAAAGACGGCUUAAGGAGGCCGAGGUGAAGGAUGAGGAGGCCGUGGCUACCAUCAACAGUCUCAAAUCGGCCCUCGAGGAAGAGCAGAAGAGGGGGGACGUAGUGAAGAAGUCACAUGAGCAAGCUCUCGAGGGUGCUGGAGCCUCGGCCGUGGACGCUUUUCGGAAGUCCGAGACUUUCAUCAGGGACCUCGGCCAACUGCUCACGCCGAACUUUAUGUUUGGCUUCACAUCAGCCAUAGACGAGGCCGCAGCUCACAUCUCCUCCGAAGCCUUGGAGUCUUUGAAAAAUCAUGCCAGCUACAAUGAGGACUCCAAGAAGUUAUGCGACCGGAUGGCCGAGGGCAUCCAAGCUGGAAGGAACCUGGCUGAGGUCCAGGACGAGUUCAACAAAUGGCUGUCCGAACUCGACGAAGUGCUCGAGGAGGGCGAGGAGGAGGACACUGAGGGAGAUCUCGACGCAAAGGUGGGCGAAGUGCCUGGAGGAGAUGAGCCUCACCCCGGCGGGGAAGAGACCGGCGAGAAGGCUGCCCAGGAGGGAGCCAAGACCGGGGAUGGAGCCGAGACGGGGGUCUAGGCUUGUGGGUCCUAAAGGGGUGGCCGAGAUGGAGAUUGUUUAGUAGCGGUCCGACCUUGGCCUUGUAUUUUUUGUAACACCUCCUUUCUGUUGAAUGAAAGUCUAUUUUUUCUCAUCUCAGCACUUUAAUUUCUUAUUUCGACUUCGUCCCUUGCUUGUCCCCCUUAUUUUUUUAAUAGCGCAAUAUCGAUGUUGAAAAAUAACAUAACAUCCGAAGUCAUAACUUGAUUAAGAAUUCAAGCAUAAUACAAUUUGAGGUUCUCGGCGUGCCAAGAUCUCGGCACUAAUGAGCCAUCUCGGUAACUCAAUUUACAAUAUCCCUUAAAGUCAGAUUCCACAACUCGGUAAGGGUCUUCCCAUUUCGGGCAUAAUUUCCCUUGCGGUUCAGCUCGGCUGACUGAAUUUUUUUUAAGAACCAAGUCCCCAGGAUGGAAUCUACGGUGUCUGACGCGGGCAUUAUAAUAGUGUGCCAGUGUGUUCUUGUAGGAAGCUAUCCGGGCUGAGGCGAGGUCCCUUCGUUCAUCGACGAGGUCGAGAUCCAGCUGUCUCUCUUCGUUGUUCACCUCGGCGGUAUAGGCUGCCAGCCGAGGGUUGGGGGUAAGGAUCUCGGCCGGGAUGACAGCCUCGGCGCCGUAGGUCAAGGAGAAGGGGGUCUCUUGCGUAACUGAUCUCAGCGUGGUUCGAUACGACCAUAGGACACUGGGAAGUUCCUCCACCCAAGAUGACCCAACUCGGUGGAGUCGGGUCUUGAGAUCAUGCAAGAGAGUUCGAUUGAAGUUCUCUGCUUGACCAUUGGCCUGGGGGUGGCCUACCGAAGUGAAAUGUUGUUUGAUGCCAAGGCUUGCGCACCAAUUCUUGAAUGGGUUCUCGGCGAACUGUCUCCCAUUGUCCGAGAUGAUGAUCUGUGGUAUGCCGAAGCGGCAGAUAAUACAUUUCCAAAAGAAUUUUUGAAUGGCCAGCCCUGAGAUGGUCCGCAGAGGCUCGGCCUCGAUCCAUUUGUUGAAGUAGUCCACAGCGGUCACCAGGAAGGUAUAGCCCCCGACUGCUUUAGGGAAAGGGCCUAUGAUAUCUGUCCCCCAUUGCUCAAACGACCAGGGUGAAGUGAUGGGAACCAUAAAGUUUGAGGGCUGGUGGUGCUCGAGUGCAUGGACUUGGCAGGAAGGGCAGCCGAGAACGAGGUCCUGGGCGUCUUGCCGAACUGAGGGCCAGAAAUAUCCAAAAAGCAAAGCCUUCUUGGCUAGCAUUCUGUGGCCGACGUGAGCUCCACACAAGCCUUCGUGGAUCUCAUGGAGGACCUGGCGUCCUGUCUCCGGAGUGACACACCUUAGCUAGGGGCCGAGGUAGGAGCGUUUGUACAGCUCUCCAUCGCGGAGAGCGUACCGAGCCGCCUUGCGUUGUAUCUUCCUUGCCUCGGCUCGGUCUUCAGGAAGGGUUCCCUGACCCAAGAAGAGGAUGAACGGGGUCAUCCAAGUGUUUUCAGAGUGCACAGGGCAAGUCACCUCUUCCAUGUAUCCUGGUUCACUCAGGACUUCCACUAAGACCGUUUUGUUGAGGUCAGAGAAUGAAGUGGAAGCCAGCCGGGAUAAGGCGUCGGCUCGCUUAUUCUGAAACGGGGGUAUUCUUUGGAUUUCGAAAGAUGCGAAGUACGCGGUGAGUUGGUGAACUUUGGAGAGGUACCGUUGCAUGGUCUCAUUCUUGGCCUCGUAUUCACCAAGAACUUGGCGUACAACGAGUUGGGAGUCACUGCGGACAUGAAUCUGUUGGGCGUCGAGCCUGCGGGCUAGCUGGAGUCCAGCUAUCAAGACCUCGUAUUCGGCCUCAUUAUUGGUGGCCGGGAAGUCAAAACGGAGGGCAUACGAACACACCUCUCCCUGAGGGCCUUCUAGGAGCAGUCCAACUCCGCAGCCAUCUCCAUUAGAAGAUCCAUCGACAUACAAUGUCCACAGGGAUGGGGUGGACACCUCGGCAGAGGCGGAGGUGGACUCCGAACCUUCCGUGAAGGUGAGUUCGGCAAGGAAGUCGGCUAAUGCUUGUGCUUUUAUGACGGUGCGAGAUUCAUACGACAAGUCAUAUUCUCCCAAUUCGACAGCCCACUUGGUGAGGCGACCAGAAGCUUCGGGUCGCACCAAUAUCUGGCGGAUGGGCUGGUCGGUCCUGACGGAGAUGGGAUGAACAAGGAAGUAGGGCUUCAAUCGCCGAGCUGCGUAAACUAGUCCCAGCACCAAUUUUUCCACCUGAGUGUAUCGAGUCUCCAACCCGCGGAGAGCUCGGCUGACGUAGUAGACUGGCACUUGAGUGCCCUCAUCCCGGAUAAGAACAGCGCUGACAGCCUCAUCGGCGCGGAGAGGUAGAGGUACAUCGUCUCUUCGGGCCGAGGUGAUGCAAGAGUGGGCAGGUGGUGCAGGUACUGCUUCAGCUGGUCGAAGGCAGCCUGACACUCCUCAGUCCAGGCUAACUGGUCAGCCUUUUUCAGCACCUUAAAGAAGGGCAGAGCUUUCUCGGCAGAUUGGGACAAGAAGCGAUUCAGCGCGGCCAGGCGCCCAUACAGCUUUUGGACUUUUCGGAUGUUCCGAGGUGGGGACAUGUCCUGAAUGGCCUUGACCUUGUCGGGGUCGGCCUCGAUUCCCCGGUGAAAAACCAGAUACCCCAAGAAUUUUCCCGAGGUAACGCCGAAAACACACUUCUUGGGAUUCAGUUUCAUUCUCGAGUCUCGCAGGACACCAAAGACUUCCCUCACAUCUGACAGAAAGGAUGAAGUGGCGAGACUCUUGACGAGGAUGUCGUCCACAUAGGCCUCCACAUUGCGGCCGAUCUGAUUCUUGAAGAGUCGGUUGAUCAGCCUUUGGUAGGUCGCCCCGGCGUUCUUUAGGCCGAAGGGCAUGGUAGUGUAACAAUAAGUACCUCGGUCGGUGUAGAACGCCGUUUUCUCUUGGUCCUCUUCACUCAUCCCUAUUUGAUGAUACCCUUUGAAGGCAUCCAGGAAGCAGAGGAUCACGUAUCCCAUUGUCGAGUCGACGAGGGCGUCUAUCUUCGGCAGAGGGUAGCAGUCCUUGGGACAGGCUUUGUUGAGGUCGGUGAAGUCCACACACAUUCUCCAACCACCGACGUCCUUCUUGACCAUGACUGGGUUGGACAGCCAGGUGGGGUAUUGGAUUUCGUGGAUCAUCUUGGCCGGCAAGAGUUUGUCGACUUCAUCCGAUAUGGCCUUGCUACGUUCGGGGCCGAAAUGCUUUCGUUUCUGCCGAACAGGUCGGGCCUGUGGGUUGACGUUGAGUUGGUGAAUCAUGAGCUCGGGUGGCACUCCGACCACUUCAUCUGCAGACCACGCGAAGACGUCUCGGUGGUCCUUGAUCAGGGAGAUCAUUUCUUCUUUCAGGGGUGAGGGGAGUCCGACCCCUAUUUGGACCACUUGGUCAGGUCUGGCCUCAUCCAAGACCACUUGUUCCACCUCAUUCCUGGGCUCAAGCCUGUUGGGCUCUCCUGCCUUCUGAGGGUUGAUGCAGUCUAUGGAGAAGACAGCCGGCCUCUUCUCUCGUGACCUCGGCGAGGGCCGGGUUUCGACUGCUGCUUGAAUGGUGGCGAGUUGCAUUCUCGGGCGGCGCUCACGUCGUUGCUCACUUCGGCCACUCCCUCAGGUGUCGGGAACUUGAAACUCAGGUGAUAGGUGGAGUACACUGCCCUCAAGGCAUUGAACGUGGGUCGGCCUAUCAGCAUGUUGUAAGGGGAGUCCGCUUUGACCACCGCAAAGCUGACAGGCACAGUCCGGCAGCGCGAAUGAUGGCCGAAGGUUACCAUUAAAGUCACCAUGCCCUCCGGGUGGACGACGUGUCCCCCGAAGCCGACAAGGGGAGUCCUGACCGGAGUGAGUUGCUCCCGGGUCAACUUCAGACUCUCGAAAGUUCGGUAGUACAUGACGUCAACCGAGUUUCCGGGGUCAACAUAGACCUUCUUGACUAUGUAAUUAUUAGUGAGGAUCUCGAUCACGAGAGUCUCGUGAUUGCUGGAAGCGGCAGGGACAGGGUCGCGGGAACCGUAGGUAAUCACCUCGGACAACCUGGAGCUCGGCUCGGCCAGCUCCAUACCGGCUUGCCGAUAAGUCCGUUUCCGGGAGUUCUGACUAUAUCCUCCCGUGGGGCCACCCGAGAUGGUGUUGAUCACCCCGGCAAUGUUUGGGCCGUAGCCUGGUGAUCCGUUGCGUGGAGGUCUCUGAUCCCCCUUAGGUUCCUCGGGACCUCGGCAAUGAAGUUUCAUAUCUCGCCUGUCUUCUCGGCGGGGACCUCGGCUCUCCCGUUGGGAGGCGCUUCGGUUGAAAGUUCCAUCCUUGCGGACAAACUGCUUCAAGAAUCCCUGGCGGAUCAGGUUCUCAAUCUCUCGCUUCAAAUCAUUGCAAUCCUCGGUCUCGUGCCCAACAUCUCGGUGGUAGGCACAAUAGAGGUUGGAGUUCCUCCUAUCCCUCCUUCCCGAAAUCUCAGGAGGUGUUCGACUGAGGUGAUUUUGCCUCAUCACCUCCAAAACAUGAGACCGGCUAGAAUUAAGGGGUGUCAGCUCGGCGUCCGAGGUGGACGACCUCCCCUUCACGAUCCGGUCGAAGACACUCCGACGGUCUCGGAGUUGGUUUGAAGUACCACUUGGGCCUGGUUCACUUCGGCCGGUGUCUUUCUUUCUCCGGGGAUCUUGCCCUGUACGAGAUGCCUGGGCUUCUCGCUUCAUGCGGUUUACAUCCUCACUUCGGAUUCCCUGGUCCACCCUUUCCCAUAGUUCCCGAAGUGUACGGGGGUAAUCCCGGUGGAUCUCGGUGUUGAAGAUCCCUGCCACUAACCCGUUGGUGAAGGCGGCGAUGGUUAGCUGUUCGUUCUGGUCAGGUAUCUGCACAUUCUCCCCGUUGAACCUUUGAGCAUACGAGCGAAGUGACUCGCCCUGACCCUGUUGUAGGUUCAAGAGGUAAGUUGAAGUUUUGGUGAUGGGUCGGGACGACACAAAGCGGUGGAUGAACCGGUCUAUCAGUUCAUCCAGGGAGGAAAUGCUCCCUGGUUCUAAACUCCAAAACCACUUCCGGGCAGUCCCAUGUAGGAAAUGGGGAAAGCCCGACAAAUCACGGCGUCGGGGACGCAGUAGAGUCGGAAUGCAGAGAUGAAGGCGCGGAGGUGAUUCUCGAGGUCACCUCGGCCGUCAUAGGUGUGCAAGUUUGGGAGUUUGAAAUUCGGGGGAACCAUCUCCCCAUUGAUGUCAUCAGUAAAGGGCGGAACCCUCAUGUAGUCAGAAGUUAGGCCCCCGGGGCGCCGAGGUGGGUCCUCGGCCCGUUUCCCUAGCAGUCCUCGGGAAAACGCCCGGGAGAUGGAGGCAAAUUUAGAGGUCCCCUUGUAGGAGGCGCGCCUGGAGGUAUUCCGAGAGAGGCGCCCCUCAUCAGAGUCCUCACCUAAGGGCACUUCAGGAGACUUCGUCGGCCUCCUCUUGGAAGACUCUGCAUUUUCUUUCCCCUGUCUUUUGAGGUAUCUUCCUAGCUCCUCAAAGAUGUUGGGGUUGUCUGAUACGAACUCGGCCAUCUUGGCGAUGGCGUCAUCGUUGUCGGGCUGGGUCCUUUGGGACCCUUGUUCUUCAGAGAUGCGGUCUUGCUGGGCUCCCGAGGUCGGCACAGCCCCUGUUGAGGGAACCCUUCCGCUUCUAGAGCGCGUGGAUCUCAUUCUAGUAAUAGUAGUCUCGUUCCCACAGACGGCGCCAAUUGAAGAGGUGAUUUUUGGCGGGUAAUUAGUCCAGCCGAAAUCAGCUCUCUUGUUAAGGUGGUGAGGUGAACUCGCUUAUCUCACCUCGGGUGGAAUGAAGUGAGGUUGGACGGUCAAAGUGGAUGGCGGGGUUUUUUCCCUGGGAUCACUCCGACGAUCAAGUUAGUAUGAGAACGAGAAUAAUAAGAGUAUGAGUGAGUGAACAGUAUGCUUACUUGCGGGAGGUAUGCGAGGGGUAUUUAUAGGUCAGGAGGGAAUGCUAGGACGGAAGGCUGAUGCUGGUGGGACCCACUCUCUGGUAUUACGGUUCUGUCCCCUGUCAGGAGGCCUGACCCUGACACUGUAGCCUUCUGGGUAUGAUGACGGCGAGUAUUGUGCAGGUGCCAUUAAGUGCCUCCAGUGCUUUUCAGAUAAAGCACUGGUCCUGGGUGGUGUCAGGUGGCUUGACAUCAUCUGCGUGCAGCUGAGGUGAAGGUGCCGAGGUCACCUACACGGUAGACUCGGGAUCCGGCCGAGUUCAGGGGUUAUGCCCAAGACAGAUGAGUUCUAAGGAGGGACGAGGUGAGUUCACCCCGGACACGCGGGCGGCCGAGGUGAGCAUCCUCAGACAUCAACAAUGUGAAUCUCAACUCGUAUCGAUUAUUGCGAAGAUAUUUGAGAAAAAAAUGCAAAAUGAAUAUGAAACAAAGGUUUCAGUGACUAUACGUUUGAGACAAAUUGUACUUAACAGAAGUUUGGACAGUAGGUCAUUGAAUUCUGAAGUUAUCUGAAUGUGCGUGAUGUGCCAACAAAUACCACCAUUUUCUAAUUUUUGCAGAAUUUUUUGAAGUCUAGCCGUUCCAACAGCACGUGGGUCUCUCAGAAUGUACGUUACAAUCAGAUGGAUAAAUUCACUUAAGCAUGGUGGUAGAUUUAUUUAGGUGUGGCGUUAAGGUAGCACUUCCAUGGAUUGACUGUCAUUAUCUUACAGGCUGGAUACUUAUCACAAUAUCUGUAUAACAAUAGCUUGAAUACAAGUUUAAGAAAAAAGCUUCACAAUUCCAUCCGAUUUUUCAUAUCAGUCUACUUAAGUCAUUUUAUCAAGAACCGCACGAUUGGUCAAAGAACUUGUCAAUGAAGACACCCGCAGGGCAUGAGAGAUGAGUACAACAAAGUUGUCGAGUAGAUUGUGGCGGAUCAUACUGUCUGGCACAAGAAUCCCACAUCAUCAAAGGAGUACUUGGUGCAAUGGUGUGGGUUAGGGGUAUUCACGAAUCGAGCCGCUCGCGAGUAUGAGCUCGAGCUAAUUAAGCCGAACUCGAACUCGAACUCGAGCUAAAAAACAUUAAGUUCGUUGGCUUGCGAACGGCUCGCGAGCUCAAUUAUAUAUAUAUAUAUUUUUUUUUUAUUUUUUAUUUUAAUAGUAAAAUUACACAUAUAUCCCUAAUAUUUUAUUAUUUGUUAAAAAAUUAUUAUUUUAUUUAUUUUUAAAAAUUAAUAAUUUUUUUUUAUUUUUUUAAAAUAAAUUUAUUAUUAUUAUUUUUUAUUUUUUAAGCUCGAGCUCGACUCAACUCGAACUUCACAAAAUUAACUGGAGGCUUGGCUCGAUUAGGCCAAAACUCAGUUCGACUCGACUCAUUUGCAUCCCUAGUGUGGGCUACCGAAGUUUGAGAUCAGUUGAGAGCCGGCCGAGAAGCUGUGGCAACUUGAGGAGCUCAUAUGGGCGUAUGAAACUAGUUAAGACAUUAGGCACGAUGCCUCGUUCAAGUGGGGGGGGAUGACAUGCACCCGCCUCGAGCCGGCCAGACAAGGAGGUUUUGCCAAACAAUAUUAGGAGUAUGUAGAGAGACUUAAAGAUGUCCGGAAUGUUUUAGGCCGCUCGAGGGUCUUGUGGAAUAGCCUAGAGCUUCUACAUACGAGUUUUAUAUUAUAUAGAAGAUUCUAGAGACUAAAUGUAGGAAGACUUAGUGCAGAAUUUUCUAGAAACUUGUUUAGUUUUUUUGGCUUGCCUAUAAAUAGGCCAAGUCCCAUUAUUUGUAAAGCAUCUUAUACAAGUGUUUUCAAGAGUAACACAAGUUUUUUUAGCCUCCAACACUUCUCCUAUUUGCUCACUACUUUUAGUUUCCGCAUAAUUUCGUGUACUUAGAGGUUAGAUUGAACUAGCGAGGCGUUCAUAGCUCAAGAUUUGAACAAUAGCUAGUACCGCACGGUGCGAGUGCUUAUAGCAUUUUUCUUAAACUUGUAUUCAAGCGCCGUGAUAAGGAUAUUGUGAUAAGUAUCCAACCUGUGAGAUAAUCAUAGUUAAUCGAUACAAGGAAAAGUCAUAACACAUGAAUACAUCAAUAAGUUUUGAUAGUUUUGAUACAUCUCAACACCGGAGAAAAAGUCAAGCCAAACCAAAAACAACUAAAACAAUUGAACACUCUAGCCAAGCAAAAAAAAAACUAAAACAAUUGGACUCCUUCAUCAACUGAAGCCAAUGUUUUAAAACUAGGACCAGUGAGCGACCCCGAUUGAGUUAUCGGUUCUGAUUUUUUCCAGUUCAACUGAUUUAACUGGCCGGGUCAACGGUUCAAUAUUUUUAUAUUUAUUUUUUAAAAUUACAAAUUCUAAGAAAUAAUUUCAAUCACCAUCAAUGACCCCAUCUGCAGUAGUAAUACAAUCUAUGGUGACAAGUGUAUAACAUCAACAUCCCAUAUUUAUCCUCAUGAUUUACAAAGAAAAAUCACAUUAAACAAUUUUGUAGAAAUCAGCCAUUAAUUGUCCUCUUCACCAAAACCAAAAAAAAAAAAAGAAUUUAAGUACAUAGAAAUAAAUUUCAAAUUUUUUGACGAGAGGUUUCAAACUCCCCAAAACACAAACGAAGAAAUAAGAAAAGAGCGAAAAAAAACCAACAUCUAAUUGAGAAUGGCCUUUGAUCGAAGUUGGAUGUGCAUCUCCACCGCCACCACAUUGAACACCACCAGAUCUGGUGAGAUUGGUCUUGGAACGCAACAGUGAUUGACAAAACACUUUGAUCCUUGAUACCUAAGCAUAUAGUGUAGAUCUUCUUUUAGGUAUCUUUUGCUGCUAAUGAUGAUGUAGCUAAUUUUCUUCUUGGUCUUGUUCGAGAAGAUAGAGAAAAAUUUUGACGUUGGAUUCUAUGGUCUUCGCCUUGAAUGACGUGAAUGAAACCAAGAUGAGAGAUUGAGGUUUAAAAGAUGAAGAUAUAAUUGUUGGACUUAUCCUAGAUGCUUUAGACUUCAAUAAGAUAAAGAUAAGGUUGUGGAAUUUGGAUGAUGGUGGAAGUCUGGUAAUGGAGGAGUGGUAUUCUCCAUUAUGUUAGUGGACGAUUGGUGUGGAAGAGUAAAUCGAGGAGCAAAUGUAUUAAUUAUUUAGUAAAGUGGGCCAUAUUGAUAAGAAAACUUAAAACCGGAUUUUUACGUUUCAACCGGGUUUUACCGAUUUAAUAGUUUUUACCGGUUUUGACCGGUUCUUUAACAUCCUCCGAGUUUAGCAUACAACCAGACCGGCAGCGUUGGCGGUUCACGAUCGAACCGGUUCGACCGGCUAGUCUGGUUCAAUCUUAAAAACACUGCCUGAAGCUACUUCUCUUUCCCCUCCUUCUCCUUGGACUAUUCUUUCCCUUUAUCUUCCCUUUCCCUUUUUUUUUUUACCAGUUGCAUGCGAAAGGCAGGUUUCAAGGAGCAUCGUCCCAUAUCAUUGCCCAGCUUCGAUUUAACAUAGUUCCAAGUCACUUUAUUGCAAAAAUCACCCAUGUUGCGACCAAUAUUUACCAACUUGUAACCAAGCAUAUUGUGUUCUCGAUGUAAGAAACGCAACACAAUUUCGUCCUUCUCUUUGCCAUAAACACACAUUCUUGCAAGAGGCUGAAAGUGGACUAGGUUCAACGCGAUGAGGCCACUGCACGUAUUGCUUACCUCCAAGCAAUCUAUGCAAAUGAUGAGGCCUCCAUAAUGACGGUAUUCUUCAUUCUUAGACACGUGCAUCGCGACGAUAGCUGCAACCUUCAUUUCUUCGACUCCUGCCUUUGGUUUAUUUUUAUCAAAGAUUGGUAUGCGAAAGCAAUAUACUUAGAGGGUAGUGGAUUAGGAAUCCACCUCCAGCUAUACCAAUAUAACGUUGUCUUGGCACUUGUGGAUCCUUCUUUCAUUCAAAACAAACCAAAGAAGCAUCCAUGUAUACAGUAAGGAACUCAUACCCUAUGCCAAGCGAAUUAGGUAAUCGAGUGAUUGGCAGAUGUUUGGUCUCCUUCACCAGCCCAUCACCCUUAGCCACUACCUUGAAUCCUUUCGAUCUCAUGUAGACAAACAGGUGGGGCUAUUGUUUGGAAGGGGCAAUCAUAAAAAGGGUCAUGUACUACUUCUUCGUGAUAUGCAUAAGGCCUACCUUUAAAGGAUGAAAUGCAAGGAAGUCUUCCACCAAUGUGUGAAAUUCGUCACAAUUUGGAUCCAACUUGCCACACUUCUACAAUCAAAUACUACAAAUCAAACGUGAAACUUUAAACCCAAACCUAAACAAAAACAACAAACAUGUUUUGAAUUAUAUUUUAAGAGGAAAGAAUUAGGUAGAAUCUGUAAGAAAAAAGGGAAGAAAGAGAGGGAGAAUAGAUAUGAGAAUAAUAAAGGAAAAACUUGUAAGAAGAAAGGGAAGAGAGAGAGGGAGAAUAGAGAUGAGAAUAAUAGAGGAAGAAAGGGAUUUUAUUUAUCAACAAUCAGCAAAAAUUCCUAGCAACAAUGAUUUGACCUCUUUAAACAAAGAUACAGCCUUGUCAUGCUAGUAAUUGCCUUACCAGACUAAUCAAUCCAAUUGUAACUUAGAAGACAAAGAUACAGCAUUGUCAUGCUAAUAACUGCCUUACCAGACCCAAUUGUAACUUAGAAGAUACAACACUGAUAAUUGUAACUAACUUCAGGCAUGUAGACUUAAUAUUGUAACUUCUACUGAUAAUUGUAACCUAUGUUUUUAGAUUCAGACCGGGUAUCGAUUUAGCUGAACUCGAGGGUCAGGAAUCAAUGGGUUUGAUUGGAUUCAACCGGAGGUCGAAUUGGAUGACGUCAUAAACACAUAUUAAUGAUAUAUAAUUAAAAUAAUAUAUAAAAAUUCCCUUUAAAUUGGUGGUUUACAACUUUAUAUACAUAUUUGAUGAGUUUGGAUUUAGCUCAAAAGAAAUGCACUUAAAAAUUAUAGGUAAUUUUGUAGUUUAAAAAAUAUAAUGGAUGAAUUUUGUACUUCUUAAAAUAAUAUGGGGUCAAAAUGAAAUUUUUAGAAAAAUUUUGGGACAACCAAACCUAAUAUGAUGUUAGCCGCCGCGCCAGUUCCUUUGCUUUUCAGUUUAUCCUGGAACCUUUUCUUCCUCCUAUUCACCAUAUCUCUUUUCUUGUCCUUUAUCCCAACAAUAACUCUUUUCCUCCCAUUCCUUUUUUUCCCGUUCCAGUAAUAUUCUUCCUAUUUCUUUGUCUUUUCCUCAAGUCUCCACGCUGCUUGCAGCCACUUCCUUUAUCUUGUUAUCUUCCCUUCAUUGCCAAUCUUACGGUUAUUUCAUCUUUUCAUUUUCUUGAUUUUUUUUACCUUUGCAAAUUUAAUUUUGUUAGUUUUUUCUUUUCAAACUUAGAAAAUAUCAAACUUUUCAUCUUUUUUUUUUCUAAUUUCUCUUUUCUUUAUGUUUCUCCUUUCUGCAAUUUUCUUUGUCUUUUUUUUUCAUUUAUUGACAUGAGAUCUUAUUUAAAAAUUAAUUAUAAGGGCUGGUUUUGAUUGAGUCCAUGCCAGCUAAUGAUAUGUGGGAAGAACUAGAAGAAAGCUAUGUUGCUGAGAAUUGAACUCACAGGCGGGUAAAAAAAGCUUAGAAGAAAAGGAAAAAUGGAAAAGCCAGAUUUCAGUGGUUGUAUCGGUUCCCAGUUGAACCCCAAUUUUGAUCAGGUUUUGACCGAGUUUUGGCCAACCGAGUUUUAAAGACAACUUGGACCAGAUGGCUGACCGAUUCUCGAUUCAAUCGGUUCAACCGAUCAGUCCGGUCCGAGUUUAAAAACAUGGAUUGUAACUAACAACUAUUGAUGUUGUGGCAUGUAGAUUUAUUCAAUCAUUCUAUUUACAAUUGCUAGGUAACAAAACACAUUGUUACCUUUGCAACGCCUUGCCUAUCCCUGCGAUGUGUAUAGCCCAUAGCCACUACACGAACAACAACCAUUAGGUUCGACAAAAACCAUUAGACCAUUAGACUUUAGACCAUUACACUUGACAAACCAAAUUAUAAAGAUAAAAAUAACAUGGUAAAGGACAAAGACUUACCUUUGUAAAAGGUAAUAUCAGAUCCCUACCCUCACACUAUCAAAAAAUGUAAUUCAAAAUAUUAGGAUACUUCAACAUACAUAAUUUAGUCGUUAGAUUGGCAAUAUACAAAUUAUAAGGACCAUUAUAACUCACCCCAUUGCUUUCAGAUUUGGAGAAUGAGGCAAACUUAAUACUUCAAGGGCUGUCAAUUUCUAGAAAACACAAGAACAUAGAAAAUUAACUUCUCUGGGAAGCAUGGAAGCACUAACACUAAAGUGACAAGAAAAAUCAAGAAAAAGAACACAUAAAAGAACAGAAGCACAAUCAUAUGCCUUCCAAAUAUAUAAACCACAUGUCAAUCCAAACAAUUUAAAAAGUCGCACAACUUAAUCCAAACAAAUUAAGGAAAAAAAACUAAAUAAUCAUCUUAGUAGGACCAUUAAUUGAACGCGGAAGGCUGGGCUUUGCUUGACUUGUGCAAUACUACAAUUCCAAACAUCAUAAAUACGCUCGUUACACAUACAUCUAAAUAAUAUAUGAGCAAUACUAAACAAAAGGCUUUACAGCCUUUACAAGAUUCAAAACUCCUAAUCACACUAGAACUCACUUAAUUAAACAUUAACUACAAAGAAUUAAUCCUAAUUUGAUCCUACUAACCCCUAACACGGCUCACUGUGGUCAACAUGGCCCUUAGCCAUUUAUUCAACCAAACCAAUGACUCAAGUGACUUAAUCAAAUGCUGGAAAUAACUUAGCGAUUUGCAAUAAUGGGAACAAACAGCAUCACUAAAACAAACUUCAGUUUUAACUUAAGAAAACGAUUAAGUGACAUCAAACUUUCUCCAAACAACUUGAAUGGCUUCGUUGCUAGCUAGAUUCUGUAUCAUUCCCCUCCUCUUGAAAGCGAUUUACCCAUAAAUCGAUGCACAAAUUGUUACAAGGAGAGUUACAUGCCAUUGGGUCAAUCUUAUGAUGAUCACAAUAUAAAAUUUCAUCCAACGCAAAAACCAUCACUUGCCAAGAUUGAAAGGACCUCUUUUCGCACCUUGAAUCCCAUGAAGCACCUUAAUGCAUGCUCAACCAAAUUUGGUUUAACACAGGAAAAUAAACAACAAGUGACGGUAUGUGUAAAAGGAUCUGAAAACUUAUCACUUGUAUCCAAAAGAUAAGGAUUUUCAAAGUGGUGCGAGGUAUAUCCCAUGAAGCCAAACUCCUCGUGCUCGAAUAAACUUGCAAGAUACAAAACUGAUUUGGUGAAGUUGAACCAUUACAAGGACCAACUACAAGUCAAAGAUAGUAGUUGUAAUGAUCAUUGAAGAACUCGCUCCUUAAACGAACUCUUGGUACACAAUCAGCUCCAAUGUCUACACAAGCAAGGCGCCAAAGAUUAGCAAUCAGCUCACAAAAAAAUAAAAAAAUAAGAAAAAUAGUUUAAUUAAAAAAAAGAAGCAACUUAUGAAUUUAAAAGACAUAUGGGUAUGCACGUUAAUAUGAUUAUGCGUGUGCUUAAAAAGAUAAAAAGAAGAAAAAAACUAAUAUUAGAAUUUAAGUGCCGUUACAUGCCCAACAAUGUCUAACAGGUUUCUAGUAUCGAUGGCCUUCGUAUAGGUGUAAAAGGUUAUUAGAAAUGAUAUUUGUCUUUAAAAUAAAUUGUGUAAUAUGUUAUUUUUGAAAUCCAUUUCAUAAUUCAUAAAGUUCGGGGAAUAAUAAAAUUUUAUUGAAAGAUUCCAAAUAAAUUUUGUUUUGGAGAAAUAAAAUAAGAACAAAAGUUUAAUAUAUAAUAUAAGAAGGAUUAGCUACUACACGUGCUGUGGGCUAAUGAUGAUUACACUUUGCUUGCACACAUGAGGUCUUACGUUUGAUCCACCAUUCCAACAUCUUCUAAAAAUUUUUUCCACAACAACAUGCUAGACUUGAGUUCCUUACAAAAUCGGCUAAUUCAUCAGGUUGACUAGUUGAACCACUGAUUCAUUGAUAAGUCAACGGAUCUAUUACUUAAACGAUUCAAUUAAAAUCCUAGCUCAACUCAAUAAUCUAUUGACCAAUUGAAUCGUCGGAUCAGGUCGGUUUAAUAACUAUGGUUAGUGGUUAUCCUAUGUUGCAUUAUGCAUUUAUUUACAAUUUAUCAAAGGUAGAACUUCUCUAUGGUUUCUGAACUAGGUGGUUAUGUUAGCAAGUUCGUAAAAAAAAUUUGCCACUUAGACUUCCAAAACAAAUUGAGCACAACUCUUGCAGCAGUUGCCAAUGCUUGCAAUAAUGCCUCAUUCUCUUCCUUUUCCCCUCUCUUCCAACUUUAUCUUUUUCCUCGUUCCCUCUCAAAACUCUCCUGCUGCCCGUAUUUCAUCCUUUCGUUCUUUCCCUUCUGUUUUGCUAUAUAAUUUUUCACGAUUUUUAUAUUUGGUGCUGGCAGUUAGAUGUGGUGCAAGCGGUUGAAAAUUUUGGCCGUUGCUGUUUUUGCAUCACAAUUUGAGCCCUCAUUGCCAUGUUUGCGAGUACUAUGCUUUGCUUAUGUUGUAGUCAUUCAUUCCAGUUAUGGCUUUUGUUCUACUUCACAAGUCACCAAUAGUGACGCAAAACUGGUCAAUUUAGACAUCAUAGUAGUAUUGUGAAACUUUCUCUAUUUCAAUUGUUUUGCAAAAUUAUGUCUCCUAUUUUCUGCUUUGUUAUGAAUAUAGCUCGAUUUAACUUGCUAAUUAUGUAUUAGCAAUAGCAACAAGCUAAGUUAAUAGUUGUGCAAUGUGUAUGGCCUGCCUAGUUUGUUUGCUUGGAGCAAGUGUGUUAUUAUAUAUUAUAAUUAUCUCAUCUACUUACGCAUGUAUCUUGUAUACAAUUUUGCAUCAAAUGGUGUCAAUACUUUCCACUUUUCCAAUUUCAUUUGAGUGCUUUUAACAUCCCUUGAACAGAAAAAUGAACUAAAAAUAAAAAAAAUAAACUAAACUAAUUUCGUUUUCUCUCUCCCUCACUUGAUAGCUAUCAUAAAGUGUGUUCAUCUUAGUUCGAUUUACUUUUUGAAUUAAAUUCUUAAAAACCUGUUGUGUAGAAAGUCGGAUUUAAUUACAGUCAAGCUAGAAGAAUAUAUGUGACAGCUAGCAGCUAGAGGUGGCAAAAUAGUCGGGAUGGACGGAAUUUUCUUGGGUUUGAAAUGAAACCGAAUCAUAUGGGUUUGGGUCUAACCUUAGCCAUAUGUGUUUUGGGACUAAAUUGGGUGGGAUCACUUUGGGAAGGGUUUACAUUGAUCCGCCCAAUACCCAAAUUUAUUUUCUAUAUUUUUUCCUUUAAUUCUUUUUUUAUUUUUUAGAUAACUUUAAUAUUUUUGUUAUUAUAUUUCUUUUGAUCUUAUUGUGAAUUUAUAUUUUCCUAAAUUCAUUUUACACUCUAAAAUGAUCAACAGUUGCUUUAAAAAGACAUAACAUUUUAGUAAGAAUGAACAUAUCUUCUCCCUGGAUUAAACCAAAAGAUUGAACGUUUUGGUGUAUUCAUACAUGAAGUUGACGUUUUCACUUCCUCAAAAGCAUGAAAACAAAAAGGCAAAGGAAAAUAGCUAACAAGAAAAUAUACAUGCAAGUGUCUUAUACUCAAGAUUCCCACGAAAAAUUGGAUAUACAGCCAUAUUCUAACAGAUAUCAAGAUAGCCAGGCACCGAGGCUAUUGAAUAUUUAUCCUUAUCACUGUCUAAGGAUGGUAGGUCUAAACUAACUGAAAUGCUGGAAAUUCUUGGAUAAAUAAAAUUUGUUGGGAAGAUAUUUGGGCCCAAUGGGUACCCAAGUAUUUCCCAACAUAUCCCAUCAAUUAAUGGGUACAAUGGGAUAUGUCUCGUUCUAAAUCCAAUAUCAAAUUACAAUACCCAUUCUGUCCGAAAUUGUAACGACCCCACCUCCCCCUAAGGCGUACCAGAGGGUUCGGCGGGCCGCCUGCCCAACUCUCGCCGGGACUCAGUCGUUCGCUACAGUUCUCAAUUAAAAAUUGAAAUAAAUCACAAGAAUAAAUAGGGCAUUGAUCCAAACUUAAAGCGGAACUUAUAUACAUUGCCAACCCAAAAGAGAAUAUAAACAUCAAAUAUACAAGGGUUCUCAAUCCUUCAUACGUCCAGCCCGUGCCAAGCACUAGGCGAGAACCACUACAAAAGAAACAAAAGAAACAAAACUAGAUUGGCUAGUCUAUCUCAAGCUCACGUCCUCGCUCGCCUUCCCCUGUAAGGAAAACAAAACUAAAGGAAUGAGCUAAAAGCCCAGUGAGGUUCCGAACACAUAAUCAGAUAAUCAAUCCAAUACAUUAAACAUGGAGUAUCAAUAAUUCAAGAAACAUUUACAAUGGAAAGUGAUAGUAACACAUUCAUUAAAAGGAUACGGCUCACAAGGAGCAAUUUCGUUCAUUCGUUCUCCUGACAUUUCCCCUUAUUCCUCCAAUCAUUUGAAAAUGCAUUUUUUCGUUUAUCAAUAAACCCUCGUUCGUUCGUUCGUUCAUUCAUUCAUUCAUUCACCCCGUCCUGGCCGUUGGCCAGUCUCCACCAACCUACAGGGUAAUACUCGAGUAUACCAAACGUUCACCCAAGUCCCUAAUCGCCCGACCGAGUCCGCUUCUGGCUCGAGACGACCGGUAACAAGGGGCAAUGGCCAGUUCAGCCCAAAAGGCUUACAUUCAUGCGCAAGUAACAUUUCAAUCAUUAAAUCCUUGAAAAUUACACAGUUAUUUAGGUCGAGUGCGAUAAAGUACACACUCGCCUAAAAAGCUCGUUUUGGAAAUCAUUAAAAGCACUUAACACAUUAGCAAAUGAUAACAACAAGCCAUAGAAUCAAAUAAGGAACACUCACCUAGAAAUGCAAAAUAUCGUGCAAAAUAUCCUUCCGGAUAUUACCCUUAAUCACCAAUGAAACCUAAGGUUGAACAAGAGAACAUUAUUAUAGUUUAUCGAGCAAAACAUUUAAGGGAAACAAAAAAACCCGACUAAUUAAGAGUAAAACGUGUAAAGAUGACUUUCAAGUAAGAAGAGGGUUGUUUGAACCCAAGGAUGAAAAAUCAUGUUUUAAAAUGGAAAACCGGUCAUGGUAUUGGCCUAACAAAAGUAUACAAGUUCAAAUAGAAACCUAGCCCUCGGCGAAAAUUUGGGCAGCACGCCCUUUGUGUUUACCUAAUUUUCCAGGCAUUUUGGCUUCAUUAUUUUUCCUCAACCACAACCCAACAUCACACAUAAGCAAUUCAAGUCAAGAGCCGUUCCAUAGGCUCACAAUAUCAUAAGAAUAAGAAUUACAACAAUCACAAGUGCAGAAAUUCAACUUAGCACAAGACAGAUUUGACGUACGAAUGCGGAAAUAACAUAUCCGAAGCUACGCUUAUCGGAUUGAGACGAAACCUAUGCCGGUUCGAAUCUAAGACACAGAGCUACAACAUUCAUGAAGGUCACUUAGUCCAGUUCCUAAUGUAACUUAGUCAAAUUCUCAAAUUACUAAACCAGAAACCAAUUCGUCGGCUGUUUAAACGUAGAACACUGUAAUGGACAUAUCUCAGAGUACACAAGUCCGAAUCAGGUGUUCUUAGAGGCAUUUGAAAGCUAAUUCAGAAUACUACAACUUUCAUGUUUUGGGAAAAAGCUAAAUCAGAAUGGAUCCUAGUCGAAAAAUGUGAUAAACUGGACUUAACUGAUCACACGGACUGCUUGGGAAAUACUUAAAAUAGUAAGGGUAUUUUGGACUUUUCACGUCCUACGUUGCUCCGAUUGAGCUGAAAUUUUGUAAGCACCUAUAAAAUACCAUUCUCUACAACUUUCCUUCUUUGACCUAAGGCCAAUUCGGCCUCUAACAUAGGGAUUCAAAUUCGGACAGAAUGUUGGGAAAAAUUUCCAGAUUCUGGAAUUUCUAGUUUUUAGUGGAACUUUCCUUAAUUUCUUGGUCUAAUCACUACCAAAGCCUCUCUUAUAACCUUAAUUUCAACAUAUAUAUUUCAUACAACAAAUUGGGCAGAAAUUCAUCAAGCCCUAGUUCAUCAUAUAAAUUGGGGAAAACUUCCAAAACAAGAUAAUAUCCAUGAUUCCACCACAAAAUCAAGUUGCUAAGCUUAAUUUAACAAGAUUCAAAGUAAAACUUGGAGAGAUAAGCUUUCUUACCUUGAUUAGAGUUCACUAAGAGUAGCCCAAGCUUUCUCUUUCAAAAAAUCACACCACAAGUCACCAACUAAUCACUCAAGGACAAGUUUAAUCGGUUUGUUUUGUUUGAUUUCUCACUUGGUUGUUGGAUUGAAGAUGAAAUGGAAUGUUUUCCCUUGUUGUUUUUCUUCUUGCUCCUCUCGGCCAGCAGCAACAAAAUGAAGAAGAAAGUUGCUAAGUUUUGGUGUUUAAAUAGAUGGUCUUGGUCUUAAUUAAGAAGCUCUAUGGUGGCGACAAGUGUUGCCACCACCACCUUUCUUUUUUUCUCUUUCUUUCCUUGUCAUUUUAGCCACUAAUUUUCGGUCAACCUUGCUGCCAAGAGAGAAGAUAUUUUGCUCAAGUUCAAUAAAUUUGUUUGGUGAGAAAAAUGGUGGUCAAGUGGUGCGUUCAAUCGGUAGUGCGCGGGACCCGCCGGUUCGCGCCGUUUUUCUUAAAAACUCACGUACUAGGGUUUUUACUUCCCAUUCACUAACCUUAUACCAUUGCUACCAAUCAUAUAUUAUUUCUCACUUAAAAGUCACUUUUAAUCUCCAAAUUAAUUCUUACCCUGUACCGAAAAUUCAUCUGGCGGAAAAUCGCGAAAACCCUAAUUUUGCUCCAAACUUGAAACCGAAGCGUAAAACCCUAUUUUCUAGGUUUAUCUACACUUAAUGUGAAAUAUUUGGGUAGUGGCCUUUGAUAAAUACUAAUUUUCAAAUAGAGGGGUAUUUUUGAGGAAAAAAUAAGGAAUUUGCGAGUCCUCACAAAAGUUCCUUUGGACAUGGGUAAUCCAAUAGGACUUGGGACAAAUUGCCACCUCUACUAGCAGCUGAAUUUUAGACUCACUAGUAAGAGUGUAGGCACGUAGGAGUUAAUAUGCAUCAGAUGCUUGGAGAGCAAUGUAAUUAUUUUGGGACAUGAUUUAGCAAUAAUAUUGUUCUUUUUCUUCAGGCAUAGAUAACUCUUCUGGCUAUCAAUGCUCGAGGAUGUCACCAACCAAACCAGCUUUGCUUGCUGACGGAACCAACUAACGAGACAAACAAAAGACCUAAGUACAAUGCACUCGAGACACUGAACAUGCAUGCUCAAUUCGAAGAUCUAUGCAAUCUUAUGUUUCCCAAAAUUUUACUAUCCCAGAUCUCUUCAGAGCUAGAUAAUGUGAUUUGCAAAUACUGGAAUUUCUAAUCCUUUUUCGUAUACAUAUUGUGAAUAUAUAGCCUCACGCAUUUGUGUAACACCCCAAUUUAACUAGUAUAGCCAAAAAAAAAAACAUAGGGCUUAAACAUAAAGAAUCUCAUAGUCCGUUAACUUUAGAAUAUCCAAUUAGAAAUAAAUGUAACAACCACUUAAAGAUUCCACUUGGAAAUUCGAUAGACCAAUGACUCAAAAAGGACUUAUACAUACCGUCUGCUUUUAUUUCAAUACAACAAAUCAGUCUACUGCUUUACAAAGGAACAUACAUCUACACAGAAAUCAAUAUUUCCGGCACUUAAAACUAAACUCAAACAGCAAUAUCAGGUAUUAAUUAAUAUUCAUAUCACCAAAAACGAAGCUGUUAGAGAAUGAAACACAAUUAAGAAAGAGCAAAAUUUAAUUGUUUUCUCUUAUUGGGUGAUCUAUAGGCAAAGAUGUCACCUACUUUGUUCGUUGAUUAGUUUCAUCUGAUUCAGUUGUCUUGCAGUUGUUCGUAUAACAUUCUCUUAAUCACUGUUUGUUUUGAGGAAAUAGGAGGGGCAGGAAAGAAAAUGAAAUAGAAAGAAAAAGGUUCUAAUGUUCAGAUUGAUUUUUGAGAAGGGAAACGAAAGACAGAAAGAGUAGAGAGGAAAAGGGAGGAAUAAAGUGUAGUUUUUUUUUGUCACUUUUCCAUCCAAAAGGCAGGAAUGUAGGGAAAGGAAAUCAAAAUUAUUGAAACUUUUAAAAUUUUCUAAAAAAAAAAACUGUGUUUACAAUUAAGAUUUUUAAAAAUGUAAUUAAUGUGUAAUAGAUUUGUUUCCUUCCCAAACUUAAGUAAUCUUUUCAAUGUUUUCCCUUUUCUAUAGGAGGUAUGUGUAAUUACUUUUGUUUGAUUUUGUGCUUAAAUAAGAGAAAUACUAGUAUUUCAACUAACGAUGUUACCUAGACUAUUUUCAUCAGGUUUUCACUUUACAUGAAUCAUAUGGAGCUUAUGUAGAUAUUUUGAAACAUUAUGGGAUCAUGUAAUAAUUGUUGAAUCCAGGAGAUAUGUGUAAUUUACCCCAACUAGACUAGCUAAAGUUUAGUCGUAGGUCAAAAAUUCUUAUCCAAGAUGGAGCUUGAGAAAUAAAUGUUAUAAAUGGCAAAGAGUGAAUUUUCCGUGUAUCACUUUAAAUGUGUGUCCCCGUAUAUGUUUGAGUGACAAGAGAUUGUACAUAAAACAUUGGCAAAAUGGCCAAUUUCGUCCCAAAAUUUUUUUUUACUGUCAAUUUCAUCCCUACUUAUUUUUUUUAGCCAAUUUAAUCCCUCUACUUAUUUAUCGGUUCCAAUUGAGGAACACCGCGGCGGAGCCACCUUGUAAUUUCGAUCAAACUUCUAAUUGAGCACUUAAACAGGGGUAUUUCGGGUACUUCAUUGAUAGGGCUGUAAGAUAAGAAGUAAAAAACGAAAUAAAACUUUACUAGCACAUUUUUAUCACUGAGAAAAAUCCAAACUGAAAACUUCAACUUUUUCUUGCAAAAAUCCAGAACUUUAGUGAAUGAUGUGUUGAACAAAAUCGACUGAAAUCAUAAUGAAUAAGGAAAUGUAAUGGCGUAGGAAGUCAAAGGAUGGAGGCAGCAAGUGACGAAAGGCGUGAAAGAAGAAAUUUUGAGAAAGACGGGUCAAGCAAAUUGAGUAAGUUGAACCACUUAAAUCUCUUUGAUUUGUUAUGUUAAUAGGUUAAUGAAGUUUGAUGUGGGUUUGUCUUGUUGUGAAUAGCAAGUAUUGUACUUUAAUAGCAAGAUCGAUUGAAAUGUCGUGGGAAAAGGGCUUUGUUUUCUGUUUUUCAUUUUUUUUUCUGAAAAGGGGUUCAUGUGGUCCAUGACUGUAAAAUUAAUGUCCUGUUGCUUUCAUGUUCCUUAAAAGGCAGACAAUGACUGUAAAUUACAAAUUAUGGUAGUAAUUUAUUUAUUUGUUUGGAAAAUAAAAUAGGUGAUGACUCGGAUAUAUUCAAUCUAUAUAUCUACUAUGGUAGGGCAUACAUUGAUGUGAUGAAAACGCAAGUGUUAGGCCUUCAAGAUUAACAUAGCUUCUGUGUUAGGCUUUGGUCAUUUACUUGGAUGUGAUGAAAACGCAAGUUACAGAUAUAGAAUCCCUUCCAUAGAUGGGAGACUGAGACUUAAUUAGACAAAUAGAUAGUGAACAAGAUGCCAUGGACAUGGUGCUAUAGGUAAACAAAUUGGAAAAGUUGAACUUUUCGUUGUCCAUGAGUUUCAUAUUAGAUCCAUGGAACCUAGCAAGAACAGGGAAGUUUUCGAGAGUGAAGGUGAGAAUGAAAAAGAAGAUCUGCUAUAUGUGGACAUCACAUUUGAUGAAUUCCUUGGGAAUGAAGAACUUCGAAUUGACGUAACUAAAGUAGAUUGGGGGGAAAUAAAAAAAAGGGUAAACGGAGAGGUGCUAUUGUGAUUAAAGAGGAUGAAGGUGCAAAUGAUGAAAAUGAACCAGGAUUAGAGUCAACGGAUGGUGGUGAAAGCUUUCAUGAUAGUGACUAAUUUUAGGGAAGAUAAGGAUGACAUAAUAUACAAGAAUUGUUCAACUACUGUUGAUAUGGCAAUUGAUGGUCAGAGGAGCGUAGAUGAUGCUAGUUAUGGAGGGGAAAAUGUCAUACUAACUGGCGAAAAGAAGAAAGGAUAUGUGCAGCCACAAAAAGUAAAAGCAAAAGGAAAAGGAACUCUUGCUGCUGACCAUGACUGUGAUAUUUAUGAUGGUGACUAGAUUCCUAUCCAAGAGGAAUUUGAUUCCAUCAACACAAAAGAGUUGAAUAGUUGCUCUAGUAGCUUCGAUGAAAAUACCUCAAGAAAGAAGGUGAAAUCUGUAAGGUUCAAGCCAGAAAUUCAUAUGAAGGUCCCCAAAUUUUUUGUUGGUUUACUGUUUGACACUAAAAAGAUAUUUAAAAGAGCUGUUGAAUUUUAUUCUGUGAAGUGGGGCAAGAAGCAUGGUUGGCAAAAGAAUGAUAAGAAUAGGAUCGGAGCAAAAUGCAAAAAAGAGAAAUGCAACUGGUUUGCUUAUGCUGCAAAAGAACCAGAUUGCGAUGCAUUCGUGAUAAGAACGAUGGGGCCAGAACAUCAAUGUGGUAGAACUUUCUAUCACAAACAUGCAAAUUCAGGUUUUUUGGCUAGGCAUUACAUGGAGUUUCUGCGGAUGAAUAGGAAAGUUAUGGUUGGUGCAUUUAAGGACAAGGUACAUGAAGAACUAAACGUGAACAUCACAAAAGAUCAGGCUUGCAAGACCUUUGGAAAAGCCAAAAUUCUGAUCGAAGGAAAAUAUAAGUAGCAAUACACAAGAAUUUGGGACUAUUGUGAGGAAUUGUUGAGCUCAAAUCCUGAUUCGGCAGUGCAUAUGGAGACAGAGGUUGAAGAAUUUAGCGGAAAAAAGAGAUUCAAAAGACUAUACAUUGUUUUGAAGUCUUGAAAAAAAGCUUUAAAGAAGGUUGUCGGCCUAUACUUGGCGUGGAUAGGUGCCAUCUAAGGGAACCACAUCCGGGAGUACUUUUGACAGUUGUUGGGAUAGAUGCUAAUGAUUGCAUCUAUCCUGUUGCAUAUGCAGUGGUUGAGACCGAGAACAAGAGAUCUUGGACAUAGUUCAUUGAAUUCUUAAAGUUUGAUCUCAAAAUCCACGACAAAAAACAAUGAACAUUUAUUAGUGAUAGGCAAAAGGUAUAAUGAUUAAUUACAGAAUUUUUUGUUGGAAAACUACUUUAUAAUGACUAAUUAGUGAAUUUUUUCAUAUUUUUAUCUAAUUGGGCUUGGAUUCCGCCAUCCAAGAUAUUCUUCUUGGAGUGGAGCAUAGACACUGUGUUAGGCAUUUACACAAUAACUUUAAGAAGGUCCAUCCUGGGGAAACACUUAAAAGUAUGUUUUGGACUUGUGCAAGAUCCGCGUAUGUCAAUAAAUUUGAAGCUAAAAUGGAUGUGUUGAGGCAGUAUGAUGAGAAAGCACACAAUUGGUUAGUGGACAACACAUCACUAUACCAUUGGUCUAGAUCACAUUUUAGGACCACAGCGAAGUGUGAUAUUCUCUUAAUAAUUUGUGUGAGAGUUUUAAUUCUGUUAUAUUAAAAGCAAGAGAAAAGCCCAUCCUUGGUAUGCUUGAAAACAUUAGGAUAUACCUAAUGGAAAGACUUAGGACAAAAAGGGAGUAAAUGAGAAAAAGAAAUGAUAUUAUUUGUCCAAAAGUUAAAAAAAAAACUUGAAAAGGCAAAGGAUAAUACUAGAUCAAAUAUAGAUAGGUGGUCUGAUGAUGACAGGUUUGAGAUGACACAUAUGUAUAGGAUCACGUUUGUUGUUGACUUAAAGGCGAAGACAUGUACAUGCAGAAAAUGGGAACUCACUGGUUUACCGUUCUCUCAUGUUAUAGGCUGCAUUGCUUUGACUGGAGUCGAGCUUGAAAGUCUAGUGCAUUCAUAUUACUCAAGGGAUGCAUAUUAUGAGCCAGUUAUGGGCCAAUUAAUGGACCUAAUAACUAGAAAAGAUCUAAAAAGGUUCCUAUGUAUGCACCUAAGAAACUAAAACUUCCCAGUAGACCUAAGAAGGCAAGGAGGAGAGAGCCGGAUGAGCUACGAAGUGAUUCCAAAGGGUGCAUAAGACUGUCUAGAAAGGGUAUUACAUGUAUGACUUGCUCUUUUUGUCAUCAAAAGGGUAACACUAAAAGAAGAUGUCAGCUUAGCAUGGAAGGAGUGGAUAGCAAUGAAAGAAUACCACUUGUGAAAGUAAUAGGUGUGGAAAAUGUAAGAAACUUGGACACAAUGCAAGUACUUGUCCAUUGAAUGUCAAGGGAAAAGACGAAACUCACGUUGAAACUGGUAUGACUGAACUCCUAUUUUCUUUCAUAUUGCACUGUUUUAGUUAGCAGCUACUAAUCUCGAAUGUUGUUGCAGCUCCUUCUGUAAUUGGAAAUACUAGCUUACCACGUGAUAAUGAGACAUUCCAAGACUCUGCUACAUUGCAAGAAUCAACAACAUGUAUUCUUUGCUUUUAAGUUUUUUUAGUACUCCUAUUAUUGUUGCUGGCUGUUGUUGCAGCUCCUUAUUAUUGGAGGUGUUGCAGCUAUUUAUUUUUUCACCUGUGUUGCAGUUUCUUAUUUUUGUUUGUUUGGUCAUUUUGAUGAAUAUAUCUGAAAUUUGUCAUGUUUUUAUAAUGCAAGUUGAUCAAGUGCCUGAAGAAAUUGAUGUUCAACCUACUGCUCCAACUGAAAGCUCUCAGCGGCUGUGUAGGACCAUGUGUUGUUUUUUUUUUUGUCAUGCUUCGGGCUAGACCAAAAGAACUUGCACUUGCUGCUAAACACAAGCGUGGAGAAACAGGAUGACUACUGUGAAAAGGAGAAAACAAAGGGUAACUUUUUGCAGCCACGAAACCGUAUAUAAAUUAUUAAUUGUUAUUUACUCUUGGAGGUUCUUACUACAAGUGAAUUUGCAGUCUCAUAGGAUACUCGAUAAGUCGGAUGACCAGUGAAAAUGAAUGCAGCCAGAGAAGUUGAUGAUGAAGUUGUUUUUGACUGUUUUUGCGUUGCUAAAACUGUCCAGUGGCUGACAUAGUUGCAAAUGACUUUGUCUUUUGUCCUUUUUGGUAGUAACAAAUGCAACUUGAUGUAUGAGGAACUUUAUAUCAUGGGAUUCACUUGUUUUUGUAAUGAAUCCUGGAACUUAUUGUUUUUAGUUGCUAAGACUUCGAAUCUAAUGAAUUCAAUUCAUUUGUUUUUGUAAUGAAUCUUGCAACUUAAUAUUUUUUGCUGCUAAGACUUUGAAUCUAACGAAUUCUGGAUUUGGGAAUUUUGUAAUGAUUCACAACUUCGAUUCUAAGGGAUUCACAAUUUUGUAAUGAAUCAUGGAAUUUUAUGUUAGUUGAUAAUUCUUUUUUACAUAUGACAGCGUUCUUAAUGAUCAUACACAAGCAAUCUUGAUAUAAUGCAAUUCUUCCACUCCAACCAACAAUAACCAAAUAACAUAUAUACAUCACCAAAAACUCACUUAAUGAAGCUGCUCUCUUUCAUAUUCAACAUUGAAUUUGUAAACAUACAACUGGGAACUCAAAACUAUUACAAAUCCAAGACAAUCCAUAUCCAAAACUAUUACAUGAAACCUCGGGAAUUACUUCAUUCGAAGAGGGUAGCAUUACAUGAUCCAAAAUAUAUGAAUCAUAAACUUUCGUAUGAUCUCCAAAACUACUGCAACAUCUUCAAUUCUAACAAGCUACCCUUUGGCCUUUGAGUGCCCCCGAGUAUAGCAACAACUAAAAUGCAGCAACAAGUACAAGCCAAGAACAACAUUUUCACUUUUGCCUUCAAUUUGCUGAUUUCAAUCUUCAGUGCUACAUUCUCCCUCUCGAUACUUCUUAGCUCCCUCAAAAUUGCAGCCAGCGUAUUCUUCAUUUUUUGGGGUAUGGGUGGAUCAUACCACAAAAAAAAUUUACAAGCAGCACAUUUCUGCAUUCACUACUAUUUCAUAGUCAAAAUUCAAGCAAUAAUUCAACAAAACCUAACAUUUAGCACAUGCACAAAAUUACCCCAUAAUUUUUGCAGCCAUGAAAUCUUCUCGAUGGAUUUGACUCCGUCCAUGCUGUCACAAUUCUGCAUUGUUCAAGGCAGUGGCAUCGUACGAUUUUAUCUCUAUUGUAAUAUUCAUAAUUUCUUUCAUAAAUUAGGCUUUCUAAUUUUGCACCAUUCAAUCCGACGCUCUUCAGGACUCGAUCACUGCAUCAUGAGCUUGAGGAUGCUUUGUCCCAAUUCCUACUUGAAUGCAUUUCGCUGCAGUGAUUUCAUCUAGAGCCACUUUGGGAAAUUUGGGACACCGAGCAGAUCAGAUCUCCCUUUUUACCAAUAAUCCUAGGAUUACAAUUGGACUCUCUUUUCGGUUUUUACUUCUUAUCUUACAGCCCCAUUAAUGAAGUACCCGAAAUACUCCUGUUUAAGUGCUCAAUUAGAAGUUUGAUUGAAAUUACAAGGUGGGGCCGCCGCGGUGUUCCUCAAUUGGAAUCGAUAAAUAAGUAUAGGGAUUCAAUUGGCCAAAAAAAUUAAAUAGGGACGAAAUUGACAGUAAAAAAAGUUUAGCGACGAAAUUGGCCAUUUUCCCUAAAACAUUCCGCUUUAAUUAUUUGGUUUAUAGUAACUCCGACCCAACAAGGAAUUCGAUAAAGAAAUUGAAUUAAUGGAUCACUAGUUCAACCUAGUGGAUUACUGGUUAAACCAAUGGGUACUAAUUUAAUAUUUAUAAAUAGAAAAUAGUAAUAUUAAUAUACGUAAAAUAUCUAAUAAAGUGCUUUUAGAUACUAAUUAUUGCAUUUAGAAAGAUAUAUAAUGAAUAUAUAAAUAUUAAUAAAAGAUUUAAUUUUAUUUUAUCAUAUUUUUACUUAAAUAAAUAAUAUGAUCAAAUAAAAAAUAAAAUUUUUGCAGCUCUUUUCAAAGAAGUAGUAUUAAUUUUUUGUUAUUUUAUUUUUGUUUAAAAACAAAAUAAUUUUCUAACUACUCAAUAUUAUCAGUUUGAAAGUUAAAAGGAUUAGUUGUACCAUAAAAAAGUAAAAAUGUUUAUUUAAAAAAUAUUUAGUUAUCAAACAAAAACUAAACAAGUAGCAAAGUUUUAUGUACAUUUAAAUGAAAAUUCAAUAUAGAAAUCUAGUCAAACGUUACACACUUUCUUUCAAAAAUAAAGGCCCACAAUUAUUUUUUUAAAAAAAAGGUCAACUAGAAAAUCAGAUGGGUUUCUGGUUGAACAAGCAGGUCAAAUGGAUUUGUCCAGGUCACUCCUUAUCCGGUUAAGCUAGAGACUGAAACUAAUACCUAAUGCUCAGAUCACUAGGCCGGGCUGCAUUGAAUAACUAUGUUGUAAAAGAAUUAUGUCCACUGGACACCAAAAAAUCCCCUUUUCAUUAAAAGAAAAAAGGAGCUUAAAAAUCAAUAUCAUAAGUGAGACGAUCAUACAUAGCUCAUGAAUGAAAAGAAGAUUACUAAGAAGUGAGAACAAGAAGUGAUGCCAUUGUCACUGCCAAAAGAAUUCUGGUACAUGAUACGAAAAAAGAAUUAAAAAUAAAGUUGGUAUAUACUAAUAGUUACAACAUUGUUAAUUUGAGAUAAAGUUGUUGAGAAGGUUUCGGUCUAAUAGUCAAGGUUGAGAUUUUAGAAUUUAGAAAUGUUGGGUUCAGAUAUUCUCUCUUCUUCUUACUUUUUUAAUUCUGCUCGUCACUUGGUAAAAAAACUAUCUUAAAAUAGGUUUGAGAUAAAAUGUCUGCCUAAGUUAUACUACAUAACAGCUCCGUCUACUCUCCUAUGUGCUAAACUGCCCCGUCAAUAAGCUCCUGUUGGAUUCCUUCAAAGAAAAGUAAUUUGACUUGUAAACGCAUUGUUUUGAGUAGUAUGACAAAAUUCCAAUCUGGGUAUCUAAACGAGUCUAAAGAAGUAAACAAACUGAUUUGUUAUCAUGUGUUUGAAUAAAGCUUGGUUUCUAGCUUUCCAAAUAUGGUAUACCACCCCAACAAAUACCAGUCUCCUUACUUGAUCUGGAAAAGAUUUCAAUUUCCAAUGGGCACUUAACCAUUAUAUUUCAUUUGUCUAUGGUAGAAUAUCUCUAUCAGACAAGCACAUGUGUAACAAUUUUUUUCACACUUUCCUUGAAACAAAACAGUCAAAGAACAAGUAAUUCGUGGUCUCCAAUUGGCCUUGACAUAACUCACAAAGCUCACCUUCCAGUCUUACUCCCCAAUUCUUCAAUCUAUCCUUAGUAUUUAAUUUCCUAAGACAUAGCAUCCAAACAAUAAAAGCAUAUCUUCGCAUUGCUCCUUUUCCCUAAACCAGCUUAUAGCAGCUUAUUGUGUUGUCAGGAAAUCUCAACAAAUGCAUCCCUGCUUUUACAUUGGGUACAUUUGGACUGCAUAAUUUGUUUUGCUUAAUUUAGUGUGCAAAAUUUAAUUUUAAAUCUUUGUUUGGACACGUCAUUUUUUGUAAUUGGUGUCCACAAGCGGAUGCUAAGUUAUACCCACCAAAUUAACUGACAAAAGUGGUGUUGGAGUUAGGGUGCACGUGGUAGAGGUACCCACCUUGUUUUAUUCAAUUCUCACCUAACAGCUUUAUUACCUCCGUACUGACACGGCAACUUUUUGCCUAAAAUCUAUCCGUUGUUGUGAAUAGCGUAGAGGAAAAAGAGAACAAUCCAUUAAGCGUUGGAUUCUAUGAGCUUCCGUUUGCUGCUUGAGAGAUAUACUCCAGCCACCACUGCAAUUCGUACACCCCUUCGACCAAGAAAAAGGUUUCGUCCAAAACGACAUCUGCUAUCCGUGCUUUCUAUUGCCUGUUGAUGUCAAUUAGAGUGCCGCAAAAGCCACCAGUGGAGGCACAAAUAGACAGCCAGGUCUGGGGUAAUUAACUUGCAAGUGCCAAGCUGAAUACCAGAAUUCUAUCCGAGUUCACUUCGAAAAAGAGCUUGAGCUUUCUAACUGGAGCUUAUUUAGAGGAAAUUCACAGCUGUCAUCUGAAACAAUUUUGCAACAAAUUUGAGAACCAGGUUAGUUGCGGGUCUUUUUUCUUGCAAGUUUUUUCAUGCAUUUGCCCAAUGUAUGAGUCAGCCCUAAUUCGAAAUCAUAUAGUUAAAUUUUACGCAAUCCGAAAUUUUGGGUUGCCGCCCACGUAAUUGCCUUCAGAAUUGGGCGUAAUUGCUGCGUAUAGACACCUAUAGGCACAGAAUUUGUGGGUUAGGAUGAAAUUGCAUGUUUAUUUGUAAAUCGAGUUAAGCCAGCAUUAGCAUUUGCCCGAAAGUGAAUAAUGCCUGCUGAACUGAAUUGGACUGAUUCUUAGACUAAUCUUGAUUGUCGCAGAUCUUUUAUUUUUUGACAGUAUAGAUUUCAUCAAAAUCCCAUAAACGGAAUUUGAAUGUUGCUGAAGUAUAGCUGCUAUUUGAAAAAGAUAACAGAAUUUCUGUUGUUUUGAAAUAUGAUGAAGUAGGCUUAACUUGUUUAUAUGCUGAAGUUUAUAAAUAUCUAAGUAUGCUGAAAUAUGAUUCAAACCUGUUAUUUCCCUCUCCGGUGAAGUAUAAAUAGAUGCCUGCUAUUGCUUGAAAAAGAUAUACAAGUCUAAGUCCAUUAACUGUUCCCUCUCCGGUGAUGUAAUAUAUUCUGUAUGUUGAAGGAAAAAUACAAACUUUUUUCUAGAUGUGGGAUUCAAAAUCAAUUUCCUAGAGCUACGUUUGAUACCUUAUGCUUGGGUUGCCUGGUUAUUGUGCAGCUUCGCAGUUGUGGAUUUGCCUUAACAGUCUGACUAGAUAAUUACGGAUUGAGAGAGAGAGAAGCACUUGCACCAUUUUACUAGGGAAACCAGCUGAAAAGUAUCCUGCUAUUUUAGGAAAUUAGGAGUGAGCUCUCAAUGACCAAAAGUCUAUGUAGUAAUGCUGUUUUAGAGUUAAUUUUUGAAGAAUUGGGUAAUAAACAAAAACAAAAACAAAUAAAUGCUGGCUAUUUUUAUAGAGAAAGACCAUAGACAAGUUCCCCAGACGGUCAUCCAUUUCACUCCCCCAUCCGGUAAUGAAGAUUGAGAAUAGAAGAUAACUUGGAACCUUCCUGUUUUAAACUACUUCAUUCGAGUGUGUGAUACUCAUGAGCUCAACAAGCUCAGGCUAUCAUUGUCCGGUCCACCAACUCCCACCCGUGCAUUCGAGGCUUCUUCCAUCCACUCAUUCACAGCCUUAAACGACUACAUCGAAUCCCUAGUUAACUACUUCAAGGUAAGUCAAUCCAAAAUUCAUCUACUAUGCAAAAACAAGAUUUGGUUUGCAUUUUCAUGCUGCUGUCUUCAACUUUUGGCCCUGUGUAGGCACAUUCAUACAUCCAUUUAAUAUCAUUUUUCGGUGUACUUGUUGAAUUUGGCUAAUCAUUCUCCAACUAAACCUGUUGUCUCCAUUCAAUUUUUGUGUUAGCAGCUGCCAUUCACUUGAUAGUUUGAGGUAUGCUUGGGUUCAAAUUAGCACCUUGAUAGCUGAUUCGUUCCCCUCUGCCCUUAUGAAUUGUCCAACAAUUAUAUAUGCCAUUAUUUGUUAAGUGCUACAAUCACUUGGGACAUUUAUUGCCCUACAACCAAUACUUCGGCAUUUUGUUGCCUUCGGUUAUAUCACUUGAAGUAGUGCAUAUGCCCAAGUUAAACAUAUUUUGUUGAGUUCGGCCUGAUUACUUGAAGUCUUGUUGUUAUGAUGAGUUAUGCAUUUUGUUUACCUCGGCCAGAUUACUCGAAUUUAGCUGUAGGUCUAAGUUUAGCUUUUUGUUGGAUUCGACCAGAAUACUAGAAAUACUUAUAUAUAAUUUUGGAAAACCUAUGAAUUUUGUGGAAUAAAACACACGGACCUCUCUUUUGGUAUGUUUUCCAGUUGUUGCAUUUGUUCCGAUUAGGACUGCAUGUCGUUGUUGUUAAUUAAAAGGGGAAAUUUUCCAGAAAUUAGGACAAUACUUAUACAAGUUCUUCCAAAUAUAAAAUCUACUUCACUUGCCACUACUGCAAUGUUAUUGCAAAAAAAUAGCUAAGUUUUGAGUCACAAAUAUAUAUUAGUCUAUAAUCUAUAAUUGUUGGACUGUUUAAUUUUCGUUAUGCACUACUAAGAACUGAUAUGCACUUCAUUUGGUCUUUAAUCUGUAGAUGCCUCGUGACCACACCACCGCAAAAGCUCAUUGGGAUGAAAACAUGGAGAUGCACUUCUGUAUGACAUACGUUGAGUAGAAAAAAAGUGGAGAGUAGAAUCCAAACAUCUCCACCGAGGCAAAUUGGAUGAAACUGGCUGCCCACCUUAAUUUCGCCUGGGGAAAGCAAUAUGGGUGGAUUGUCUACCAGUUGAAGCACAUGCGUUUGAAGAGGAUUUGGCGUGCAUUUACCAAAUUAAAAGGUUUGCAACUCUCAGUCGAAACUGGAAUUAGGUGGGACGACAAUAAGAGAUGUUUCUUGGCUGAUGAAUCUUAGUGGGCCAAUCUGCAAAUGAUAAUCUACCAUCCAAACAAAAAAUAUUUUGACAACAGAACUUGUUUUCAAUUUUUUCCUUGUAUGCUUAAUUCAUAACUGCCGGGCUGACUUAUGACUUGUUACUUUACUUGCAAUGGAAUAAUUUUAAAAUGCGAUUAGUGCUUCGCUGCUAUGGUAGAAUAGGAUGAAUAGGUACUCGUGUGCUAAAUAAUUGUAUGUCUUGGCUUUAUUAUACGUUUCUGUAUGAGGCUUGAAGGAUUAUUUUUUGUAAUUUGACAGGAGAAUAAAGACAACAACCAGUUUAGAUACCACCAGUGCGUCGACAAAUAUUCGAUACUACCCGAGGUCUUCGAAGGAGAAACUGCCACUGAAGGCCAGACAACUUCAACCUUUGCAUCUCUAUCUUCGAGUGGGCCUCGACAGAUUCCGGCUACUCAUUUCGGAGGGCAAUCAAGUUCGCAUUUUAGUGAGGAAUUGCUCACUGGUGACCCAGAUGUCGCAUGCUACGAUUGCGCUCCUAAAGUUGGAAGAAAGAGAGGAUUGGCCAGCGUAGGGGCUACGACCUCAGAUAUCGGAUCUUGCCAGAGUAAGUCGAGCAGAAGUUCCGACAAUCCAUUUGUUGAGUGUGACAACUCGUUCAACAACCUAACCUCAGCGAAACUGUAAAUUAAGGAUCGUCGCUCCAACGACUCUGAGAAAUAUGAUGUUACAAUGGCAAAUCAAGUUGUCGAGUCCUUCGAAAGCCUGUCCAAAGGGAGCAAAGUCACGGCUCUUUUACAAUUUCAGGAUAAAAAAUGGCGAAAGACUUUCCUGACUAUGGCUCGCGAUCUUCAGAAGUACUAGAUUAACUCUCUGGAUGUUCCCCCACAAAAGGGGUCAGAUCAAGAGUAGUUCAUAUUUGAAAUGAUUUCUGUGAAGUGAGCAUGUGGAUUUUAUCUAUUAACUCUCCGGAAUUUUAAUAGUUCCUAUUAACUAUCUGCAUUUUUUCUUUUCAGUACUGGAUUAAUUGCUACUUAAAAUUUCCAAGGCUUGAAUGAAUUACUUGCAAUUGUAGUGCAUACUACUGGCUUGUGGUAUUUGUUGUGCUUUCUUCGUCAGAGUAAGCACCUUUGUUUGGUCCAACAGUGGUGUAUUUCUAUUCAUAUAUUAUUUCCGUGGUCCAACAUUGGUGCUUGGCUGUUGGUACAUUAUAAAGGUGGUUUUCCAGUGGUGAAUUUCUGUUGUUAUACCUAUCUUAUGGUGCAAUUGCUUGGUCCAUAAAAUAGGAAUGAUCUUCGGCACUUGCUUGUGGUUGGCUGCUAUGUUAUAUUAUAGCCUGAACUUAUCGCUUUGCAUGGACAGCAAGAGGUCAGGGUGCCUUAUAUGUAUGAACCACGGAAACUAGAGCUACAGGAUAUAUACCAAACGUUUAUGUAAGUGCCUUAUAUUAGUGUCUUAUUACAGCUUUAUUAAUGCCUUUAUAAGUGCCUUAUUAGUGCUUAUCUAUGAACCACAGAAACUAUAUUAGUGCCUUACAUGUAUACCAAAUGUUUUCGUCCUCCUUUGAACUGCAGCUUUCUAAUGUUGCGCCUGGGGACAUAGACAGGAAACUAGAUGUGUUGGCUAGAAAAAUGUGACAUGCACUUCCCUUGUAGAAGUAAAGCGGAUGCGCAAUUCUCGAAUCCCUAAAAAAUGAAUGCGUAGUAACUGACUAAUAGAAAGAUCCACUGUACUCACCAUUUCUACUUCAAAUGGCAAACAACAACAGAAGGCUGCAGAGAAGUAAUUAUUAAAAGUAAUUUUUUGAAAACCAAUGGAAUUUUUUUAAAUUGUAUGCUUAUAUAUUAAAUUAUGGUAACUGUAUGCUUAUAUUUUAAAUUGUUCCAAUAUGAACUUUUUAAUUAAAGAACUGCUUAUAUGUACAAUUUAAAUAUGUUUUUCAUAAGUACAAGUAGUUUUUAUUUUUUGGUCUUCAGCCAGAAUGAUGCAUCUGGUGUUUCUUUAGCAACCGCUCAGGUUUUGAAAAGUUUAACAUAAGGAUUGAAGGGGCAACAUAAACCUUUUACUUUAACCCUUUCAGUCUACAAAAAAGAAAUUGAGAAUUUAUUAUGGAUGAAUACACACACGGGAUGUCAAAUAGUUAUACUCACCAAAGUGCCAAGCAUUUGUCCUAUAGUACUGCAAAUGGAACAUGGGGUGAGCAGCUUGCUGUCCUUGGUAUAAGUUAGAAUCUAUCCUAAUAUUAUAUUAAGAAAUUGGACAAGUACUUUGUCUAUAGUUUCAGAUUUUCCUACUAUGUGAUCUCAUAUAAGAUUUUCGUUAUGGCUACUAGUGUGUGUGGGGACUGCUUUGUGAUAUGAAGGGACUCCACAUACUCUUUUCACUAUUGACGUCUACAUCCAUCUUGCUUUCUCAUAUGCAUUUUUGCAGACUACACAUAUUCGUAGAGGCAAUUGUUGGACAGACGAACUAACAAGCGUUCAAUAAUUUUUGCCACAGUUAGACAUACCAGCAAAUGCUUUUAUAAGCAUUCACCGGCAAUAUAAACCAAGCGCUCCUACCUUCAUCCUCAAAAUUUCUAAAGAAUCGCUCCCCACAGCCUAUAACUUGCUGCUACUUUUUCAUGCACUUCAUAUAGUACUUCCUAUUCCGUGCGUAAUUUCAACAUGUAUGGAGAUGCAGCCAGUUCAUCCUCAAAUGAAGACAAUCUUCUAUUUGCAGCCGGUGCAGCCCUGUUGUUUGGUCCAAAUGCAAAAUCAUUCGGAGGUCCUAUCCAGAAGGUUCCAUGCAGGACAUCAGCUUUAACUGGCAAACAAUGGAUUGAAGAACUGAUGUUAGGGCACCACACCCGAAUUAUGGAUGCAACAAGGUUAAGUAUAGAUUCAUUUAUGAGAUUGUGCAACAUAUUGUCGGAUUGUGGAUUUGUUCCCUAACAUCAUCAAAAAAGGGUGACGAUAGAGGAGACACUUGCGAUGACUUUAGUUAUGAUGAGUCACAAUAUGCGCAUGCGUAUGAUUGCGGACCGAUUCAACCACUCGCAGGAAACAGUGCAUCGGAAUAUUCACGAAGUUAUCAAGGGUCUAUAUACAUUUGUGUAAUUCAUCAUCACUCCAAGGCACCAGGAUGUAGUCUAUCCAAAAAUUCUGAAUGAUACCAGAUUUUAUCCAUGGUUUGAGGUAUGCUUGGCUAAACCUUAACAUGGAUGCAUGGUGCAUGGAAUUUAUGCCCCAAGUAGUUCAUUGAAUCCCUAUAUACACAUAUUCGCUAUAGCUGAAAAUCCAAUGGAUUUUAUGUACUCAAAUUAUUAUUCCCAUGAUGUAUAGUCAGAUGUUAAAAAGCUCAAAUUAAGACCCCUCAUGUGCUACCAAAUAUUAGUGUACUAGCUACAGGAUGUCUAAGACAACUAUUACCAGUCCAAUGAUUAAUGAACUAUUUUAGCAAAGUCAUAUGCUUCACGCUUUACAUUUCAUCAUCUUGUUUGUUCACACGGCAGUAGUACAAGGUUGAAGAAGAUUGUGAAUAGAAUCUCUUCACUUUUACUCUUUCUAAUUUUUUUAAGCAUAUUUUGUUUGUAGGAAAAAACUAAUAAUAGUAAUUUUGUGGGUAAUUGCCUUAAUUCAUUAAAUUCGAAAUAGUGAAGAGAAUAUUUUGUUUUUUGUAAAUGACACAGUUGGGGCCAUUGACGGGACACAUAAACCCACUUCUGUCCCGAGUGGACAUCAGGUGGCAUACACAAAUAGACACGGAGUGCAGUUACAAAAUGUGUUGGCUGUAUGUGAUCAUGAUAUGAUGUUUGUAUACGUGUAUGUAGGUUAGGAGGAAAGUACCCAUAAUGCUCGUGUUUUGGAUGGGGCUCUAACGGGCUCAAAUCAUUUCCCAAUGCCCCCCAGGUAUGCAAGUUAGACCAUUGUUUUUUCUAUUUAGCAUUAAUUUCACACUACUAAUUGCGCAAACAUUGAAAAUACGUUUGGUAUAGGCAAAUACUACUUGAUUAAUUCCGCGUAUCGAAACUUACCCGAUUUCUUACCACCCUAUAGAGGACGCCAAGCGGAUGUUAGUGGUCGUAGAAGGGGGAGAUUUGCCAUAGCUAAGGAACUUUUUAAUUACAGACAUUCUAUUCUACGCAAUGUCAUAGAGCGAACAUUUGGUGUCCUUAAGAGAAGAUUUGCUAUCUUACGGGGCGCCAUACCCCACUAUAUGAUGACUACUCAGAUAAACGUUAUUAUUGCUUGUUGUGCUGUACACAAUUUCAUUAGAGAUCAACAGCCGAAUGACUAUUACUUCGCCAACCACGAUAUAGAAGAUCCAGACACAAAUGGUGCAAUUCCUCCCUAUUCGGAGAUACAACCACUACAUUCCCCUCCCGAAGUGAUUAACCAAUGGAUUGGCAUGAGAGAUGCAAUGGCCAAUCAUAUGUUAAAUAUCUAUAGAAAUACACGCCAUCGUUAAUUCAGAUAUGGGUGGAUUUAUAUUAAUCUUUUUUUUAGAUGCUAAGUUUAAAAAAAAAAACCCCUUUUUAGUAUUGCCGGUUUAUGAUAAUUUUUGAAAAAGGGUUAUGCUGUGCCUAAGUAUUAUGCAUAUUUAGUAUUGUUUGAUUCCCUUUUAUGCUUCCGUUUGAGUUGUUUUACACCUGCUUAUAUAGAUAUAACCUCUUGUAAGCACUCGGUAGGUGUGGUUUCAAACCUGUAUUUUCAUCAUGCAAAUCGAGGCACCAACCAAAAAACAUGCGCAUGCUUGUUUAAUUAACCACCAUGCUGCUUUAGUAUAUGUUCCAUGUUUAGUGCGCAAAUCAAAAAUUCAAAUCGGACGCCUAACUAAUUUUCAAACUAAAGGGACCACUCGUUUGACCAGGUAAGCAAAUUGGGGCAUGGAGUACUUCAAGGAAAAUGGGUCCCGCAUGUCUCCAUAGAAGUUACCAUCCAGCACUUGCACCUUUCUGCCAACUUCGUCUAUCAUAAAUGAAGUCAUUUUACAACAAUAAAUGAGUCCCUUAUGUUCCAAUUAGGGGUGGGCACGAGUCGGGUACCCGCCCCGAACGACAAUUGGUUGACCCGACCCUAACAUGUCGGGUCACUAAUUUUUUGAUCCUAAUCCGCUCCGAUUAUCAUCGGGUAUCCGAAAUCGGAUACCCGAAAAAUAGGGGCGGAUACCCGAAAAAUAGGGGCGGGUCAUAGGGUACCCGCCCCUAUCCAAAAAAAACUCACUUGGACAUCUUUUUUUUUUUUUAGACUCCAACUUAAAUUCAUUACUAAAUCAUCAGUUACAAAUGUAUUCGAUAUUCCUUUGCAUCAGCAACCAAUCAGAGUAAGAAAAGCACAACAAAAGCAAUAAAAGGAAUUGAGCAAGACAACAAGAGCAAAUGAAGAGCACACAAAUUAAUUUACACUAAAAAGGAGAAAAAAAUUCACAAUGCCCACGGAAUCACAAUGCCCACGGAUAAUACAAUCACAAUCCAAAGUCUAAAUACCUCACGGAAUCAACCCUUAGCAAUAUGAAAUUAGGAGAAAACUUGAUACCUCACAUUGCCCAAAUCUGAAUCAAUAUUAUACAAGAUGCCUAAAUACAAACUACAAAGCAUCAAAAUGCGAUGCUAAAAAUAGAUAAGGUCGAUAAUGUCUGGGUAGUGGGCACAUCUUUGGUUUUCUUAGUUUAGACAUUCGGUAAUCUGUCAUUCUGCCUACAACCUUGUUUUAGGUUGAAUUUUCUAAUUUUUUUUCCCUAAAGAGAUGUCUAAUUAUUAGUUGCUCCAAUAUUUGCUCAAUCGGCAUUCUCAAAAAAAAAAAAAAACCUGCAAAUGAAGCCUGAAGGUCGGCGUUGGCUUGAGAAAUCGAAAUCGAAAGUCCCUGUUGAAUCGUCUGCUUGAGGCUUGAGGCUUGCAGGCUUGAGUUCAACUUGACAAAAUUGAAGAGAUAGAGAAAUUAAAGGAGAUGUCGAUUGGCGGCUGAAGGUUGAAGAGAUGGAGAAGGAGAAGGAGAAAAUGAACUGAGGGAGAGGAAGUGUCGGCUGUAAUCUGAAGACCAAUGGAUUGAUUUAGGUUAGGGUUAAUAGUAAUUUAAAAUAUUAUACAAUCACCCCUAUAUUUUUAAUAUUUAUAUAUUAUACCCCCGGGUCGGGUACCCGCGGGUUUUUACUUUUACUAUCCGUAUCCGAAUCCGAAUAGUUAGGGUACCCGACCCUAUCUGAUCCGCUAACAGAAAUCGGAUCGGAUAUCCUAUUUUACGGUGCGGGUCGGGUCGGGUUUUCGGGUUUUCGGAUUUUUUUCCCCACCCCUAGUUCCAAUAAACCAAAUCAUGCAAGUCAAAAAUCUGAGGUAAAUUAUGAAAAUUUGGCCAAUCCAAACGUAUCCAUUGUCUCUUCCUAAUGGUCCAUCAAUCCAGUAGAUCUCAUCUUUUGCCUCCAUGCAGGGUGGAAAAAUUUCAGGUCUAGCAGCUUUAAGGCUUUCGAGCUUCUUAGCCAUCCUUCUCCCUUGUGGCAAGCUUGAAAAGUUAAGAAGUAAGAGAUAACUUUUUUUUCGAUAAAUAAUAUAAUGUGACACAUAUUUUGGUUACCGAUCAUAAAUGUACUCACCAUUCCAAAAGCUAUUAGAGUAGGAUAAUAACAAAUUGCGUAAAUUACUUUAAUCCUCCUGUGGUUUCAUCCAUUGCCACAUAAUUCCUUAAUGUUUUAAAUUCACCCCUAUAGUUUCAUGUAAAUUGAAAAUUUAACGAAAAAUAACUCAUGUAAUGUCGUUAUUUGAAAUACUAUUAGUGCAUUUACAUAAAUGUUAAAUCAAAUGAUGACUUAAUCAUUUUGUACAAAAUCAUAUGGAUAUUAAGUGGAUAAAUGCAAAAUUCUAGGUGGGGGGUUAAGUUAAUAUUAUGAUUUCAUCACACGCACUUUUAAAGCACUAUGAUUUAAUCGUCGUAACUAAUUAUGCAUUCCAUCCAUUUUUCACUUCACAUAAAACUACAAAGGGUAAUGUGGCUAUUUUGAAAUCUCAAGGAGAUCAUAUAAUAUUAUGCAAAACCUUAGGAGGGUUACAUAUAAUUGAACUUAAGAAAUUUUAUUCCUCUCUCAACCCAUUUCAUCCCAAUGGAGGCUUGAAUAUUUGUUCCGCCCACAUGGUUAAUAAUUGCAAUUCAAAUUAGGGCAUCAUCCAAUUGAAGAUGAUCUUGGACGUUCAUAUAAGAAUUGUUUUAAGAAAAAAUCAAGAAAAUGAAUUUUAGUGGUUUAGUUUUGUUAUCUCUUAAAAACUCUUUUAUUCUAAAUCUGUAUUUGCCUGUUCGAAAGUCUCUUCUCAGCUUUGUCUGGCCUCGUCAUUAACGGAUACCUAGUUAUGCGCUUUUAUUGAUUAAACUAGUUUUGUACCCGUUCGUUGAACGGGAAUCGUCGAAAAAAAAUAAACUAUUUAGUCAAUUUUAUAAAAAUGUCGAUAUAAAAUACAAAUUUAAUGCAUAAUCUAUUAUAACUUGUCUUAAGUAUAUUACUAUGUGCGCAUUGUAAUAUAAAUUAUUCUUAUAAUAUAAAUUUGAACAUCUAAUUCAGUGAAUAAUAAUUCAAAAAUGGAAAAAAUAACAUUCAACAAUACCAUAACAUUCAAAAACUUGAAAAUAAAUAAAAAGUGUAGUAAAUAGUAUCAAAUAAUAUACUACUCUUCAGAAACUUGUUUUUAUUUUUCUUCUAUUUGAACAUUCUCCUCGAUUUGUCCGUGCAACUCAGCAUUUAUUGAUUUUCCAUUAUCACUACAUGAUAGCAAAGCAGGAUAACUAAGUAUAAAAAAUUAAAUGAUUUAUCGCAUUCAAAAUUGUAUAUAACAAUACGUAAAGAUUAUAAUUUAAGAAAGUAAAAUAGUAUAUUAAAUCUACCUUGUCAUGCAAAUCUUUUUAUGAGGAUUACCUUCCUCUGUGGUUUUUGUUAAACCCUCUGAUGAAUGAUUCAUAUGAAGUGUAUUGAAAUGUUGUCCAUUAGAAUCAUCUGUUGUACUAAUUGGGAUCUGAGAAGAAGAUGUUUCAGGUUGUUAUUGGUUGUCGAUUCCACCAAUCUGAUAAUGAUUUAUCAAAAUUAAAGGCAAAAAUAUUAUGUGAGAUAUAAUAUGUGAAACAUAAGAGAAAUUUAUUGUACAUUACCUGUGAAAGCAUGAAAUGCGUUUCCCUCCCGAAAUCACAGUGGAACCAUCUAGUUACUAUAAAUCUAUUACUACCUUAUUCUAGAUUGUAAUUGUUCAACUUGAUUUGGAACACAAAAGGUUUUCACGUGAUCUUAUUUAUAAUUGAUGACAUGAUUUCAUUGCUAAAUCCUUCCUGGAAACGAAAAGCAUAAUAGAUUUUUUUGUUAGAAUAUUCAACGGCUGAGAUAAGUGUCGGAUUGUCUACUAUUAUUAAAAAUAUUUUAAAAAAUUAGAUAUAAGUUUACCUUAUUAAAUUCUUCAAGAACAAAAGAAGUUUGUGUUCUAUUAUUCUUUCAGCCUCUUGAUCAAAUAUAACAAACUAAGCACUGUUGGUUACAUCACUUGCCAAGACUUUUAACAUAUACCUGUAUAAAUACACAUAUUCUAAAAGUUAUGCUUAUGUAGAUAUUGUAGCAAUUAAAAUGAUAAAAAGGUUAACACCUACGACAUACCUGGCCUCGUCAUUAACGGAUACCUGGUUGUGCGCUUUUAUUGAUUAAAUUUAGACUAAAUGUCAAUGUAUACACUAUCACGAUUAGAUAGAGGACAAAUGAGUAAAAUUUGAAUUUCACACGUGUCAUAUGUCUAACAGUGAUAGUAUAUACACUGACAGUGUAUAUAAGAUUAAUCCUUAAGUUUAUUGACAUAAGGUUUGACUUGGGUCUAUUUGCUACUCUUCCUUAUGAAUAUUUCUUGCCUUCUUUUUUUUUUUCAGUUGUAUAAUUUUCAUUUUCGUUUGAGCCGUAGAAUAAGGAGGGUGCAAGGGAGUAACUCGAUGUUUGUCUCGUGAAAAACUCAACUCAAACUUGAUGACUCAGCUCGGUUUCAUCUAGUUUGAGUACAAAUCGUAUCAAGUUUUGACUUUAAGAUUAACAAUUUUGAUCUAUCUUUGGAUCAUAUUUUUCCAAUUUCAGAAUAUAUGAUGAGAAAUAAAAAAGCUCUUUAGAAGAUUAACCCGGACAAUACAAAAUUUUAGACUGUUGUCAAAUACUUUGCCUUUCUGCAAUCAGGAAAUUAAACUCCACCAAAUUCAGUGUGCCGAAUCAAUUUGGCUUCAUGGACUUAGUUGUCUAUAACACAACAUAGCCCCAUACCCGACUGCUUGAGCACAGAGCCUGGUGUAAAAGAUGUUGGAUGACAUCAUUCCUAAAAUAUAAUUUCAUGGGUCAUUAACUUUUUUUUAUCUUGGUUAAUUUUUUUAUUAAAUAAAAGUAUCAUUAAUAAACUUUUCUUUUUGGGUCUGUAAUUUUAGGUGGAUGGUGAUGUUGGUACACUUGGUCCACCAAGUAUUGAAGGCCGAGAUAAUAUAUUGAAGUAUGAUGAGAAAGAUGAGCUCGUGCAGCUGAUAAGAAGCCUGCAGCUUGGCUUGGGAAAACUCAAUUCUGUUGAAAAGCCAAAUAACGCAAUCAAUUAGCUAUGAUAAUAUUUGUAUAAUCUACUCUAGUCUAACAUAGGGAGAGGAGGAGCCUAACCGACGGAAUCCCGUCAGAGGAAGUUACUUGAAAGUGAUAGCCACAAUUAAGUUGCAAGUAUAUGGUGGGAGGGAAGAAUUGAACCCUUGACUUAUGACCAAUAACCCAAGAGGCUGUUGGCUUCUGAUGCAGAUACAAGUUCAAUAUAUCUCUUUUCUAAUAAACAACUGCUGCAGAUACAAGUUCAUCCUACUGAUGCUAUCUCUCUAUUCAAUGAUUUUCCAGCACCGUUGGAAAGUAGCACUCCUAUGAGCUCUUUUCUCUGAAUUUCCCUCUUUGAUUCACGAAUGUCACCUCAUAAUCAGGAUUUCGAUUUACAUUUCAUAAAGAUAAAAGGCAAGUAGUCUUUAUAAGCAAUUUAAUUCAUUUUGCUUCUUUUCUUUUAAAAUGAUUCAAAAUUUUGAGAGCACAACUAAAAUAGGUAUAGUGAGUUCAUUCAAACUAGGGCUACAAGCCGACUCGCAAGCAAUCAAUUGAAAGCUGGAUUUGAGCUCAAGCUUGAUUUGGCAAGCUGUUAAGUCGAACCCAAACAUAGACAUACUCGACUCAUGGGCUCAUUGAGUUGGCUCGAUUCUACUUGUACUUUUUGGUUAAUUCUAUUUAUGCUUGAUAAAUCUUUAUUAGUAAUGAAAUUACAUUUACGUACGUCUCUCCCGUAUUUUUACUACAUAGUAAGAGGAAAGAUCCAAUACAGGGCAACGUCACCAUGUUGUAGCUAACCUUGUAUGCACGUUCUGGUCAGUGCUAAUUUCGAAAUUUUCAGUGUUUUGUUGUCUAAUGUUGAGACCUUUUUUUUCUAAUGAUGCUUUUUGCGUUUUUCUUGGGGCUGUAAUCAAACUCAUUUUGUUGUUUUCUUGUUUCAUUUCUUUUGGGUCUUGUUGUUUGAUUGGCUGUUAGUUUGGAAUAUGUAUCUUGUGCAAAGGCAUUGCUCAAAGGAGAAACUGGUUCGAAGGUGGACGUCAAUUGUGGAAAACGGUGGUCUUUGUAUGAUGCUGCAAGAAUAUUAUCUCCCAAGUUCAUUGAGCUGUUUCUUGAAUUUGGAGGAAGAAUAACCCCCUGAUUAUAAGUUAGACCUUGCCCUUGAUGCACCCAGGUUAAGUUUUAUUAUGUAAUUAUUUUCUUCCUCUUUUCUUUCUCUCUUUCCUUUUCCUUAUUUUGCUUUUUGAGUCCUUCUUGCUUGACUUUUCUGAGUGAUUCUUCUUGCAGAAGGAGGAUUUCUUGGAAGAAGGAUUUCUUGGCCUGGCUUUCAACAGAAAACUAAGGAAAAGUCACAAUUGCUCGUUCAAAAUGGUUAUCCAUUUGGAUUGCUAUUUUGUGAAGUUCUAAAAAAGGAAAGGGAAAAAAAAAUCCUACUGUAACGAUUUGAUAUAUAUAUAUAUAUAAAAUAAAAUAGUGAAUGAAAAACAAGUUCACGGAAAACGGAAAAUUUUUUUGAGGAAAAAUGGCUUUCCAAACAAGGAGCCAUGUUGAAUACAAAAGUUAUGUACAAGUCGGCAACUUCAGGGUGGGAAAAAGAAGUAGCUACAAUUUUCUUUUUUAGACAAGAAGUAGACUACAAUUACUACCAGUUAGUUUUCAACUCAAACUUGAGUUUAAGGUUGAAUAUACUCUACACAUGUUGGCUGCUUUGAUCAUGUUGGACUUUGCAGCAUCCAACAAGGGGUCCGUUUGAAAAGCCUUGUUGAAGCAGUAUCUGGCUUCCUCCCAACGCCGUUCGGCCACGAACACAAGACCUAGAUUGUUGUAUGCUGGAGCAUAACCUGGUUGCAGUUCAAGUGACUUGGUAAGCAUUGCCUUUGCACGUUCAUAUUGUCGUAGCUGCCGGUAGAGAUUGCCGAGGUUGGAUAAUACAGUGUGUGCCUGUUGAGAUGUAGCCAGUGACAAGGCACGUUUAUAAGCUUCUUCUGCAUGCGGAGAAUCGUCAGACAAUUGCAAUGAGAUACCUGACAUGCAUGCUUAGAAUGUAAGAAUCGCAAUAACAAGCAUCCUCAGAACUAAAAGAUCAAUAAGGUUGGAAAAUGCAGAGUGAUUAGACACACUGAUGCAGAAUUAUAAUUACCAAGAUUUGACCAAGCAUAACUGCACUCCUUAAGACGCGCAACUGCAGCUUUAAAGUACGUCUGUGAUGUUUUGAAUUGUUGCGUACAGAGACCAUGAAGGCCAACUUGGUGCCACUGGACCGCGUCAUCGGGGUCUUGUGCUAUUGCCUGACUCACAUCACAUGUGGAAACAAAGAAAAUAAAAAUUCUCUCUGACAUAACCCUGGAAAGAACAGAGUAGCACAGAAAGCAAAGCUUGAACUUCAAAUUUCUAAAAAGCCGUCAUUGAGAAGAUUUCAUGACAAUUGAACCAUGCACCAACAAAGAUAGGGGAGGCUUAUACAUGAUUAAAAUUAAAAGUGAUAAAGAAAUGUGGCACAUAUACAGAUAAAGUAAUGUCAGUUCCUUCAUUUUUAGUCCUAAAACAGACAAACAGAAGAUACCAAAUUUGAUCGCGAGUGAACCUUCGCCACUUAUUGCAAUGCUUGUUAUGAGACAAAAGAAUUCUUAUACAUGAUCAUCUGAAAAAAGGAAUUCUUGCACAUUCCAGAAGAAGAAAUUCUUUAUUCCAACAUUAAUACCAGAUAGAAGCAAAGAUAUCCAGAACCCAAUGACUCCAAGAUCCACAACAUUUGAAGGGUGAAACACAACUUGCAUCUCAUCCCACAGAACUGGAGAAUAAAACAAAAUAACCCAAAAGCAGCACACACACAUACACAAAGAGAGAGAGAGAGAGAGAAGAGAUGGAGGCGGGAAGGAGAGAAAACAGAGAGAAUUUAAGAAGGGGAAAAAAAGAGACAAAGAUUAUGCUGCUUCAACCUGUUUCAGACUGUCUGUAGCACGUUCUUUGAUUUCCAACAAGUCGUCAUUCUCAAUGUCAAAGCCUGCAGCUAUCUCAUGCUGAGCCUUGUGAACCAUAGCAAGGCCUGCCCAAGCUAUGGGAGGCUCAAUCACCGAGGAUUCCCCUUCUCGAAGUAUGGAAGCCAUUUCAUUUCCAGCCCAAGAGAGCUGUUCACUUGGAUUUUGAGACCUUUCUGCAUCCUUGAUUCGGUGAACUCCAACAGCAUAUCUUGUAGCUAAACAAUUGGGCUCUAGUUUCACUGCCUGAACAUGUAGAAGAAAACUCUUAAAACGGUCACAACACAAACAUCCAAAAUGUCGUUUAGCAACCAUUACUUUCACCAAAGAAAAGCACCUUGCCAUUACUUGAAUGUCACAACAUAAAGGAAAUCUGCAAAACAUGAAAAACAUCCCAAAAUGCAAGCAAAACAUUCUUGAAAAUCAACAAUGUCUUGUUUUACCAUUAUGACACUGCCGAACUCCAACUAGACAAACACAUAAUGGUGAUUUAACAAAAAGGAAGUUUUAAAAAAACAGUUAAUCAUGCAUAUGCACCAUCAGCAAGCUGACUUAAGCACAACCAACCAAACAAACAAUCAAAGACGAUUUGAAACAUCUACUCUCUAUCCUGCUGGAGGCAGAAACUAAAUCAAAAUUCACAGGGUUUAAACUGGGAAGAGAUGGCUGAAGAAGGCAUUGGUGGCAUCAGCUGAUGGUUUGAGAGAUGAAAGGAGUACAAAUAGGAAAGAGAUUAGGGUGGCUGUAAAGGGGGCCAAUGGGCACCAUGGGUCACUUUAAAAACUUUUUCUUGGUAAAAGAAAGAUGUCCUGGGUAUAGACAGGGUACAACAAGAAGGUUUCCAUGCAAGAAUUAUGGGCCCAUUGGUAACUGAAGGAGGUUUCUAAAUUUUAGCAGCUCUAUGAGAAACUGCAGCUGAAGUAAGCGCCAUAGCAAAAAUUGAAGAGAGGCAAGCUAAGAGGACAUCUAUGACAUUAAAAUACAAACACAAGUGUUCUGGUUCAGUUUACAAAAACUUAGUAUGAUUUUAGUGAAGAAUAAAAGAGACAGAAGCACCUUUUCUAAGCAUUUACUCGCACUUCUAUGAUCACCCAUCAAGAAAUAUGCAUUAGAUAGAUUCGACCAUAGAUGUGCUGCUCUGGGAUCUGACUUCACCGCAGCUAACAAACACUCUUUAGCAACGUUAGCUGCUGUAACUUGUUCUUCAGAAGCCCCUCCAUCAUUGGCACCUGCUCCAGCACCUGAAAUUUGGAGUUGACAAUUGAAGAGACAUAAUUUGCAGAGCAUGAUGAAGCACGUCAUGGGCACUUGUCUAAAGUGGAAGCAUAACUCUCAACUAUAUCUGAAGAAAGCACUAGACAGAGAUAUGCUAGAUAGAAUAUAAACCAUGCUUUUCUAUGUUGUUUUGAAACUUACCAGAAAUUAAUGAACCAUAUCUACACAAAAGAAGGGCUGCAUAAUUGAUAAAAGCAGAAGGAUGGUUUUGAUCUUUCAAAAUCAGAUCUUGCAAGCACUUCUCUGAAAGCUCCAUAUUCCCACUGGAAAAUAAAUGUAAGUGUGAACAAACUAAAAGGAAGUAACCUACCAGUGGCUCAGGAAAUAUGUAAAAACCCUGUAUGGACUAAUAAAAAUGCAGAGAAAUCAAGGCAGUAGAAAGUAUUUGCAUGAAUACAAUUUAUUUGUCCUGACAAUUAAUAGAAUAGGUAGUUUUGCUUUACUGUUUGUGUUACUUGAAUCUAAAGGUAAUUAUGCUGUCUCCUACCCUUUCUGAAAUUUUUUAUCUAAACAAAGUAGGGAUGCAAAAUUUUUCUAGCAAUAUGCCCAGGGAAGGAAAUGCACAGCCACUAAGUUCGACGACAUGUAAGUGCAGAUACCAACCCUGUUGGACUUUAUAUGAUUACAUACUAACCCAACUGAAAACAGACUUUCAUCAUUUCUACUUUUAAGCAACUUGACCUGGGUACCCUCAAAUAGUUUGCAUACUGCUUCUGCCUCUUAAGCCACAUUUUUUACACUUUGUGCUUCAUGGUGUGACUGUGAGAACAAAUAUCCAACCAACUAAAUGUGUUGGAUUAUAUUCUCUCUAUUUUUGGAAAGUGCUCAUCAACAGGGUCCAUUCACAAAUCCUGAUCUCUUAGUAUGGAACCACAUAUAUAUACUCUACAGUUGAUUAACAAAUGUGUCAUUCAGAUGGAAAAAGAACAAUGAACUCCAAGAUAUUAGUAUAUACAAUAUAGAAGUCCCAUUAGAAAGAUUUCACGUACUACUCUAGGGAGUAUUGCAUCCCAUAACUUCUUGGUGACGUUUCAUAACCACUUCAGGCUUAAGCUUUGAAAGUGCUUUUACACGACGCUGAAAUUCAAAGCUUUAAAAAUUAAAUAAGUAUUUUGCCAAAAGCCACAGCAUGACCAAUCAGGCACCUAGGAAAGAAGCUAAUUUACCAAACAAUCAACAUGCAGAAGCAUCUCGUGCAUUACAAAUCAAUAGAUAUAUAAGAUAAUAAUACUAGAACUAGUGCAAAACAUUUUGAGUCACAAGAAAGUAGGAAGAUACAAAAGGAGUUUUCCGGACAAAAAUAGAAUACACAAUCAAAAGCAUCUAGAAAGAUAUGCAUUUUUUUCACCCAAAUAUUGGAAAAGGACAGAGAAGGGGGGAAAGAAUGCAAGAAUCUUAAGGAUGACACUAAUUUCAUUACCUCUGAAAAUAAGCAAUCCCAAGGUUUCCCAGGCAAUCCAAGUUGUUGGGUUCAACAGCUAACAAAGUAGAAAAAACUGAUAUAGCACUCUACAAAAGAAAAUAGAAGACAUUUAGAUUUACAAAGUCAAGGCGCAACACUACACAAGAACAAGAUUCAGCUAUUGCACCUGAAAACGUCCAGUUUUAAGAAGUACAAGUCCCAGAGUGUUCCAGACAGGUGCCUGUCUUAUAUCAGAAUCCAUAGACUCCCUUAGCUUCAGAAUAAUGUCGUCAAGUUCUUUCGGUUCAAGUUCUUUGUCUGACUUGCACUCUUCUAAGCUUCCCAACAAAAUACACUGCAUUUGUGAUGCAACAUGUUAUAAAUGCAUGUAUGGCCAUUGAACAUAAUGUCCCCUACUAAGUACUCAUCAUUAAAUGUGGCAAACAACUAGCAUACUUUGAUGUAAAACAAAUUCAACCUGUGCAUGGUGAAUCCGAACCAAUGAAAGCAACUCUGGGCGGUCAAUUUCUUCUUCAGAACGAAUCAAAAUCUCAGCAGCCUUCUCAUAUGCCACAACUGCCUACAAAAAGAUUUAUUGGUAAAACUACAUCCAUACAUAUUACCCAAUCUGAAGACAUUAGAUUCAAAGAUACCUUCUCAGCUUGACCCAUCCUUUGGUACAUUAGGCCAAGUACAAAAUGAGCAUGUGCAUUCUUUGGCAUCUUCCGGGCAACAUGGACUAACCCCUGAUAGCUCAACGAUACAAACAAAUCGUCAAUUCUUCACACAGAAAAUGUUAUGAUUUUAAAGCAACCUAGACAAGUGUGCCUUUUAAAUUUUAAUCUGGAACAAAGCCCCUGUUAUGCCAUUACUCAUGUUCAGAUACAACUAAACUAGUGGAGCACUAGGAGCAGAAAUAAAGCUAGUUCUCGGAGUGAAUUUCAGGCGAAUCUCUAAUUCCAGCGUCAUCACAUGCAUUUCAUUACUUUUAAACGCAGUCAAGUUUAUUUCCCACUUUGGGUCUCAGUCAACAUUUUUUCCUAAAAAAUGUGAUCAGACCAAUCCAAUAUUCCACCAAUUGCGGUCUUUUGUAAAACUAAUAUUACACGUCACUUUCGAAAGUUAGCUGCUUUUCAUGUUUAAGCUUUCUGAAAACUUGCUUUCAUUUAGGAAAUCAAAGUCAAAUGAUUUAUUUUGGACGCGUUGUUCAAAAUUAAUAAGACAAAAGUUACUCCAAACUCUUCAACACCUGCAAGUCAUAAAACUGAUUGUCGCUAAGUUGCAAUGCCAACAAUCAUCUGUCAAUGUUGAGUGCUUUACUGUUGCGCAUACUUUUAUACAUAGCUCAAGUACUUUAACCCUAUGAUUCGGGAUUCGAGACUCUUUUUAGUUCAAAAUCUGUAUCAACUGAAUAUUACAUUUCUUCAUUUAAAAUUAAUAUGGCAUUUAAUUGAAUUAUUAGCCAGACAAAUAACUGAAGAUUGUCAUCAAAACAUCAUGAUUUUCUCCAUAAAUGAAUAAAACACUACUUUCCUUAGGUACUGACAGGGAUUUUACAAUAUAACAAGGAGUCAAGAACAUACUAAAAACAAACUUAGGAAACACAACAACAUUGCAACAGCACAAAAUUCAACGCAAUUGAUGAACAAUCAAACAGGCAGAGAUUGUUCUUUGUAUUUCCACCUAUAACAGAGAACCAUUCCCUGUGGGCCUACGCUUUUAUUGUUUUGUCCUUUUCCUUGAUAGUAGCCACUGCUCAUUAAUGUUCCGAUAUGGAAGGAGACAAUAUUUGAUGCAUGAUUGCAUGAAUCCCAACGUGAUGAAUAAGGUGCUUGAUUAUGUCUAAAGGUGUAGUCCAUGCACUUAUGAGGAAAAAAUUUGUAGGCACAAGAAAGGCAAAAGAAACUUGAAAGUGAUAAAUGACUAGCAAACAAGAUAAAAGCAAAAUUAGGAUGAACAGAGAAAAUAACAAAUGGAACUUGAAAGGAAGAGUGAACAAGAAAAAUAAAUCAGGGUCUAAUUAGCAGUAAUCUUUGGCUUUCCUUAGGAUGAAAGGCGGGAAACAUGCUAACCAAAUAAAAAACCAAAAGAAGGAAAAAUGGACUAGACGGUCAAUCAAGCACUGCCCUAUGAAACUCCAAAAUAUGAUUUUACUUCCAAUACAGGUUUUCAUUUUUUACUGCAAUGCAUAUAAUUCCCAUGAUUAUUCGCUUAAUCAAGUGCAACCUCUAUCUCUCUAUCCUUUUUUUUAGCGUGGGAGAGCUUGAUUCCAAGACCUCUCACUUACACUCCCUCCCUCCGAACCACCCAACCCAUCCCUCCCCCCACCAAUCCCAUCCCAUGACCUCUCCUUGUUUAACAUAUCAUGAUUCAUCAUUCCUGCCUGUUCUCUUUCUCUAUAUCAAGAGCUUAAUAAAGUCAAGCAAGUACUUUUGUAUGUCGAAAUAGUGAUGUUGCUCCACAGGAGUUCAAAUACAAUCUCUAAGUUAUGUAGCAUUCCACUAAGUUUAGCUCACCUUACAGACAGAGUCUAAGUAUUAUGCAAGUUGAAGAAAUUAGGAAAUGACAAAGAUAGAUUGGCAUAAUAGAUACCAAAUUGUGCAAAAACAAACUUACGGUUCGAAGGCUGCUGACUUUUUCCUCACGCAAGGAUGACAUCGUUUGACUACUCUGAUCCGCAUCAGCAUCAGCCCCACAAUCAAGAGGGUAAUCUAGCUUACUUUUUGACCGGCACUUGCCCAACCUUUUAAACUGUUUACCUUCUGCUUCCAUGGCCUCUGCAUCUUUACUCAUCAAGGUACUUUCAAGUAUUUGCUCACUACAGAAACCCAACGACAAAUGUAUCAACUUCCACUUGUUAAUAUUUAAACCGACUGAUACAUAUUUACAUCUUUACAAGCUAGCUGCACAGCAACUGAACUAUAAAGGUGCAGCUAUAUGAACAACAGGUAAAAAAUCAAACCAACAGUUCAGUCGGGUCUAGAACUUCCUUUAACAAAUUGCUUAAAAUUCAACUUCUCACCUAAAUCCUGGAUAUCACUAACUACAAAUUCAUUUCAAUAUAGCAUACUUCAUUUAUAUUUGACCAAUGCCGCCAUACAUCUAAUACAAGCAUACUCAACUGGUAAUCCACAUUAAAGUUUCAAUCUUUCCAAUUAAAAACCAAAGUGCAAAAAGGGAAACUAACAGUUAAAUAUCACACCAAAAGGGGAAAAAAGCCAAAAAGAGAAAACCGAAAACAGACAGCCGAGUAAAAUUCACAACCCAGAGAAAGAAUGGUCUAAUUCUGUCAGAAGUUUACAACUAAAAAGGAACAAAAAAGAUUUGAUUUUACCAUGAAAUUACUGCAACAAUACUCACAAACAAAUAGAGCCCACAAAACAAUUUUCUUCAAAAUUUGCAUAUAUCCAGUUAUCUAUCGACACAUACGUGAGAUAUUUAAGAGAAUUAUUACCUCAGAUAUUCCAAGUGCGUCGACUCUCAAGUAGUUGGCGGUUAGAGAAGCUAAUGAUUGAAACUAUGCCUGGGUCUUGCAAUUUAAAGCGGUGGAUUUUGGAGCUGAGUUGUUGGAGGAAGUCAAUAGCUUUUAGUAUUAUUCUUGUCCGAGUCCGCACAGCCCAAACAUGCAGGUGCCAAUUACAUAUGCAGUACUUUCGGCGAAGAUGGAAAGGAGUAAUACAAUUUUUAGUUUUUAUUUUACUAUCUUUUUUGGGAAUGACGGAAAGAAAAGGAAAGAAAAGAACCUGACAUCUUUUGUUUUUCUUAUUUUGUCUCAGAGUUUAAGAGAAAAGAUGAAAUCCUUUUAGGCAGAUUAAUAUUAUUACUACUAUUAUUAAUACAUUUAUGUUAUGUUCUAAUAUUUUUUGUUACAAUUUUCAUCUCAAAAAUAUGGUAUGUAUUUGAUGUUAGGCCCUCAAGUUAUCUUGCAUUUUUAGCAUCUUAUUUUUUUCCUCAUUUUAAAGCUACCAAACAAGGGAAAAACCUUUGUUUCCUACUCUAUUUUCUUUGUUAUAUUCGUAUUGUUUAGGUUUUAAGUUGAAAAAUUAAAAGUUAUUAUGUUCAUCCUACGUUAAAUUUUAAUUUACAAGAUUCUCACGUUAUGAAAGUAGAAACAUCUUUUAAAAUAUGGAGACAAAUGAAUAAAAAACGACUAAAAACUUUAGUGUCUUAAUAGUAUUACCUCUUUCUUAAUGGAUUUUAUGAGGUAAUUUUGCCUACCAAAUCGGUCAAGAAUCUUUUUUUCAAUUCAUUUACUUUCAAUAUUCUACUCCUUUACUCUCACAACUUUAAGUUCCUUCUUCUUUACCUUCCUUCUUUAGAUUUCCAUAAAAAGGAUUAGAAAUUGGGGCUCUUGAGGAUGUUUUAGUGACAAAUGACCUCAGUUUCAUAACGUGCAUCAUGAAGUUUGCUAGAAUAGGCGGAGCGUAGGUGAACAGACACAAAAAAAUGACAGGCAAUUUCAUUAAUAAAAGGGAAAGUUAAGCCUGCCAGCGUCUCAGAUUUCAUGUUCACCCUCGAUCAGGAAAAGAGGCUCUAAUCUUAGGGAAAAUCUUCUCGUUCAUUGUCUCACAUCUGCUAGGAAGACCAAUAUUGUGUUCGACUUCUCCAAGGAAGAAACGGAUAAGAAAUUAUACACAUUAUUGAUUUCUGCGCAGUUAAAGACCAGACAGUCUUAAUAUCGCUCAAGGGAUGAUGAGCUCACAACUUCGAAGGCCAAACAUGAUAAAGAGUGCUGCAACUCUACCACAAGCACCAUUCCUCCAACUCUGCUUCAGAAGGGAAACAGCAAAAGCUGGACGGUAUUGAAUAUUGAUUCAGCUUAAAAGCUAAAGAUAAAAUGUCACUAGUUCAUCUGAGUUCACUGCCCGCAAGGGGAAGAUCCUUCCAACGUGUCUAAAGAACAAAACAGUAAAUGCUAAAAUUGUCUUUGACUGGUAGGAAUACAGAGCACAUUCCCAUCUCAGACAAUCAGUCUACUGUUGAAAAACAAGAACCUAAUUUAUACA